UACUGUUUCUGCACCAAACCACCUCCAAUCUGGAGAUAUUAAAUGUCAGUUGAAACUUAAAUUUUAGAUAUUCGACAAGCACCUCAAGUGCAAUGUCUCCAAAGCUAUAGUAGCUUGUAGCAAACUACAGAAAGCUGCUUCACCAACUUUUAGGUACUACAGUCCCAAGAUGUAAAUUUUCAAAUAUAUGAAUCACAAUACUUCACGAUACAACUAUUUAGAACAAUAGAGAUACAAUUCAGUCAUAACUAUAGCAAAUGGGAUCUUAAUAGUACCCACCAUGCUGAACCACUACAUAAGAGAGCCGGAUUUUGAUAAUAUUGGUCCAUUUGGUCAGGCAACAGACCACCAUGAAGAACGACAGUUUUAAUGGAUUAUCCUCACUAAUCUACCAUACAAUCUAUUUCAAACCUGGAAACUGAAAAUUUUGAUGGUGAAGAUCAAAGUGUGACCGAAGUUUACAGGUAGACGACAUAAAAGUUUCUGGUCGGAAAAGUGAGCAGGUUCAAUUGCUCUACUUCCUUUCCUCGGUUGGUUCAAAAGGUCGAAACCUUCAUCUAAAUGCUGAGUCAGGACAAUAACACAUCCUAGGAUUGUACACGCAUGCAUUAGAGAAAUCACCUGAGCUACAGCAAAUAUCUAGCCAAAGAGAAGCACUGCGUGCUCAUGUUAAUGGGAUCUUAAGUACACAAUACAUCAUAAGAGAUCUGUUGACCUAAUCAUAGCAUUCGCGUCAUUAGAGUUCACAGCACUUAGACUUAUCACUUCAGUUUGUCAUAUAUAUUCCAAGAUCCACUAACACUUUAAAAUUUUUUGGGGCUUUUAAUAACCAACGGUAUAAAGAAUGAUGGAGGGCUAGCGCAGUUUUUCUAUUCAGUUUUAUAAUAAGGCGAAUUCCAAGCACAAAACCUUAAAGUAAGAUGAAUCAAAUGAUGGAUCCGGAGCAAACCCUUAUGUAUAGUUGUCACGGGAUCAAACGUCGCCACCUGUCCCAAUACAGGAAAAAAAAAAUGUUACAUUCAUCCUAUCACGCGUGACGGUCAAAAAAGCUGUUGCAGAUGGAGCGCAAUACCAUCGAGUUCUUUAACAUUGGAUUCAUUAAGCCGAAAAGAUUUGUCAUUCGUAGUUCAAGGGAAGUGCGAACGUCGAUCAGGAGCCACCCGUCCUCCAAUCAUGUGGGAGGCACAGAACGUUUUGCUCUGCAAUAGGUCGCUAAGCAGAUGGAUUCGCAUUACCCUCUCGAGUCUGCGCAUGCCACAACUGAUAAAGAAAGGGAGUCUUAAAAGACAAACAUCUAAAAACCUACGGAAAAGAUAUGAAAACCUUAUUUAUUUAAGAAGCUCGAAUGUAUGGUGGGAUGUUCAGGUGAAAGGGGAAGAGAAAGUCUGUAAUACUAAGUCUGGCAGAAAAUAUUGGGAAAAAUUAUUUAAAAAAGUCAUAAACCUAUUACACUUUACCAAUUGAAUCCCAAACAUUUUUAACUUUUGCCAUUUGAGUCAAUCUGAUCAAUUUUGGCCCAAAAUUCUUGACAUGGACGACUGACAUUGAUGUGGCACUUUUUAAAUAAUAUUUUUAUAAAUAUUUAAUAUUUUUUUUUUACUUUUUUUUUUUUUUUAGGAGUUAGGGCCAAUGAGGGUGGCCGGCCAACCCUUGCCGAUUCUGGGCAAGGGCUUGCGCGCCCUCGCUUUUGCUAGGGAGGGCAUCAUGGCCCUUGCCCAGAGCUGGCAAGGGGCACAACACCCUCGCCACGAGCCGGCAAGGGGCACGACACCCUCGCCAUGGGCCGACGAGGGUCAAUUGGCCCUAGCUUGUGGCUGGCGAGGGCAGCCAACCCUUGCCUAUGGUCAGCGAGCAGCCAACCGCCAUUGCCGGCCUUAACUCUAAAUCCAAAAAAUAAAUAAAAAAUAAAAAAGGAAAAGUAAAAAAAAGAAAAAAGUUAUAAAAAUUUAAAAUAUUUUUAAAAAAGUCUGACGUUGGUGUCGGUUGUCCACGUCAGCAAUGUCUAACCAAAAUUGGCCAGAUAGACUCAAUUGGUAAAAGUUGAAAAGGUUGGGGACUCAAUUGAUAAAAGUACAGUAGAUUUAAUACUUUUUGAUCAAUUUUCCCAAAAUAUUGAUAAACAUAGAAAUCAUCUGACUAGUUGUUGAUAUUUAGGGUGCACCGUAUGUCUGUGCUACACCACCCAACCAAUUAUUUUGGGCGAUUAUGAUACUCUACGUCAUGGGCCAAGAGGGCGUGGUCUUUCUCCUCCCACUAUAGAUAUUGCAUGGCCUGCGUGACUAGAGUUCACACAGCACAGCUCAUCACUAGGGCAUCUCGUGUUGAGCUCUGAAACCUUUCGUUCUCAAAUAUUUCCUCCAGUUGAGCUGCCAUCUUUGAUUUCCUGAGUAGAGAGAGGGACAAUGGCCAUUUUCUCGACCGAUAAUCCAUGUGCUUUUUCUCUUGGCUUCCUAGGUAUAUCGUUUUAACUACACAGGAUCUAACUUGUAAUCUCACUUAGUAUCUUCAUCAAACUAGAGUUAACAUGCACAUUAUAAGUUGUGCCAUCACUAACUCCUAUCCCAUCAAGAUACUUAUCCCAUCAUAAGGCCAUGGACUGAUUCAUUUGUCAUAUUUUCUGAUAAUUCUUUGUCCCACGUAAUCUCAUAUAUUUCCUGGUCUUUUUGACCCCAGUGUAAGUUCAUCCUCUCGAUCAACUUUUAUUUUAGCUUAGCAGAAGGGUCUGGAAGUAUGAUCUUGACCGACUGAUUAAUAAGGUUCUUGCAACUCUUUUUUUGUUUAUGUUGGCAGACCAACAUUUUAUAGGGUAUGCAAGAAGAAGUCGACCGAAGGAUUUCAAUCAGUUCCGUACGUGGUUUCUCUGUUCAACGCCAUGCUUUGGAUAUAAUACGCAUCCCUCAACUCCAAGUUCAAUUAUUUCCUUCUCAUCACUAUCAACUCAGUGGGAAGUGUCAUAGAGACCGUCUAUGUCGCUAUCUACAUUGCUUAUUCUACUUAAAAAGCCAAGGUACAUAGUUACCUAUCCGAUCAUGUUUACGUGAUAUCGUCACAAUUCAUACACAGUUGAUAUGUGACAGUACACGUUGUUAAAGAAGGUUUUUUAAUAUUAUAAAUCUGUGUGUGCAUGUGACACAAUCCAAGGACGAGCAUGAUCCAAGACAUUCAAAUGAUGGGCCGUGUCCCACACAAGGGCUAGCCCAUGAGGUGCCCACGAACAACCUAUAAGCAAUGCGAGAGCCGGCCCAUGAGCAAUGCGGGAACAAGCCCUCGACCAUUCGGCUUCCUUGUAUCAGGCUACCCUUCGGUUCCAACGAACUGUCCUUGCUGAUCCAUGACAUAUGUCCAUCGAGUUCUCCCAUGGCCUAGGGCCUCUUGAGCUUCUAGUGUAACCUUGUAAUAAUUGUACAUAUUCAAACGUGACUAUUGGGUCAGAGAGGGAUUUGUUGAAGAGGGAUUAACGGCUAGGAUCAGACCUGUACUUGUAUAAAUAGGGGACUCUCCCCCCUCACUUGUACACUUUUAUUCACAAGCUACUACAAUCCGAGUUUCACUCUCAUACUUCACUCUUAUGAGCUGAGUACAUGUGUAAGGCUAAAUUGAGAUCAAAUCCUAGGCCACACAGAUAGGGAACGUUGGAUUUGAUCAACCCAUGACAAGUGGUAUCAGAGCCUUUGUUCCAAGCACAAUGGCUAAUCCUCAUUCCGAUGUUGUGAUCGUUCAAGGCAAAGAUCGAGAGGAUCAUGGAAGACUGAUCGAGAAGGUCACUUGAUGAACCAUGCUGUCUCAAGCUCGAAGGAUCCGAAAGGCGACUUGGUGAACCAAAUGACGGAUCUAGAGGAGACCAUCACAAAUGUCCAAGGGAUGGUGGACGACCUGAACCAGACCGUCGAGGGAGCGGAAGCCGAAAGGGAGGAGUUCUUGACCAAGGUGCAAGAACUCAACGCCAACAUGGGAGAGCUCCGCGUCAAGGUGCUGGGGUCCCUCAUCCAUGAGUUGCAGUAGCGGAAUGAAACCUGGGAGGCCAUGAUGGCAGCCAUGUGCAUGAAGAUUGCUGAGCUCAAAGGCAACCUCGCAGAGGUUGAAGCGGCAAGCAUGAACGAGGUGGUCACCAUGCAAGCAAACUCACGUACUGACACACCCAAGUCAAGGGAGUUCAAGAGCUAGCGGGCGGCCAAGGACGUGGAUAAUUUCUUGUGGUACAUAAAACGAUACUUCUAGGCCACAUAAAUUAAUGACGAUACGUCUUGGGUUAACAUCGCAUUAAUGUAUUUAGUUGAUAACGCAUUGUUGUUGUGGCGUUGUCGGUCAGAUGAUAGAUGUGGCGACCCUAUCACGACAUGGGCUCGACUCGUUGAGGAAUUUCAACGGAACUACUAUCCCACAUAUGCGAAGGAUAAAGCUCACGAUGAAUUCAAACAUCUUGAACAAAAUGGCGUAGUUCCCGACUAUGUGAUAGGGGUGUGCAACUGGACUGGGUUUACUCGGAAACCAAAUUGGCCCAUCUGAAAAAAUGGGAUCAAGAACCAAUUCCCGUUGAAACCAGUCCAAGAAUUGGUUCCCAAAAUUCAGAACUAGUUUGAACUGGUUCGGAGUAAAUACCCACCUGAGAACAGGAUCAAUUAGACGAGUUCAGGAACCGGUUUUGUAAACCCAACCCCAAAAGUCCAAAACCCUAUUUUCUUCCCUUGAUUUCCUAUCUCUCACAGACUUGCACGGCAUUUUUCCCUUCAUCAUUCUUGACUCCCUUCCUCGCUCGCUUUCGUCCAUCUCCUCGCUCCAACCAUCGUCAACUCCCUCUCGCUCUGUUUUGUCUAUCACCAGCUCUCUCAUCUAUAAGCUCGCAAAUUUCCUUAGUUUUUCUGGACUUUUCUUUCAAAUUGAAGCUUGGUUCCUCUCUUUUUCUUUGGGGUGCUUUCCCGAACUGGAUUUCUUGUCAGAUUGGUGGAAAAGUUUGCAUUUUUUUGUCUAUAUGGGAACCCACAAUGAGUGGCUAGGGUAAGGUGGGAGAGAGAGAAGAAGUCGUAGAACUCGAAAAGCUUCAACGUUGGGUGAAUCGCUGCCAUGUAGAGGCUCUACAAGAUCACGAAGACGGGUGGAUCCGCCGGGCUCUCGCCCCCUCUGGCCUUUUCAUCAGAUGGCGACGAGGGCAACGACGACUUACGUGGUUGGUGGGUCCAGGCCUUCUUGGAACGCGCGUCAGGGAAAACGGAGGCGGCAAUCUACUGUACAUGCGAGACGGCCUAGGCUUCUUCCAUGUAAUCCUCUGCGUGAGCUUUCUCCUCGGCUUAGUGAAAAGUUUGUGUUUUUUUUUUUGUUCAUAUGCCGUUGAUGUUGCUGCUUUUGUUGUUGAUGGCGCUAGAUUUGGAAUUAAUUGUUUGGGGUUAAUUGUUCCUUCAACUAGCAAAACACACAAAUCCACAUCUUUACUCUCGAAAUCAAAGCUAGCAGAAGAAGAGGAGGAAAACCCACCAAAACACUUCUCAGUACUCAUUGCAGGAAUGAGACUAAUAUUAGACUCAUGUUUAUUGCUAAUGUUUAUGCAAUGUUAAGAUUUUUGCUUUGCCUUAUGAUUUUGUUUAUAAUAAUUAGCCUUGUGGAUCCUUAGUUUGUUGUUUAGUCAAAAAAUUCAUGUACUUAUUGAUUACAAGUGCUUAAUGUUUCAAUACAAAUUAGGAAGAUUACAUUUUUUUUCUCGCAUAUUAAUAUAAAAUUCAAAACCAUAUAGGUAGGAUAUCGAGUGAUUGCAAAAUAGGUUCGAGUGGAAAGAAGAUUAACCCUUAAACUAGAUAAAAAAAAAUGGUGGUUCAGGUACAGGGUCCAAUGGAAAUAAGGUCGAGCACAGGGUCCAGAAAAGGGAAACCGGUUAUAACAAGGUCAAGUACAAGAUCCAGGUCUAGAACCUACCUAUCUUGGACCCAAUCACCCUUACUAAGUGAAGUGAUUCUCAAAGAUUCUGCUCCAAAUCUUGUCCAAGAGCGAGACAGAGGCAUAUCACCAAUUCAUAAGUGGAUGCAAGCCAUAGGUCAAGCAAGAGCUCAAGUAGUGCCACGCGGCGGAUCUUGCAAGGACUAUGUCCGUGGUCAAGUUCCUUGUGGAGUACAAGUCACCUUCCAUGAAAAGUCCAGUGGGGGAGAUCAGGAAAGAUUCAAUCGCCCGUAUGAAGCCAAACCACUGACGGCAACACCUAAGACACAACUGGAGUUGAGUGGAUGGGGACAAUAGAAGGUGUGCACAUACAAGUGUUUCUUUUGCAAUUAUCCUCACAUGGCUCGAGAUUGUCCCAAGAGGGGCAAACUAGUAGCCCUAUUCAAGGAGGACAAGUCGUGAGAGGAGGCACAAUUGGGUUCACUACGCAUCCUUUGUUCGAUCAAAACAAGAAGGAGAAGGAACCCAAAGACAUGAUGUUUGUGGAUGUAAAGAUUAGAGAUACCACGAUGAGGGCGCUUGUGGAUACCGAGGCGUCCAACAUCUUCAUAUCCCAAGAGGCCGCUAAGAAACUGAAUCUUUUAGCCGAAAAGGGAGGAGCCGAUUGGUUCAGAGUAGUAAACUCCAAGGAAGUCUCGACUAGCGGCAUGGCUAAAGACAUAGAGCUCCAUCUUAGUCCGUGGACCAGCAAAGAAAAUAUCGAGAUAAUCACCUUUGACGACUAUGACUUUGUGUUAAGUUUUGGAUUCCUCGAAAGGAUCAAUGUGGGCAUUAUGCCAUUCGCGGAUUACAUAUACAUCCUUUAUAAGCACCGCCAAUGCAUGGUCUCGAUCCAUCAUGAGUUGGAAUGCGAUAGAAAGAUGCUAUCGGCCAUGCAGCUAUCGAAGGGAGCAAGGAAGGGCGAGGUGACCUAAGUCCUCAAUUCGUUUCAAGAUGUGAUGCCACUCAAGUUGCCCAAGAAGCUUUGGCCUCGAAGAGAGGUGGACCAUUGGAUCAAGCUCGUGCUCGAUGCUCAGUCACUGGCUAUGACACCCCACCGCAUGGCACCGCCCGAGUUGGAAGAAUUGCAUAAACAGCUCAAGGAGUUGCUCAAUGUGGGAUACCUUUGACCAUCCAAGGCUCGGUUCAGUGCCCUAGUCCUAUUCCAAGAGAAGCACAACAGAUCUCUUCGGAUGUGCAGGUAUUAAACAAGCUCACCAUAAAAAAUAAGUAUCUGAUCCCUCUCAUUGCAGACCUAUUUGAUUAGCUUGGGGAAGCUCGGUGGUUUACCAAGCUUGAUAUUCGAUUGAGCUACUACAAGUUCAAAUCAUCAAGGGAGACGAGCCGAAGAACAUGUGCAUGACACGCUAUGACUAAUAUGAUUUCCUCGUCAUGCCAUUCGGCUUGACUAAUACGUUGGCCACAUUCUACACUCUAAUGAAUAAGGUACUCCACCCGUUCCUUGAUCUAUUCCUUGUGGUGUACUCAAUGAUAAUGUAGUGCAUAGCCGGACUCUCGAAGAACACGUCGAGUACUUAAGGCAAGUCUUCCAAAUCUUGCGGGAGAAUGAUAUGUACGUGAAGUGUGAGAAAUGCGCCUUCGCGCAAGAGGAAGUUCUUUUCCUUGGGCACAUAAUUGGGGGUGGACGAGUGUGAAUGGAUGCGGCUAAAAUCUGUGCCAUCAUUGAAUGAGAACCACCGACCAAGGUGACAGUGCUAAGAUCAUUCCUUGGUCUCACAAACAACUAACAACACUUCAUUUAAAGCUAUUCAAGCCUCAUUGCGCCACUCAUGGACAUGUUGGAAAAGGAAAGGCCAUGGGAGUGGAUGGAUCAGUGUCAAGAGGCAUUCGAUCAAUUGAAGCGGACCAUAACCGAAGACCCAGUACAUGUUGUCUGACCAUGCCAAGCCAUAUGAGGUAGAAACCGAUGCCUCUGAUUUUGCUAUCGGUAGUGUUCUUAUAUAGGAUGGGCACCCAGUUGCCUUCAAAUCUCAAAAUUUGAAUGAUAUCAAGUGGCGAUACACGGUCCAAGAGAAAGAGAUGAUCACGGUGGUGCAUUGCCUUCAUACGUGGAGGCAUUAUUUCUUGGGAUCCUGAUUCAUCAUGAGGAUGGACAAUGUGGCCACGAGCUACUUCCAAACUCAAAAGAAACUCACUUCGAAGGAAACUCGGUGGCAAAACUUCUUAGUCUAGUUCUAUUAUGUGCUAGAGUAUAAGCCGAGAAAGGCUAAUUCCAUGGUGGACGCCUUGGUUGGAAGUUGGAACUGGCAAAUAUAGCAAGUCGACCCAACUAUCCGUGGAUCAACCGUAUCAAGAAGGGGCUCGAGCACAACCCUAGAGCCCAAGUGCUCCUUAAGUACGUGUAGAAGGGCAAGACAAGGCAAUUAUGGCAUGAGGACGGCCUUUUUUACACCAAGGGACAACAACUCCAUGUGUCACUCCACGGGAAGCUGAGGAAAGAAGUUCUACACGAGUGCCAUGACUCCAAAUGGAUAGGUCAUCCAGGAAUUCACCACAUCAUGGCACUCGUUAAGGAUUAAUAUUAUUGGUCUCACAUGCAGGACAAUGUUGAAGCUUAUGUGCGGACAUGUCUUGUAUGCCAAUAAAACAAGAUUGAAUAAUAGUCAUCGUCAAGGCUCCUUGAGCCAUUGCUUAUCCCGGAGUGUCCAUUUGAGAGUGUCUCCCUCGACUUCAUUAUUAAUUUUCCCAAGUUCGAAGGAUGCCGGACCCUCAUAGUCGUUAUGGAUUGGUUCUCCAAAUAUGCAAAGUUCGUGCCCGUGACUAAAGAUUGCCCAGCCCAGAAGGCGACUAAGCUAUUCAUCAAGCAUGUCAUCAAGUAUUGAGGGAUACCACGAACAAUCACGUGCGAUCACGAUCCUUGAUUCACCGAGCGGUUUUGGACUGAGCUCUUGAAGUUGCUGAGGUCAAACGUCAACUUCUCCAAAGUUUGCAUCCCCAAACUGACAUUCAGAUGGAGAGGGUGAAUGCACUCAUCGAAAUAUACCUCCGGCAUUAUGUGAGCACCAUGCAAGUAAACUAGGCAAAGCUAACUAAUGUGGCCCAAUUCUCCUACAACAUACAGUGGAGUGAGUCCACAAACCAGAGCCCGUUUAAGAUCGUAACGGGGCAACAACCAAGCACGGUUGCCUCAGGCUAUCGAGGGAGUAGUCCGCUGGCAUACAAGUUCACAAAGAAAUGGCACGAACAAGUGGACUUGGCGCGAGCGUGUCUACACAAGGCCGCAAAACAUAUGAAGAAAUGGGCCGACAAGAAGCGAUGGCACGUGAAAUUCCAAGUCAGUAACCCAAUGCUAGCCAAGUUACAUUUGACCUCCGAUAUCGAGACAUGCAUAAGGGACUGAUCCAUCACUAUGAAGGCCCCUUCUGAGUGUUGCAACGGAUCGGAAAAAAAGCAUACAAGCUCGACUUGCCGUCCAAACUCAAGGUACAUCGGCAGAAGUACACCCCAAGUGCCAAAACUUGGCACGGAGGGGCACUUCAAUACCAAAAGUUUGGAAAGGUACACUUAAGUACUAAAUCGAAGCAAAUUGAUCACUUAAGUGCCACUCCGGCCAAAUCCNNNNNNNNNNNNNNNNNNNNNNNNNNNNNNNNNNNNNNNNNNNNNNNNNNNNNNNNNNNNNNNNNNNNNNNNNNNNNNNNNNNNNNNNNNNNNNNNNNNNNNNNNNNNNNNNNNNNNNNNNNNNNNNNNNNNNNNNNNNNNNNNNNNNNNNNNNNNNNNNNNNNNNNNNNNNNNNNNNNNNNNNNNNNNNNNNNNNNNNNNNNNNNNNNNNNNNNNNNNNNNNNNNNNNNNNNNNNNNNNNNNNNNNNNNNNNNNNNNNNNNNNNNNNNNNNNNNNNNNNNNNNNNNNNNNNNNNNNNNNNNNNNNNNNNNNNNNNNNNNNNNNNNNNNNNNNNNNNNNNNNNNNNNNNNNNNNNNNNNNNNNNNNNNNNNNNNNNNNNNNNNNNNNNNNNNNNNNNNNNNNNNNNNNNNNNNNNNNNNNNNNNNNNNNNNNNNNNNNNNNNNNNNNNNNNNNNNNNNNNNNNNNNNNNNNNNNNNNNNNNNNNNNNNNNNNNNNNNNNNNNNNNNNNNNNNNNNNNNNNNNNNNNNNNNNNNNNNNNNNNNNNNNNNNNNNNNNNNNNNNNNNNNNNNNNNNNNNNNNNNNNNNNNNNNNNNNNNNNNNNNNNNNNNNNNNNNNNNNNNNNNNNNNNNNNNNNNNNNNNNNNNNNNNNNNNNNNNNNNNNNNNNNNNNNNNNNNNNNNNNNNNNNNNNNNNNNNNNNNNNNNNNNNNNNNNNNNNNNNNNNNNNNNNNNNNNNNNNNNNNNNNNNNNNNNNNNNNNNNNNNNNNNNNNNNNNNNNNNNNNNNNNNNNNNNNNNNNNNNNNNNNNNNNNNNNNNNNNNNNNNNNNNNNNNNNNNNNNNNNNNNNNNNNNNNNNNNNNNNNNNNNNNNNNNNNNNNNNNNNNNNNNNNNNNNNNNNNNNNNNNNNNNNNNNNNNNNNNNNNNNNNNNNNNNNNNNNNNNNNNNNNNNNNNNNNNNNNNNNNNNNNNNNNNNNNNNNNNNNNNNNNNNNNNNNNNNNNNNNNNNNNNNNNNNNNNNNNNNNNNNNNNNNNNNNNNNNNNNNNNNNNNNNNNNNNNNNNNNNNNNNNNNNNNNNNNNNNNNNNNNNNNNNNNNNNNNNNNNNNNNNNNNNNNNNNNNNNNNNNNNNNNNNNNNNNNNNNNNNNNNNNNNNNNNNNNNNNNNNNNNNNNNNNNNNNNNNNNNNNNNNNNNNNNNNNNNNNNNNNNNNNNNNNNNNNNNNNNNNNNNNNNNNNNNNNNNNNNNNNNNNNNNNNNNNNNNNNNNNNNNNNNNNNNNNNNNNNNNNNNNNNNNNNNNNNNNNNNNNNNNNNNNNNNNNNNNNNNNNNNNNNNNNNNNNNNNNNNNNNNNNNNNNNNNNNNNNNNNNNNNNNNNNNNNNNNNNNNNNNNNNNNNNNNNNNNNNNNNNNNNNNNNNNNNNNNNNNNNNNNNNNNNNNNNNNNNNNNNNNNNNNNNNNNNNNNNNNNNNNNNNNNNNNNNNNNNNNNNNNNNNNNNNNNNNNNNNNNNNNNNNNNNNNNNNNNNNNNNNNNNNNNNNNNNNNNNNNNNNNNNNNNNNNNNNNNNNNNNNNNNNNNNNNNNNNNNNNNNNNNNNNNNNNNNNNNNNNNNNNNNNNNNNNNNNNNNNNNNNNNNNNNNNNNNNNNNNNNNNNNNNNNNNNNNNNNNNNNNNNNNNNNNNNNNNNNNNNNNNNNNNNNNNNNNNNNNNNNNNNNNNNNNNNNNNNNNNNNNNNNNNNNNNNNNNNNNNNNNNNNNNNNNNNNNNNNNNNNNNNNNNNNNNNNNNNNNNNNNNNNNNNNNNNNNNNNNNNNNNNNNNNNNNNNNNNNNNNNNNNNNNNNNNNNNNNNNNNNNNNNNNNNNNNNNNNNNNNNNNNNNNNNNNNNNNNNNNNNNNNNNNNNNNNNNNNNNNNNNNNNNNNNNNNNNNNNNNNNNNNNNNNNNNNNNNNNNNNNNNNNNNNNNNNNNNNNNNNNNNNNNNNNNNNNNNNNNNNNNNNNNNNNNNNNNNNNNNNNNNNNNNNNNNNNNNNNNNNNNNNNNNNAUCCUUCAACAGCAUCCACUCGACCCCCCUGUUUUCUUAAUUUUAAGUUUUUUUAUUUUUAAAAAUAUUUUAAAUAAAUUUAGUUUUAAUUUUAAUUUAAUUAAUUUUUAUAUUAAUUAUUUACCACAUCAGAGACAAAACGACGUCGUUUUUGCAUUUUCUAGCCACGUCAACGUGCAAAACGAUGUCAUUUUGCACUCACCUCGUCGGAAAAUUGCCACGUCAGCAAUUUGGCUGGAUUUUGGCCGGAGUGGCACUUAAGUGAUCCAUUUUGCUCCGAUUUUGGCACUUAAGUGUACCUUUCCAAACUUUUGGCACUUAAAUGUCCCUCUGUGUCAAGUUUAGCACUCCAGGUGUUCGUACCUCAGGCACAUCCAAUGUUCCAUAUGAAUAUGCUCAAACCUUUCUAUGUAGAUAAGGAAGACCUGGACCGAAGGGAAUCACAACAGGCACCCCUUAGGGCAAAAAUCUCGAACAAUCAAAACGUCGAGUACAUCAUGGCUGACCGAGUCAUACAUAAGAGGUAUUGCAUGCCCAAGAAGGAAUACCUGGUCUAAUGGAAGAGCGUUCCGCAGAGUGAAGCGAGUUGGGAACUGUCCAAAACUCUUUAUAGUUCAAGAAUCACAUCAACGCAUUCCAUGCCAAAGAGCGACAAGGGCGUCAUCCGAAUAGAUGUGAGAGAUUGACACGGCUCAAGGACGAGCAUGAUCCAAGACGUCCAAAUGAAGGGUCUUGUCCCACACAAGGGCUAGCCCAUGAGCACCCACGAACGACCCAUGAGCAAUAGAGUCGGCUUAUGAGCAAUGCAAGAAGAAGUCGACGACCGUUCGGCUUCCUUGUGUCAGGUGACCCUUCAAUUCCCACAGACUAACCUUGUAGACCCAUGACAGAAAUCCCUUGAGUUCACCCAUGGCCUAGGGCCUCUUGAGCUUCUGGUGCAACCUUAUAAUGAUUGUAUAUAUUCAAAUACGACCGUUGGAUCGAAGAGGGAUCAACAGCUAGAAUCAGACCCAUACUUGUAUAAACAGGGGACCCUUUCCCCUCACUUGUACACUCUUGUUCACAAGCUAAUACAAUUCAAGCUUCACUCUUAUACUUUGUUCUUGUGAGCUGAGUACAUGUGUGAGGCUAACUUGGGAUCAAAUCCUAAGGCUACACAGGUAGGAGUUAUCAGAAUCAAUCGACCCGUGACACAUGCAUGCAGGUUUUUACAAUGAAGUAGAUAGUGAUGGGCUUUGGAGGGUUUUGUUCCUUUCUUCUCAUCUUGUUUCUUAACAAAUGGAUCAACAAAGGUCCAACUAUUGGGGUUUCAUGAAUUAUGUAUAGGUAAAAUUAACAAAAAGAACGCAGCGAAAACAAAGAUGAUAUAUUUUAUACAUGAUUCUCCGAAGGCGUUAUUUGUGCGUUUUAAUCAAAAAUAUGAAUAUAAAAAGGGAGUUAAAAAUACCACCAGUCAUGGUGGCUCUGCUGGAUAAGAGCUCCGUUGAUCCUUGCCUAAAAGUGAGGGGUUCGAAACCCAGUGAAGGCGCUUGGUGUCUUAAGCGGGAUGUCAGGGUGGUGGGUCCUCCGCUAGCAUUCCCCCAAGUUUGCUCGGCCGACUGCCGGCUGUACGGGGUUCCUAGAUUAUCAAAAAAAAAAAAAAGGGAGUUAAAUGAAUUACCUCUUGAAGCACGUUUUAAACGAAUUGGUUCGGAUGUUCUACAGUUCGAGCCCCACAAACGUCGGAUCUCUAAUUCAGACACACUAACAAUGGACGUCGAAUGGAAGAAAGAACUUUCGGAUAAUCGCCACUAUGAUCGUGCUAGCAAUCUCGUGGAAACAAUCCGCCGUAUCCUUGAUGUAUUAUAUUCACGGCCCGAACAAGAGAACACUCUUCUUUCUACACAAGAACACGCACACUUUCUCUCCAUUUUCAGCAACCCCUUGAUUUGUUGCAAAACCAGCAUUUAUUUUAAAAUUUCUCACGAAUCAGCAAUGGUUGCUGAUUGUGGGUUCAGCAACCAUUGCUGAUCUCUUCGAAACUCAUGCACGAAGCUUCAUGCAUGAUGCUUCAUGCAUGAAGCUUCCCAAUUAAUAAUAAUAAUAAUAAUAAUAAUAAUAAUAAUAAUAAUAAUAAUAAUAAUAAUAAUAAUAAGCAUUGAUUAAUUGAUUAAUUAAAUGAAUAAAUAAAUAAUUAAUCAAUCCCCUUAAAGAAAAAUAAAAAUAAAAAUGACAUAAUCUUUAUAUGUACAUUUGGGGUACAUUAACAUGUAUUCACUUUGGGCAUGCGUGUGCAUCAUAUGCAAGUAGGCUCGUGACUAUAAUACAAAUUAAAUUAAAUCUCAUUUAAUUUAAUUUUAAAUCAACUCAAUUCAAUUGCAGUAAUUGCAAACGCAUUUGCAAUAAUAUUUCUCUCUUGUUCCACGUUAUCCUAAUGGUUUAUGGUGUGUGACAUCCCUAGAUUCAUCACUAAGCUGGUAGUAAUACUUGUACUAACACAUUAGUACUCCCAAAAGAAUUAAUUGUCCCGAUUAAUCUUUGGGUCCUACAAGCCAUGAUUGACAUCUAGCAAUAUGUCAUGGCUACCCAAAUAGUGUGAAUGCUUUAAGAACAUAAUGAACCUGUGACAUCCCAAAUUUCUGAUUCUGUUUUCAAUUAAAUAAGUCCAGCUUUUCAUCGACGCGCUUAUAGUUCAAUUCUUUGAGCUGAUCACUCACAAUAUAACUAUUCUAUCAGGUGAAGCUGUUAAGGAAUCUAAAUGCAAUGGACUUGAGAAUUUGACUAGGAAUCGACUGCUCGACUGUGUUAAUCUGCAAGUGUCAUUACAACACUGUCAGAAUCGAACAGAUAUCAAUGAUAGGUCGAUUCGACUGAGAUAUGUGAUUAGAGUGUGGGUGAUUCCACCUGAUUUCAAUAUUCUCAUCGACCGACAUUAGACCGAUUUUUCUGUCAUUUUGGGUAUCCUGUGUCCGUAUUUGAAAUCUCGAGAUUUUCAUGACAACCGAGAGUCGCCAAUGUGUCGAAAAUCUAUGCUGUGGAUCGAAAACAAUCGACAACGGUCAAUUGCACUGAAAAUUCCUAAAAGUUACUCGGUAGAGAGCUUGUUUUUUCUGAAGAGGAGAUGGUGAAGGUGAUCUUGGCGGGUGAAGCUUGGGAUGUAGUACUGUAUUCUGGUGGUGGAGGUGGUGCAUAAGAAACCAUGAAUUGGUAUUUAUCACCCUCACCAAGAGUAUCAAUGGAGGGAUCUCCGUUUAAGUAUCUUUGGUACACCUUAUCCUUUGGCCUUUUCCUUUGGGGUGGAGGUUUAGCAAAAGGAUCUACCUCGUAAGGCGAAUUUGUACAAUAGAAACAUUGGCAAAAAAGAUCCCAAAAACAGUGUCCAUAGUUGUCUUUGUAGUAAUGGACCGGAUGUCCAUCACUGUUGAAGUGUCGAACAAGCUUUUUUGGAUCUGGCUCGGAAAUUGAUUGAGGAACACAUGGUUCGAUCAUGAAGAGGGUCUGGAAUAUAGAAGGACUUUCUUCCUUUUCCUUGCCAAAUUUGAUGGAAACAGUUCCAUCAUUUUUCUGGACGAACUCAGAGUCCGUAGACUGGAAAGGCUUGUUAUGCUGGUGUAGCUUUUCGUAGUUGGUAAUCCAAGUUUCUGGAAGGAGCUUGGCCAACGUAUCCUUCGGGAUAUGUCUGGGAACAUGGAUGCAUGAUGCCUGAUCAUUCUGCAUGGAGAUAAACAAAGCAUCUUCAUUACCAUUGUUGAAAUUGAGGUCGAGAGCAUGAUUCUGCACUCGAUACACCAUCUGGUAAUGUAGGGUUGCAGCUAUAGAGUCAGCAGUUUGAGGAGCUCCAGUGAGCUGGACUUGAACUUUUAGAAAAGAGAGUAGCUGGGGGUCUGAAAGAGUGAUGUUGAAGUUUGGAUACAGAGUCACAAAGAUUGUUCGAGCAUUCAAAGUAGUUUGGACAGUACCGAUGCAAGCAUGCUGGUAUUGUAAAAACCUGGUAUCCAACAACGCAAUUCUUGCCACAACUAGCAAACCUUUACGCAAUUCCCCUGACAAGGUAGAUCCUUUUACAAAACCUCCACUCCGAAGGAAAAGGCCAAAGGAUAAGGUGUACCAAAGAUACUUAAACGGAGAUCCCUUCGUUGAUACUCUUGGUGAGGGUUAUAAAUACCAGUUCAUGGUUUCUUAUGCACCACCUCCACCACCAGAAUACAGUACUACAUCCCAAGCUUCACCAGAUCCACCAAGAUCACCUCCACCAUCUCCUCCUCAGAAAAAACAAGCUCUCUCCCCGUUUUAUAAGCCAAUCCUAAAAUGGGCUAAGAAGUAUUCUUACCCACUUGAAGCCCCAGCAGAAACACCACCCACUUCUUCCAUUGCUAUGUUCCAUGAUACUGACUUUUCCCCUCUUGUCAGAGAAAGUUCUAAACUCUCGUUUCCCGCUUCAGAGGAAUUCAUUGAUCCACAAGGCAGAUAUCGCCAUGUUCCUAAGAUAGCUGCCCCCACUGAUGUGGAUGAACAUGGAAGACAGAAAAGAACUCCUACUGCUGAAGCUGUUCUAAAUUGGCAAUCAGAGACUCUGUUAGCACAAAACAAUGCCUUUAAGGCAAUUGAUUCCAAGAUUGGAAAUGUGCAACAAGAUCUCCGAAAGUAUGAUGAGACAACCAAAAAAAAAAUGGUUUCUGAAUUCCAGAAGAGGCUACAUGCCUUGGAAUUAGGACAACAUCUAGGGUAUCAUCAUCUAGAGAGCCCGAAGCUAGAGAUAGAAAAACUCAAGAGGCAAAUCCAACUCCUUGAAGAAGGAAGGUUCAGACCUUUCGAUCCCUUCGCAACUACUGUCAGAACUGGGUAUUUGCCUCCACCACCCCAGACGUCCAUUUUUGCUACCAUCCUAGAAGAUUCUUUCAGAAAAGAACCAAAUAUGGCAGAAUUACGAGAUCGUAUCAAAAAGUUGCAGAAAGACAAAUGAAAAGAAAAGAUGCCUACAGAAUCAAGUUCGAUUGUCAUAAAAGAAAGGCCAGAUCAGAUGAUGUUAUUUAAUCCAUUAGAAUCUUUUCUAAAGGAUUUGGGUACUCAGGAACAACCUGAGCCUGUUAUUCAACAGCCAGAUCCUGCCAUUCCAGAUGAUCAGAUUCUGUUCCCAGCUGAACAAACUUCUCCUAGCAUCUUUGAUACUGAAUCAGAUUCAGUAUCCCUUUCGUCCUCUUCAUCCUUCUCGAUUCCUACUAUUGAUUCCCUCCCCAUUGAGCCAAUCACUUCAUCAAUAUUCAUGGCUGAUUCUCCGGAUCAUGAGAUGGAAUCAAACUAUUCUGAGCCAGAAAAUGUUCAGACAGACAAUCCCGGAUGGCAUGUGUCCAUGGCAUCAAAACAAUUUUUCACCAUCGAUGAUAUUUCUUAUCACAAAUGGCCAGAAAGACUUGAAGAAUUUUCAUACUUGGUUGAAUACUCAGUCCAUAACCAACCAUGAUAUGAAUGAUGUCCUUUACAACUUUGUUACGAGGUUCUCAGGAAGCCUCAAACUUUGGUGGAAAUUAGUUUCAGAACAAGACCAAAUUCAUUUUCUAAUGUCACCUGAUUUCAACCAUGCCAUCACUAUCUUAUAUCAUGUCUUUGUGGGAAAACCCACUGACCUCAUAGAAAUGAAAAGAAGAGAAUUUUUCGAAAGAAAAUGUUGCUCUCUCCAGAAGAAAUAUCUUGAUAAGCAUUAUCGAAUAAUGCUUCAGCUUUUCUAUCAAAUUGGAGCAGAUCCAAAUCUGAAACAUGUUCUCAUAACUUCCAAGAUCAUGAAAUGACAAGUGCAGAUGACAUUGUCCAAUCCACUCAAGACAUGUUCUCCUAAUUUCUGUCAUGUCAUAAUUCAUUUUAGGAACGUCGAAUCAUCCUCAGAAGAUUUUUUUGCAAACCGAGAAUUUUGGUGGAAAAGCAAAGUAAGGCCGUUUUUUAUGGGGAAAAUCCGAGGGCCAUUUUUGGUCAUGCUUUUGGGAUGCAAGUUGGAUCAUUUGAUGAGGAAAAAUCAUAAGAGAGACAAGGACACAUACGCUGAUUUAUUUGAGCUUCAAUGGAAUUGAAUUGAGAGAGAAUUGAAUGGAUUUGAGGGAUAAAUGUCCAAAAUUCGUAGCCCCCCAUGGUACACAACAUAUUGGACACUUUGGCAAGCUUCUUGAGGAAGAUAAGGAGAGGAAAAGGCUAGGGGGAGGGCGGGCCAAGGUGGGGGCAAGAGAGAGGAGAAAGGGGCAAGUGUUGAGUCCUUAGAAGCCAUUUUGGGGUCCCCCCUUCAACAGCCACUUCUUCUUCUUCCUUUGGCUUUGCUUUCUCCAUGUUUGGUCUGCCUUGAAGCUCCAAAGAACCAGAGAAAUUGAUCUGCACCUUCCCCUCCAUCGUCGCACGCCCACCGGACCAUUUUCCUCCUCUGUUUUCCUUUAUUCCAAUUUCUGCUCCAGCUGACCUUUCGCCAAAGAUCCGAGUAAAAAGUCGACUUCCCAUGCGAAUCAGCCCCCAAGCCACCCACUGUCGUGACCAGCACACCCAGUCCAUACGGACGGUGGUCGCCGAUUGCCAAACGAAGCCGCCAACCGUCCUGUACACCGGCGAGAAGCUACCGGUCACCGGUCCGUCGAUCCCCUGCCAGCCUGCACUGUUUCACGAUUUUCUUCAUUUUUCUCCCAUUCCGACCAUUCCUUUGGCAGUCUCAUCCACCUACAAGACCCCCUUGACCCCCAGGAGCCACCGGUUGCCGACCACCCGCUCGUCGGAGCUCCAAUCGACCCAUUUCCUCGCCGUUCAGCCUUGGUUCUCCUCUGUCCAGCAAGAACAGAAGCAGAAACCGAACCAGCAAGGAGUCUAAGACUUCGUGGCCCGUUUCCGAGCCCUUCCCGGCCUCGCUUGGUGUCACCACAAGCUUGAUUGUCGCCCGCCUCGCCGUCGCUGUCACCAUGGACUCACCACCGGCUCGCAAAUCCGGUGAGUUUACUCACUAAUCUCCACUUAUGGAGUUAAUUAUACUUAAGAGGUGUUUAGAUUAUUCUAAGUAUGUUUAGGUAGUUAGAUUAGCUUAGUUAAAUGUUAAUUAGAUUAUGUGCAUGAUUAGAUUAAGGAUUUGAUUAAUUAGUCUAAUUAUGUAACUAGAUUAAUGUUAAUCAUGCUUAGACUUUAAUUAAUUAUUUUAAUUAUUUAGUUAUUUAUUUAAAUUAAAUACUAUUAAACAUUAUUUAAAUUAUAUUAUUUAUUAAUUAAAUUAAAAAUAAUUUUCGGAAUUUAUUUAAUUAUUAAUUAAUUAAUAUUUUCCGGAAAUUAUACUGGGAGAGCCGCACCAACCUGAUAUACCAGAAUUUAUUUAAUUAUACCGAUAGAAUUCCGAGCUGAUCGUAGUGAUGUGUUUAGUUUCUGUAAUUGAAUGCUAUAUUAUGUAAAUUGAGUGAAAAUGAUGAUUGUUGGAUAUUGCUAAUUAAAUAAUAAAUUAAUUAUAUGGUUGGAUGGUAUACUAUAUCAGCCUACGGGCGAUAUGUCAGCUUAGCAGAUAGCAAUAUACCGGUGUACUAUAUCAACCUACGUACUCUGAUAUAUCAGUUUAGUGCGAGCAGUACACUCUAUCAGCUUAGAGUGAGGAUCAAGGGUAUACUAUAUUAGCCUACGGGCGAUAUGUCAGCUUAGCAUAUAGCAGCAUACCGGUGUACUAUAUCAACUUACGGGCUCUGAUAUAUCAGCUUAGUGCGAGCAGUACACUUUAUCAGCUUAGUGCGAGCUAUACUAUCUAUAUAUCAGCUUAGAGUGAGCAGUCCUGACUAUGAUCGGACUUAUUAGAUAGUAUUGAUUGGGCCGACCUAGAGAAGAUCGUGAUGACAUGUAAUCGACUGAGUCGAUUGAUAGAUAGUUCAAUCUGAUUUGGUGAAUUGAUAUGAUUGUGAGUUUAUGAGUUGAACUGACUUGUAGGAAGAGACUGAGGCCAAGGUAAGUCCUCCGACCCAUGUGGUGCUUAGGCAGCCCUUAGAGCAUAUUUUCUUCCUAAUCGGGUCUUAGGGGGUAGAACUCGCUGAGACGUCGUCUCACCCCGUUGUGGGAUAACAUUUUCAAGUCCCUAGAUGAUGGUCGUGGAGAACUUGAAGUCCCGGAGUUUGGGGAAGUGAAGGAAACAGAAUCGGCAAACCUAUAUGACUUGCUAGUCAUAGGACAGUCCCUUUUUGGUUAAGCCGAUAUUUUGUAAGCGACCUGAUGUUGUAAAUAAACCUGUUUGUUUAUAUAAAGGUUUGUGUUGGUUUGAAAAAUAUAUGGUCCUACUUUCCUAUCCCAAUGUUUUAUUGUCAGGGGAUUAUUUAUAUGCUUCCGCAUGCGUAUUAAAUUGAAUGGGUCGGCGAUGCGUCCUAGGACAUCGCUAUUAAUCGACCAAGGAGGGAUGGGCACGUGCUCGGAGGAUCGGGGCGUGACAAAACCUGUCAGUUUUGGCUACAAUGUAAUUCACUCCCUCUGUCUUACUAUGUCCCGAUCAAACAAAGACCAUGGAAUAUUUGUCAAGUCACUUAUUCGAUCAUAUGCACAAAUCUAAUUGACAUGCAUUUUAUUUGAGACAUAAACAAUUUAUUCUCGGUUACAACCCCGGCCGAGGAUUUCAAUACAGUGUCAUAAUUAGAUCACAUAGGACAUCAUUAUUAUACCUUGCAUUUAACAAUGAGACAGAUUCGAUAUUGUGCACACGUGCAACUUCGUAUAUGAACAAACUAUGAGCAUCAGGUAUAAAGACGGAUCAACGACCCGGCAUUAUGUGCACCCGUGAACCAUAGUUGUUCUACACACAAGUUAACACUGUGCAUCAGGUCUAAGGAUUAUUUACACAAGACCAAAGCAUGAACAAUUAGACAUUGACCACGCUAAAAGCUUCCAUGUCACUAAUUGUUCCAUAUGCGUCACGUUUAGUGAACUUGUCUAAUACAAACACCUGUGUUUUAACUCAGGCAUCAUAAUACCCAAUGACAUGUGACUCGUCAUUCUCUUAAGUAUCCAAUACUUAAUGGUGAAGUUAAGAACACACCGGUCUCAACAGGAUUAUAAAUAUCCACUCAAUAAUCCAUUGACCAGGAACGGUUUAAAGAUUCAGCCUAACUAUGAACCCGUCACAUAUAUUCUUGACGUCUCAAGAAUAGGUCUAGUUGCAACUGAUCUUAUGGAAUCAUUCAUAAAUAUAAAAUAAUUGGACAUAUGAAUAAAUACGUCAUUGCCAUUAAUUAAAUAAUAAUAAUGAUAGUACAACUGAAAUCCCUAAUAUGUAACUAUUACAUAGUAGCUUUAGGGCAUACAUCAACACCAACUUCUUGGGUGGCUUUGUGUUGGAUUCUCCAUCAUUGUUUUUGCAGCUCCUUUAAGUGUGGUGAAUAAUUGGAAUAACUCUAGAUUUCUUACCUUUUACUUUUCCCUAGUUAUACUUUCCUUCAUGCACUACUGAGUUAUGUUCGACAAGUUUUGUAUGACAUUUAUUUUCGACAAAUAUUGCACAGAGAACAGUGAUACACACCAAAAGCGUAGAGUUCAUGCCCUUCUCUCUCUCAUUUUUCCUCACACUCAGCGUUGUAACUUGGCUCCUAUAUGGUAUAUUUCUUGUUAGGAAAAUAUGGCUUUGAAUUGGGUAGAACAAUGAAGACGGAUCUUUAGAGUACUCAAGUCGAACUUUGAGGCAUGAUAUCACUUUCUUUAAGGAUUUAUUUGCCCCACAAAGUUGCUAAUGGUCACCGGCAAAUAUCCUCCAGGAUACAAUAAAGUCUCAGAUGAGAGUACUAGAUAGCAAUUCUAGUAUUUCUCUAAGAUCUCUCUAGGAAACAAUUGAAAAUAUGGCUGUAGUUUUUUUUUCAAAGAGAAGUCUCAAAAAUGAUCACACACACGUUCUUCUGAAAACUAAAAUGUAUAUAUAAAACAUUCUUAAAACGUAGACAACUCUUCGUGAAAGGUUGCAAAGCGAACAAAUGUAUCCUUUCAAAAAUUGUCCGGAUGAACAAAGGCGUCAAUUCGAAAGAAGUUGAAAGAACGAACAAUUGCAACCCUUCGGGAAAAGUUGCAAACUGAACGAGUAUCUUUUUCAAAUGUUGUUUUGAAAAGACACAAACAAAAAUUCGGAAUAAUAAUAAUUUUUUUUAAAUAAAUAAAAUUUCGAAUUUUUAUUUUUUUUAAUAGUUUUUGAAAAAUCUCAAAACUAAGAAACAACCUUUGAAUUGAUUUAAGUUAAUAAGAUAACCGUACGAAAUAAAAAAUAAAAAUAACAUCAUCGCGCACCCGCACACGGGUAUGGUGGGGUCUAGCCCACACCCAAUCAUUCCUUUAGGUACACAAAGGAACCCCACACUUAUUAAUUGGCCCACUUCCUCCCACUUUUCCUAUGUGGGACAAGGAAAAUGCACUUAGUUUGUUUUUACAAACAAACUUCCAACAUUUCUCAAGGACAUCCACGUCACCGUAUGCAUCGACUUUCAACAAAUACUAGAAAUUAUACUAAAAAGAGUUCUCUAUUACCCAAAGAAAAAAGUGUGUCUUGGAGACUACGGUUUAGAUAUCGCUUUAUUUUCUGAUAUACAAUCAUUAAUGUAUGUAUGAUCAUUUACAUAGGUUCCAAACGUAUUGGGGUUUAUCCUUGGAGUGCUUCAGAUGGGACUCUAUCCGAUAUAUAGGAAGAGGAAUGUGAUGGUUUUGGAGGAACCCGAUGAUUUCGGUGGUGCAAGGCCGAUUGCCGAUACUUAAAGUCGCAAUAUCGCCUCUAACGAUAGCAUCAUCGACGUUGAUGAGGUCAAGGAGAGGAAAGACGAUGUAUACGAGGGUGAGAUAAGCUUGGAAGCUUCCAAUAAUGGACCAGUUGCAAAUAGUUCAUGUGAAGUUUGACCCGGGUUAAGUCGCAGCAUGUCUCUGCUGUUGUCUUUCGAGUAGCUAGUAAAGCUAAUUUAGUUCUUUCUUCUAUGUUGUUAAUGCACGCGUCAUAACUUGUAUAUGCAAGUGGAGAUUAACACCACGUGCAUAAGUGCUCUAGAAUUGCAAUGUCUUUUCUAGUAAUUAAAAUCUUCCUUGUCUCGUUCCUGUCGUAAAUGAACUCAUUCUACUAUCUCUUUGAUCCAUAUUGUUGGAGUCAACACCUAAUAUAAUAAUGAAAGUCCAUUAUGCAUGGAGUGCACGUAAACUGCCAAAGAAAAGUGUGCUGCAGCGCAACACUUAAACCGCCAAAGAAGAAAUUUCCUGAAGAAACUACAAGCAUCAAAAGGAAUGGGCACAUAUUAAAAUACUAUUAUAAUUGCUGCUAGGAGUUUCAAGAAGCAGAAAAGCAAGCUUCAACUUCGUAGACUUGAACGUGAAGGAAAAGAAGACAGCCCACAAUUGUUGACUCUUAGCCAAGAAGAAAAGUCAAAGGCGGUAGAGUGAGGCGGUGAAGUCCUGGCGGUGGAAGAUGUCUAUAAAUAGGGCUUGGGAGUGCAAAAGGCAAAAUAGGCCACACGAGAUAAAGAGAGAUUAAGAGAGAGAGAGACUCUUCAGAGAGAAACCAAGGUGUGAGCCUCAGGAGGCAGUGCAGCCUCAGAGCGAAUAGAGAUUAAGAGAGAGAGAGAGAGAGAGAGAGAGAGAGAGAGAGAGAGAGAGAUAACUUUAGAAGCAUAAAAAGCUAGAAAGAGAGUUUUAAGUUUGGCAAAGCUUGUGUGUGUACUCCAUUAAGCCUCUGCAAGGCAUAUUGUGUAAUAUAUUCUCUUUGUGUGUUUAUACUCUCUCCCUCCAAAUCGUUUUUGAUUCCAACAAUUGGUAUCAGAGCUAGUCAGCCAGGGACCGUGUUAGAGCUAGCGGUCAGGGAUCGUGAAUCCAGAGCAGGCCAAGGAUUGGAGUGUCAGAGCCUAGGAGGUCAGGAACCGGAGUAUCAAAACCAGUGGCCGGAGACCGAGAACCUAGAGCAGUCGAUCAAGGAUCGUGAACUCAAAGCUAGCAAUGGCUUCCACCAACUCUGUUCAACUGCUACUCCCAAAGUUGAAUGGAAAGAAUUACAACAACUGGUCCGUCCAGAUGAAGGUUCUAUUCAAGUUCCAAGAUUUGUGGAACCUGGUGGAGAACGGCUACAUCGAAGUGGUCGAUGCCGAAGCAUUCGAUGCUUUAAGAAAGACGGAGAAAGAUUUAUUGGUGGAAACUCGGAAGAAAGAUCAGAAAGCAUUAUUUACGAUCUUUCAAGCCAUGGAGGAGACGAUAUUUGAGAAAGUAUCGAGCGCGGAGACUGCGAAAGAAGCGUGGGAUAUAUUGCAAAAAUCCUACAAAGGCGAUGAUCGUGUUAGGCGGGUGUGGCUCCAAACACUUCGAGGAGAUUUUGAGUCUUUACGCAUGAAUGACUCUGAAUCUAUCUCGGCUUACUUUGAUCGUGUACAAACUAUCGUUAACCAACUAAGGGUUAAUGGUGAAGAACUCCAAGAUGUACGAGUCGUAGAAAAAAUUUUGAGGUCUUUGACUGAAAGGUUUAACUACGUUGUUGCGGCGAUCGAAGAAGGCCAAGAUAUAUCAACCAUGACGCUGGAGCGGUUGAUGGGUUCAUUAUGCUCGCAUGAGCAAAGAAUGAAUCAGAAGUCCAUCGGUUCGUAUCUCGAGCAAGUAUUGCAAAGUCGGGUUGUUCAGUCAAAUCAAGGAGAUUAUCAAGGUGGACAAGGUCGUGGAGGUACCCGAGGUAGGGGUGGAAAUUCAAAUUUCACCAGAAGAUAUAAAACACGUGACAAAUCAAAAGUCAGGUGUUUCAAGUGCAAUAAAUUCGGACAUUACAAAUCCGAAUGUCAAGCAAAGAUGACGGAACAUGCACAUAUCGUCAAUGAUGACGAAGAUGUGGUGCUAGCAUGUACCGUGGAUGAUGCACGUACUCUCUCUAGAAAUAAAAGAGGUUUCAAGAGCCAAUGGAGAAAUGAUGCUGGCAUUAGGAAUGGCAAACGGUGGAAAAGUCAUAGUGAAUGGCAGAGGCGACCAAUAGCGAGAAGCACUCAACCAGGGAGAGCACACCGAGAUUGUGACAAAGAUAACAAAAGGUAUAGCAAACGGUGCUACAUUUGUGGCAAAGUAGGUCACUUUGCUAGAGUUUGUUGAUUCAAACAGGUAAAAGGAGAUGCUACAACUUUUACCAAGAAGAAGAACCAUAGUAAUAAAGAAUGGAGUCUCCAAGCGAUUGUUGCAACAGAGGAGCAAGAAGAGCUCGUAGCCACCGGUAUCAUCAAGGCAGAUGAUGUGAUAGCCAUUGAGACAUCCCCAAAGAAGAGCAAGCCAUGGGCAAGCUCGAAGAAGCAAGAAGCAGCUUCAACAAGCGGUCGUGAGAAGGAACUGCAAGAGAUGCGGGAGAUGUUGAAAGAGAAGGAUGAAAUGCUGAAGCAAAAGGACAAGGAGCUCAAGCUCAAAGAAAGGGAGCACGAGAAGCUCCGGUACGAGCUCAAGGAAUUGCAAAAGCUCAAGAAAUGUUGCCCAGAGAAAAAGAUCCCCAGGGGCAAAAACAAAUGAAAGAUUGUAGAGAAGAAGUUCCAUGAGAAGGAAAAAGAGACUGAUACGCAAAAUGAAAUGGCAUUGAUGAAAUCCGAGCUUCGCAAAGCUCAGUUGGAAGUUACAGUUGCGGAGGCAACUGAAGAAGAUGAAUAUCAGAUGCUAUAGAAGAAGAGUAUUAGGUGUUGCGGGAGAGUGUUGGAGUCAACACCUAAUAUAAUAAUGAAAGUCCAUUAUGCAUGGAGUGCACGUAAACUGCCAAAGAAAAGUGUGCUGCAGCGCAACACUUAAACCGCCAAAGAAGAGAUUUCCUGAAGAAACUACAAGCAUCAAAAGGAGUGGGCACAUAUUAAAAUACUAUUAUAAUUGCUGCUAGGAGUUUCAAGAAGCAGAAAAGCAAGCUUCAACUUCGUAGACUUGAACGUGAAGGAAAAGAAGACAGCCCACAAUUGUUGACUCUUAGCCAAGAAGAAAAGUCAAAGGCGGUAGAGUGAGGCGGUGAAGUCUUGGCGGUGGAAGAUGUCUAUAAAUAGGGCUUGGGAGUGCAAAAGGCAAAAUAGGCCACACGAGAUAAAGAGAGAUUAAGAGAGAGAGUCUCUUCAGAGAGAAACCAAGGUGUGAGCCUCAGGAGGCAGUGCAGCCUCAGAGCGAAUAGAGAUUAAGAGAGAGAGAGAGAGUGAGAUAGCUUUAGAAGCAUAGAAAGCUAGAAAGAGAGUUUUAAGCUUAGCAGAGCUUGUGUGUGUACUCCAUUAAGCCUCUGCAAGGCAUAUUGUGUAAUAUAUUCUCUGUGUGUUUAUACUCUCUCCCUCCAAAUCGUUUUUGGUUCCAACACAUAUUUCGUAAAGAAAUGGCAAGUUCGCUGAGAUUCACAUAUGAAGAUCAUGAUUCGUGACCUACAUCGAAAUUGGCCGUGAAAGAUGCCUGUCGUGAUCUACCUCCUUUAAAAGCAGAGAAGCCAUCGGUUCGGAAAGCUAAUAAUCAACCAUAUGAUCGUCGGCGUCGUUCAAUGAGCGACGUUUCAAUAAAAGUCAAAUGGAUAAAGGUUCUCUGUGUUAGUGGAGGAGUCAUAUCAUCUGGCAUGAGAUUACCAGAUACAAAAGCUUGGCACAACUUUCAUUCGGGCCUCUCGUUCUAGCCCGUUGCACUUCUUUGAGGAUGACAUAGCUUCGUAACAUUGAGGCAAUAUCUAUUAUAUACUCAUCAGUCCGUGAAACUUCAAUAGUUUGGUCAGGCACUCGGGUGCCGAUCGAGUCGAGCCACGCUUUUGGGUCGAGUCACCACUGCAGUCUACAGCAGAGUUCUUAUGCCCCCAGCAAUUUAUUUCCAGCCUUUCCCUUAAAUAACAUAUCUUGCACUAUUUAGUGCACAUAAGCCGCCAAAAGUCUUUCCGACACCACUUUUGACAAUAUAUGAGUGAAAAUGGGCCGCAUUUUUUAAUGUUGGGAAAAAGAUCUUGGAAAUGUGUAAUUUAUUGAAGGGCACGUUGGUCAGGUGCUCGAAACUUGACUUGAGCUCGAUUACGUAAUAGAGUUUUACCAAGCUCGGCUUGAGCUUAAAGAAAUUCGAUCUUCUAGAGCUUCAUAAACCCCAAGUAUCUUCCUCGGAUUUUCGUAUAUGUGUGGAUACACUCUGCAACUUCAAGGAACUCUAUGUUUGAUUUUAUCACAAUUAUAAUUGCAAGCUUGAGCUUGACUCGAUAUGGAAUUCUAGCAGCUUGAGCUCGACUCUAGAUCAAACAAGUUGAUUUGAUCGAGUAAUGUAUCAUUGAACCAAGGCCCGAGCUACGUACUCACGGGUAACUUUGACUCGGUUUACAAUGAUGAACACAAGGGGCUUGGGAACGAUUACUAUCUUGCUUGGGCGAUAUUUUCUUCCACCCUCGGCGGAGAAAACUUUCUUCAAUCAAGUUUUGUAUUGGUGGUUUACAAAGAUGGACAUUUCGACGAGGUUCGUACAUAGGAAAGCCCAGUUUGUACUGAACUCUUUUCUCAUAGAACCAAUUCGGAGAGUUGCUUCGGAUAUGAUCCAAUGAGCGCGCAACCAGAAAGCAACGCAUUAUCGGCAACUAAAAGGAAAAGGAAAAGACCCAAACCUAAGCACAUUGGUGUGCUGCUCGUUGUCCUGCCGCAUAGAUCUUCGUAUACAACAAGGUUGGACACGAGAAUGCACGUACGGAGACGGCCGUUCGGUACAAAGGUAGGCACGAAUCAUGAAGAUGUGGAGAGUCCCAGUCCGAUUGAGAUCUUGCCUAACUACAUCCUCGUUUGGAGGUCUCUUUCCUCUACUUGGUUAUUCUCGCGUGCCCUUGGGUCCUUCGUCGUGACUCAUUGAAUUGUAUCUUUACUUUUGAAACCCGCAUGAUUAGGACACUUUUGGAAAAACGUAUUUGUAAAGCCCCGUUAAAGUUGCACGCAAGCUUUUAAGUUUUAUUUGAAUAUUCUAUUACCCCUCAUGCGAAGGGUGGAAAUAAGCAAUUGGGAAGACAAAUAGAGGUCUAGAAAAAUUUGAAGUCAAGACCUCCUAAUCCGAUACAAUAUGAAAUUUUAUGAGACUUUUGUCAACUAUUUUAAAAACUUAAACUGUUAGAUGAAAAUGUGGUUUAACAUCUAAAUAUUUUGAAACAUAGAACUUGAUGUUAAGCUACGUGAUUCAUCUAAUAAAACCACGUGCAUGGUAUGUUGCAACUCAGCCUUACCAUCAAGACCAAAGACCCACUAAUUAACCACAUGUGAUCGUACAAAUUUUAAGAUUAGUAGGGGCACCCAUUCAACGUCAAUCACCUAACAAUAUAUUACUAAUUAUCCAAACAUUUAGCAGACGAUAAUGGUGGCCAAUUUACGCACUCCAUGUCCCGACGUCCAAGCACUUAUUUCCAGACCGCAAAUCUCUUUUGCUAAAGGAGAUGUUUCAUGUUGGAUGGAACCUUCGACUCUCAUACCGUUUCCCUAUCACAAUUGAAUAUGAAUGUCGAGAUUCCGUUAGUUUCCCUCUCUUAUCAUUUUCCCUUCAUUUCGAGGAAGUGCUUUGUUAGGGUCUUAUUGCUUUCAACUCAGGCUGAGUACAUGAUUCCGAAUUACAAAUGGAAGGUCCUAACUCGAACUUCAUUCAAUGUCGAAUUGCGGCGUUGACUGAUAGAUAACAUCAGGGUGGUGUCGUUGUGGAACAGAUGUCCUCGUAAUGAAUUUGCGGCAAAGUGUGUUACUUCAAUAAUCGAUGUACCUCGCCCUCAUUGUUGCUUCAAAAGUUAAAACCUUUUUCCGCAAUCGACGCCGCCUUCAUUAAUUUGGACAAUGAUACUCCUCCCAAUCAGAACGUUCACACAGGCACGUGCGAAACCGUUAUAGAGGGGAAAUUUCUUUAAAAAGACCUAAAUCUAUUCACUUGGACUAAUUCAAUAUUAAACAUUUCAAUUUUGCUAAUAUUACUUUGGUCUAGAUAAUUUUUCUAAUUGAAUUAUAAACUUUUUAAUUAACAAUUAAGUCCAUUCAACCAACUAGGUUAUCUCUGACAUAGAUACCGGUCAUCCAACGUGAUGCCAACGUAACAAUUUUUUGUAAUUUUUAAAAAUAAUUGUUCUUUAUUUUUUAUUUUUCUUUGCUUUUUUUUUUCCUGUGCCGUCGAGGGUCACCAGCAACCCUCGCCCACUACGAAGGCUUUACUCAAGGCCAUCACCUUGCCGAUUGUGGGUGAGGGUGUGAAGGUCCUUGCUGAAUCUAGGUAGGCGACCACAAUGCCAAAAUAGACUCAGCUAGUAAAUUGUCAAAAAAGUUACAAAAGUUGUCUACUUUAAAAAAUAGCAAAUGAAAAAAUGAAAAGAAAAAUUAAAAAAAAAAAAAAAAAAACUUACAAAAGUUGUCCACUUUCAUGCUAGCGGUGCCACACACAAAAAUUGGCCAAAUUGACUCAACAAGCAAAUUAUCAAAAAAAUUAUACAACUCAACUAGCAAAAUUAAAAGAUUUAAAAUUGAAUUAGGCAAAGUGUAAUAGAUUUAAGAUUUUAUGAACAAUUUUCUCUCACUAUAGAAAGAGAUCACAUAAAUAACUAAAGCUGAAAGCAAAGCAUAUACCAAUUGCUAAGAAAAUAUAUAACAACACCAAUGAUUCCACAGUUGCCGGAUAAUUGUUAGAGACUCUUAUCAGCUCUUAUCCCAUCAAGUGGCCAUCUCAUAUUAUGAUUCAACAAUCAACCUCGAACCGAGCCUGCCCACAUCGAGAGCUCUCCAGCAAUUUGGCGCACGAAAUUUCAAUUGCAAAUACCAUCGAACGAAUCUGGGAGGAGAGUUUAGAUGUCGAGGGUACACUACUCGCAUGUUCUCGUAUGAGACGCAUGUUAGGAACGCAUGCAAUCUGCGAUAAGGUUAAUGCUGAUAUCACGGUCAAGAAAGGGCUACUCUAUAAAGCGCAACCAUAUCAUUAAAUUAAAGCCUUGAUUAGCCAUAGGAAACGAUAUAAAGACCCGAAAUGUUGGCAUUUACAGCGGAAAAGGGAUACGCGGAUCGAUCUGAAACCACCUGUCCCCCAUUUUUGGCGGAGGGGUGUGUGAAAAAGAUGGGGUGGGGGAUGGCAAGACGUCACUCCAUGAAUGGAUGGAUCGAUGGUUAUCCCCUUGACAUCUGUAGGAUUGCCCAAAUUCGCCAAGUGGAGAUCUAGCUGUGAACCCUGACUCAUCCCAAUCCUUCGACAUUUACAGUAUGCAUCGCUCCACCUGAGAUCUUCAUAGAAUGUACCAGGCUCUUUAAUUUAACAUAAGCUAAUACAUUCGACAUAUCCUGAUGAUCAACAGAGAGUCGUGUAAUUGCUCCUAGAACAUAGCUUCUUGGUAUAGGUAAGGGUCAGAAGAAAUUUUCUCUGUUAUGUGUCUUCGCUUUUGUCUAAUGUCUAGAGUCAAAUUUUCUUCGCAGCAAAUUUAGCUUUACUUACUUAAAUACUAAGUUCGAUAUGCUACUAUCGCAAAUUCUGUUUUUAUUCUCAAUUCAUGUUGAUUAAUAAUCACGAUCAGUGCACGGAAAGUUCUAAAAUUUAUUAUAAAAGUGUAAUCAAUUUCUAAAAUUUUUAAAAGUGCAAUUAGCAAAAUGAUUUAAUUAGACCAAUUUGAUAAAUUUUAAAACUCGAUUAUACUUUUUGAAAGUUUUAAAACUUCAUUACACUUUCGUGACAAGUUUUGGUGCUUUCAAUACACUUACUCCUAUAUUAUUUUGACUAAAUCAUUCUUUUUCUAGAUGGCCAGAUGAUUGUAUAAAGUGUUGUAAAUUAAUUUUUUCCUUUUAACUUAUCACUCAAGUAGAAACGUAAGCUACACCCUGUUUAGUUUAACUUUUUAUAAGUAUCUAAGAUUGCCAUGUCAAUGAAGACAUAUUAAUAUAUAACAUCAAUAUAUAAUUAAAUGUGGAUGAAGACAUGUCUAUAUAGAAAAUCAAUAUAUAAUCGCAAUAAAACAACAAUAAUAGGAAGGAAAAUCAAUAUUAUGCCCGGGCAUGGGUCAACCUUCUCGAUGCGAGAUUGACCUCGCCAUGGCCAAGGCAAGGCUUGUCGGGCCUCAUCAGACCUCGCCCUCGCCUAGGCGAGGCCUGGCAAGGCACAGCAAGGUAGCUCCAACCGAGGCGAGGGUUGACCUUGCCAGAUUUGGUAAUGGGGGCCUUGCCUGGCCAUGCCUAGCCAUGCCUAGACGGCUGACGCUCAGCCUCAACUUGGUCAGACCAAUCCUUGCUUGUGGCCGACAAGUGUGACCUCGCUAGCCAUGGCUGUGGUUGGUGGCUGGUGAUGACCACCAGAAAAAGAACAUGAAGAGAAAGGGGGAAAGGGAAGGUAAAAAAGAAACAAAAAAGAAACAAAAUUCAAUAAACUAGUUUAAAAUUUCAAUAAAUGCAAAAAAAAAAAAUUAUUAAAAAAUUAUUAGAAAUGUCAAUGUCAAUGCUAGUCACACGACGUCUGCUAGCUAACAUCCACAUUAGUAAUUUUUUGCCUAAAUUGACCAAAUUAAUUGAAUUAGUACUAAUGUAAAAAGAUUUAUGAUUAAAUUGAUCAAAUUAAAAGAUUUAUGACUGAAUUUGUACUAAUACAACAGAUUUAGAACUUUUUUAGUACUUUUUCAUUAAAGGCAUGGACAACAAGGCACGCUAUCAUGCUCAAUAAUUGAAAAUACAAAAGCCACUUACUUUACGAUGAGGUUGUGUUUGAUUGAAUUACUCUUAGGAAUGUUUGACACGCACUCUGCUGAUUAGUGACUUAUGUUGUCCCCUAAUUACUUCCUUUCACAUUGAUUAAACAUAUACCAAAACAUAUGCUGAUUAGUGACUUAUGUUGUCCCCUAAUUACUUCCUUUCACAUUGAUUAAACAUAUCGUCAUAGGUGUAUCAAAUUGAUAUUUGUACAAAUAAGCUAUAUGAAAAUGUGAUAUGCAAAAUUGAUAUACCAAAUGACAUAGCAAUUUGUAAGUAUGCAUUUAAAUAAAUGGGACACCGUGGAUGAAUAUAAUAUUACAUCACUUAAUAUAUCAAUUACGUCAAUCAAUGUUAGUAUAAUUAGCACAUGAAAGUCCUUUAAUCCAAAUUCCAUUUAGGCGAUAUUAACUUUAGUUCAACGAAUGUGGUCACGUAAUCAAAAGUGACUUUGGAUCCUAGAAAGCGUUGAAUCUUUAUGGCAUGAUAAGGUGCUGCGGUCGCGUACGGGCGCACAAUUACCUACUACGUCAUACCACCUGCAAUUAUUAGGCGAGAUCAUUAUCUCCAUUUGCAAUAUUAAAUGAUAUUAUCGCCAUCCACGUAAUCGAUAAUUUUAUUGACAUGAUAAGUUCAUGUCUAGUACACCACUUAAUCAACACCAAAAUUAUCUAAAAAGUCAUAAGUUCAUCGACAAUAAAUCCAUUCCUAAACUUGCCAGUUUUAACUAAUAUAAUCCUAAACCUUAGGGUAGAAAUCACUGACAUAACGGUUCUAUUAAAACCAGGCUGAUAGUUGACAUGGACAAUUUUAUAUGAAACGACAUCACUUUGCAUUGAACCAAGAAUAUCUAAAUUUUCUUUCUUUCUUUCUUUUCUCUUCUUUUCAAUAUUUUUGGCUUUUUAUUUUUCCUAUUCUAUUGCUCAUCUUUAUCCUCUACCGAUCAAAAGUGAGGGUCAAAGCCCUUGCCAAAUCUGGCUAAAGCCGCCAACCACAAGCUAAGGUAAUUCUUGCUAGAUUUGGCGAGGUUGCGAUGCCCUUGCCAAGGUUGCCCUCGCCUGUGCCCGAUGACCUUCGCAAACCAUCACCAAGGUUUUGAUGACCGAUGAACAAAAAAAGAUGAAUAGUGCAUUUAAACAAAAAGAAUCAAAUAAUUCAUUAAAAGAAAAAUUGCAAAAUGAAAUUGUGUCAUUUAAUAUCAUCCACGUCAAUCGCCAACUGUCCUACAUAGGAUCUUUGGUACUGACUAGACUGCCAUGUCAAUAAUUUUCGAUUUAAAUUAACCUGAUAAAUUACAUUUAAAAGUUAUCAAAAUGUUAAAGACUACAUUCAGCAAAUUGAAAAGUUUAGAACUUAAUUGUCUGUCAUGUAAUAGGUUUAAAAUUUUUCGGACAGUUCUCUCUUCAAUCAACCACCAUCAUAAAUAAUUAUAUCUUCUAGCAUAACUUUUGCCUUCCAUCUCCUCUAUAAAUUGUGAGGCCUAAGUGAGCACAAUUUCCUCAACAUAGCCUUAUUUGUUUUUAGCUUCGAAAUCUUCCAUUUGAAUAUCUUCAGUUUCUGAGAGGAAGAGAGUGGGAAAAUGGCCAUCUUCACGACUGACAAUACCUGGGUGCUUAUUUUUGGAGUUCUAGGUACUUUACACACGGUAUCCAACUGUUUUAUAAUUGCUAUCGAACAAGUACCGAUGACUUUGUUUUGACGCGUUUGUCAACCUUUGGAUUAUUGUUGUCGCAGGUAAUAUCGUAUCCAUCGUGGUAUUUAUGGCCCCAGUGUAAGUUUCUAACUCUUUCUCACUCCAUGCACACUGACCAAAAUAAGGUUUAGGACUUAUUUAAUCUCCUUUGGCAGGCCAACGUUUUGCAGGAUAUGCAGGAAGAAGUCAACUGAAGGGUUUGAAUCAGUUCCAUACGUGGUUUCUCUGUUCAGCGCUAUGCUUUGGCUGUACUAUGCGUCCCUCAAGUCCGAGUCCAGCGCUUUCCUGCUCCUCAUGGUCAACUCGGUCGGAUGCGCCAUAGAGACGAUCUAUAUCGCUCUCUACCUCACGUAUGCUCCUAAACAAGCCAGGGUACGUAGCUACAGCGUUGUUCGUGAAGAACACACCUAAUGUAUUCUAAUUGUUGGAGAGUGGAUGCGCAGAUGAUGACGCUGACACUGCUGUUGCUGAAUUUCGGAGGGUAUUGUUCCAUUCUUCUUCUGUCCCACUUCUUGGCAAAGGGAUCGGCGAGGGUCCAACUUGUUGGGUGGAUUUGCGUUGCGCUCUCUGCUGCAGUCUUUGCUGCUCCUCUAAGCGUCAUUGUAAUUUACUUCUAUCUGACUCCUUCCUUUUUUCUGCACGAGAACGCCUGUCUUGCAUGUCAAUCUAGGACACAAGUUGUGCAUGACAUGUAUUUUGGUUUCGACGUACAUGUGAGUUUACAUAUGUGUGUGCAGAGAAUGGUGAUACGUACCAAGAGCGUGGAGUUCUUGCCCUUUUCUUUAUCGUUCUUCCUCAUGCUCAGUGCUGUGACUUGGCUCCUAUACGGCCUAUUCCUCAAGGACUUGUAUGUCGCGGUAUGCAUGGUUCAUCUACGUGUUAAAAUCAAGAUGGCGAGGUGUGGCAAUAUUAUUUCCGUUCCCCUGAAUGAACAGUAUUAACAUGUGUACGUGCAUAUAUAGGGUCCAAACGUGUUAGGAGUCAUCUUUGGAGUGCUUCAGAUGGCGCUGCAUGCCAUAUACAGGAAGAGAAAUAAAGUUGUGGCGGAGGAGGAGAAGAAUGAUACCAGUGUUGGAAAGCUGAGCUCUGAUACACAAAGUUGCAAUGGGCAUGCCUUCAUCAUCUUUAUUGAAGCUUCUGAUAAAGGACCAGUGGCCCCUCCAUCUGAAGUUUGACAGGCGUCUAAGUUACUCAUAUGCCCGAUCAGAUUUUCUGUUUUCCAGCAGCUCCUAGCUGGCUUACUCGUUGCUUCUGCUAUGUAAAGUGCAAAUGCAUGCGCGCAUGUAGGUGCUUGGAGGGGUAGAGUUUUGUUUGUAAAUGUUCAACUUGUUUUUCCUAAUAAUACAGUUAUCAGACGCAUUACUCUUUCAGAAACAGAUUCAGCUACUCUCCGUUCUUUGCUGAUUGAUUGAUAUCAUCUACUUACCAGGUGAGGUCUGUCUGCUCGCUAAACAAUUUUUUCCUUUGAAAUCCAGCUAGUUAGGAUCAUGAGCUAAGAUCUGAGACACUUUGGGAAACCUAAAUCUGCCUCUUCAUCAGAAUAUAACUGGGGUCACGUAAUGCGUGCCCUGAGAUGACAUUCUUACUCUCUGAUUCCAAUUCGGGAGAAGUUUGCUCAAGUGGGUAAUAAACUCACUGAGGAUAGCACGCACCAAUAGGCCCAGAUUCAACCGGACCGUCAACCCAGUUACUACAAAAAAUCAUAGUUAAAAAGUGCUCCCAACACACCAUAGAUAUCCCUGAUACUCAACUGAGAGAUCAGAGGAACUUCCCCCUAAAGGAAAGUAAACAGUACGUACUUCCUCAAUCAGACUGACGAUAAAAGAACUUGAGUCACAGCCAAAUGUUUCUUUUGUCAAGCAGGAUCAACAGUUGAUUCUCAUCCUACAAACAUGAAGGACUUCAACGCUAGCAAUUUCCCCUAUGAGGAAGCUCUUUUUUCUACAACCAAUGAGCAUGCGGAAUUGGAAUACACUAUUGCAGUAGUUGAAACAAUUUUUACAGGCUUGCAAUUGCCUCUCACUGUAUCAGAUUCUUCCAAGGCAUUUUGGAAAAGUAAAUAGCUGCAUUAUGUGAAUUUGCUACAUUUUUCAAGAUAAUUUAGAGAACAGCCUUGAGAUGAAAAUUUGGAAUGUUCUCAGGCUAGCUAAGUGAUGCCCGAUCUGGAUAUGGGCACUCACAGACCCAACCGGGUCCAGAAUAUCGUAUGCAGUGCAGCCAUAAUCCCUCCUCACUCCCAUCAUAUCUGCAUUUUGCAGAAACUCAGAAAUCAAAUCUUAGGUUCUCUAUCGUACACACGCAGGCAAAGGUGUGCAAGCAGAAUAUGAGUAAAGACAAGUGCCCAAGAUGGGAAAAAGGAGGAACACACCCUUUUGGAGCUAAAUUCGGACAAUUCGUGCACACAGGGUCAGUAAUAAAUUCAAUGCAAGGGUCUUCUUCCUUAUGAUUCUGCCCAAUAUCAGAAACACUGGAUUCCAAUGACAAACCAGCAGCUUUAUCGGCAACCAUUCCUUCAUCUGAACGAUUGGUCCUUUGUUCAAGAAGGUAAAGCGUGUCAUUGGCAAUUGGAUGGCCACUAAACUGCAAAUGUACUCCUGUCUGCACAUAAAGAGCAGGGUUGAGAGAAGAAAGUACUGCAACUACAAGCAUAUAUCAAAUAAACCUCACAAAUUAGAAGAUAUAAAAAUCAGGCUGACUUAACCAAAUGCAGAGGUAUAUAAUAAGCAGGAUCCGAAAGUAUCUUCCAAAAUGAGCAGGACGCGGUUUAUGGAGAGACAAAAGUGCAGAAAGGAAAGCGCACAUGGCUCAAAAAGUUUACAGUAAAUGCAAUGUCCUUCCUGUAUGUGUGGGUACAUCUGUGCAUGCAAUUGACCUUGGCUACAUUAAGGAAAAACAACCAAGGAAGGUUCACUGCUUAUGGAAUAGAAAAUAGGAGGUAUCAGACUCUCAACAUGGUAUUUGCAUCCUAUAGCAUCAUAUUGCCUUACCUGAUGAGUUCUUCCAGUGACUGGUUCACAGAGAAUAAUGCUAUGAGUUCCAUUGGUGCUGAUCCUUGUGAACUUUGUACAAGCGGCCUUUUCUUUCAAGAGGGCAGUAUCACAAGUAGGGUCACCCGCCUGUACAAAGCAUGCUCUUCCAUUCACUGCCAAUGCUCUAAUGUACUGGUUGAAAUUAAGACACGACCAUGAAACAGUCAGGGCAGAUGUAUUCUAAAUGUAGAAUGAAAAGAAAGCUCUAAGAGCGGUCAUACACUGCGACACACCAUGCCACGUGGACCAGGAGAAGGGUGACAGAUGACAUCCUACCACCAUUUUAAAUUUCCUUAGAGAUUAGAAAGCCUUUAUAUGAUGACUCAGCCAUAUAAAAUCCAAAUCACAUACUAUUGGGUCAAAAGGAGCUCGUAAGGUGAGACAGCAUAUGUGCUAAUGAAUGGGGAAACUGUGGCUUCUUGCUUUUGGCUGGCAGUAUUUAGAUUUGCUGUUUCAUGUACCAAGGCUCGCAGAUUUUGCAUAAGCCAGCACUAUGUCACGAGCUUGGAGCUCUUACCUUCUGACAAAUUUAGUUUGGAUUACCAUCACACAUUACUUUUCAAUUCCAUUUCAAACAGUGUGUUGCACAUCACCAAGAUAACAGUCCACAGUGGCUCAUAAGUAUAUGAAUGUUCCUAAAAAGUAUUGAGAGGCCAUCAUAAAUGGAUAUCUACAAAACUAUAUAGUUAUUUUUACAUGCCUCUGUAAGAAUGUUAAGAAAGGGCAUUAGCUUCCAUUUAUAGCACUCUGAUAACAUUCAAAAUUGCAUCCCAUAAUGAAUUCAUAUUGGUUAGUCACAAAAACCUUCAUUUACAAACGAAAAAGAGAAAAAAGAAAGAAAGGAGAAGAAAUCAGUACACAAGGAAGGCAUCACAUAAUUUUCAUUGAAAAGCAUUAUCAGAAAGCCAUCAUUUCAAGACCCUUCUCCAACACCCAGAAGCUCAGUUUCAUUUCCGUAACCUCAUGUAAUACAGUGAUUGAUAUAAAUUUAAACUCAGAAAAAGGUUGAAAUAACAAGGUUUUGAGCAAAUAUAAUACAGUGAUUGAUAUAAAUUUAAACUCAGAAAAAGGUUGAAAUAACAAGGUUUUGAGCAAAUACUCACCUCCGCUGUGCUCCUGCCUUCUUGAGCACUGUAAUUGAUGUUGACAUUGACCUCCAGCUAACAAGAAACCUUAGAACACAUAAAUCAAAUGAGAACUAAUAAGAAUGCAUUUCUGAUGCCACAUUCUCUAGAACUUUUUCACACGAUCUAACUAGCCUCCAGAAUCUUCUGAAGGGAGGACCUAAACGAAAAAUGACUAGUAAUCCUUUCCAUCGAAGUAGGGAGGUCUGGUAUUGCUUUGCCCCUCCAUCAGCCCCGGUGCUAGCAUAUUAGCCAUGGAUCUUUUACUCUGAAGUAAAACACUUCAAACAAAGUAAGAACACGGGCUCUGAUACCAAUUGAAAUAGCUAGUACGAGUACCUAGAGGGGGGGUGAAUAGGUAUAUAAAAAAAUUUCUCGAAGCUUGCACGAUAUUUAAACAAUUAAAGAAUUUGCAACAGUUAAAAAUUCAAUCGCAAGACUGAGUAAGGGAAAGAGAGAAUUGAACACUCAGUUUAUAGUGGUUCGGCUUGAUUCAAGCCUACGUCCACUCUUCUGCACUGACAGCCGAUUGGCUGGAUUCCACUAUGAUCAAAGAGUUGUUACAGUGUUGAUCUUCCUUGAUUUCUAGGUGUAGAUGAUCUACCACACUCGCUCAAGGCGUUACCAAGUACAAACACUCUCUGUGUACAAUUUCGCUCAGUCUCGACUAACAAUCAAGGAUCUUCAGACUCUGGAAUUUUUCUAUCGAUCACACACUUAAAACAACUAGAACAUCUUCCUUUUAUACUCCUUCAUGCCAUCAUAGCCGUUGGCACUUACCAAAGGAAUUCCUCCAAUCUACCCGUUGGACGGAAUCAAUCAAGAAGAUCAUCCGAGCUAUUUAAGGAAUCUGAUGAUAGCCCAUCAAUCCUGUUCGCCCAUACAAUCAGGAUCUCGGUUUCCAAGAAUAGAAUAAUCCAAGAUUAUUUCGUCGACCAUCGGAUCUUCAAUUGAUCUUAGAUAAAAAUUAAAGAAUCCGAAAUGAUUAUCCAACCAAAGAAUCUAUUCCAGAGGAUAGAAUCAAAUCCUCAACCAUAAACCUCGACUUUGGAUUUUCUUCAACACUGGAUUAGAAAGACUGUCAGUGAGAAUAAUUUUGAGUCUUGAGUUUUGAGUCUUGAGUCUUGAGUCUUGAGAUAACAAAGUCUUGAGACUAUAAAUUCUUGAGACUUUAACUAUCGAUAUCCAGACUUAGACUGAUAGAAAUGUUUUGUCAGCUUCAAAAUAUUCUGGAAAGAUUUCUCCAACAGUUUUAUAAUUACUAAAAUCUAUGUGGAGAAAAAGAACACAUGCAGACUUGUCCUUUCAGCGUUACCUCUUCUCAGGACAACUCAACAAACAAACAGAAAAUAGUUGAAUUGGAAUAAAGAAAUCACAUUGCUAGAUUGAGUGCAUCUACUUCAACAUCUCACAAUUCCAAUUCUUAAGGGUUAAACUCCCUGAUGUACUGUACUGCAGGAUUUUUCAGUUCGUAAAUUAUCCACUUAUAGUGCAUAAUCCCAAAUCAACAUAUUGAAGCAAGAGAUACCUCAUUCUCAGGAAAUUCACCCACCACCUUUGCAAUGUACUGUUUCUUCACCAAACCACCUUCAAUCUGAAGAUAUUUAAUGUCAGUUGAAACUUAAAAUUUUAGGCUGAAUAUCAUGUGUACCUCACCACAUCACAAAUAUGAUGUAUAAACACUUAAAAGUAUAUAAGAGGAUAUUCUAGAUAAUUUUUACUCGAGGGAAUGAAGUCAGCAGCAGAAAUAGUACGUGAUAGGACUACUGCUAUUAGGAGAAACAGUCACCAUACAAAGGAAAUACACAUCACAGAAAGAAAAUAUAUGACCUCUUUAAGUCACUCCAUAAAGUAGAUGUACAUGACACGGUGUGAUGAUAUCACAAAUGAUGAACAAGAUGUCACAACACAGCAGCAUGCUCAGAGAACUACCACUACCCUUGUUGUAAAUGUAAGAGAGCCCCACUUCCUUUUAGGCAAUUGACCACCCGCAAGUAUUGCAGCUAAUAGGAAUUUACAUUAGUACGGCUUCCAAAAGCACGCUUUUCAACACAACACUUACCUGUUGCCUGAAAAGAUCUGCUUUUGACGCGUUUCUGGCAAAUAUAAGGAGUCCAGAGACCAGGCAAUCUAGUCGGUGAACAGCUUGCAUUAUAAUAUUAAGGAGGAUGUACGAAAUCCAUAAUGUGGAUGUGUCACCAGAUAUAGGUCAGAGGAGGGAAAAAGAGUUAAUGAUAGACAUCAAGAAUCACAAGGAAACAGAAUAUGCCCAGUCUGAUUUCGAUAGAGCCAAGAAUACACACGCAUGUGAAAGAGCUUCUUGGGAUAUGAAAUGGGGGUGCCAGCCCAUCCUCUGCCUGAAGGAUGCUGACCACAGUGUUUUUAAGAUACUGACCACAUGGAUACACCUAUAAACAAGUUGAAAUUUCUAUAAACAUAGAUCCUAUAAGGCCAGAAGAGCUAGCUAGACCAAGCAAGGCUGUUGUAACCGUAUUACUGUCUGAAUCUCAUCAGUGAUUUUACAGACUCAUGCAACACGAAAUCACUCUUUUGUUGUACAUUUGAAAUGAGGGAAAACAUAAAUGUGUUGUUCCUUACUGGAAUAGAUGCCGGCUUACAAACAGUCACCACAUCCGGUUCUUUCUGUAGGAUGGAGACACAUGGCUCAUCACAGGAGGCUCAUGCCUACAACCUUAUCAACAUUAACACAUAUUCAAAGAAUACCCUAAAACUUCCAGAAAAAAACUGUAAAUUAAGAUUAGAAUUCUUAACUCGUGGGUGAAGAAAGAAGAAAGAAGCCUGAAGAAACAAAAAAGGUAAAGAAAGGGAAUCUAAGCAAAAGAAACUGAUGCAGCCAAAGGGAUAUAUCAUCUCUAGAUUAGACUCUUGAAAAGCAACAUUUUCAUAAAGAGAUCAUAGCAAGUGUAAAGCUCAAACCAACCUGUGUACAAAGUGGCUUAUUUUUUCAGACGAUUUUACAAUGUAAGAGAUAGGAAAGCCCCUCCCCUCGACUUGUAUCCAUCCACAUUCAACAGCACUGACCUACAGGUUAUGACUAGGCAUGAUUAAAAUUCAUGGUCACAUGCAGAACUAAACAUUCGUUAUGCAAUGAAGAAAAUGCUUACAUAACACUCAUAAGGUCUGCCUUUGAACUCGUGGGCAAACAAAUCCACAAUGGUUUUGCCCGCCCAGCGGCUCUUGACCUAUAAUACAUCAUAAUUCAUAACAAGAAACCAGCCAAAUUGAGAGCUCCAGGUUGAAGCGGAAAAGGGCUUAACGAGGGUCUUGACCAAAUAAAAGUUCGAUCACAAGUGAAGCAUGCAAACCACUCCACUCCAGAAGAAGAAAGACGAGAUAGCGACGACUCAUAUGAGAGAUGAACUCGCAGUGGUAGGGUGCGACGUAGCGCCUCCCUGCAUUCUCUUCAUAGAUCAGUCAUCUUUUCGCUCUCUCCACUGGCAAGAAUCUAUAAACAAUGAUGACCCAUGAAAGAAAAAUACUCUGUCGAGAGUGAGGUCACGAGAUAAAUGAAUUACCUUCGCGGAAGAUGAAAUCUUGGCGCUCCGGCGGAUUCAACGGAGUUUGCCACACGACCUCCCCAACCUCCCCCUCCUUCUUCCUUUCUCUUCCUCUUCAUUUUCCUGCGACCAUCGACCGCUAGAAACGACGGCGCUGGGGAGGAAUAUGAUCCGUCAGAGCAAAAGGCGCUUCCUUUAUCCCACCUGAGGUAAGCGGGAGCUGCAGUGGCAGAGACAAGGCGACGUCGUUUCCAGCGUUCCGUCCCGUCUGUCCGUCCGACACUACUCUGGUCUGUAUUUUGGUCUUCGUUUCCUGUCUCGUUUGGUGACUCGCCAACAAACCGACACCAAUCUUCCAAACCAAAAGCAGUCGCAUUUCGGUCGUUAGCUUCACCAACUUGCCAAGGUAUGACAUGUUUCUCUGAGCUACUCCCUGCCCAUCAAUACCUUUAAACUCGACACCAUCUUCGCUUUCUUUCCCACGCCGUAUCUUUGAUUUCCUUUUGCCGAGAGUUCACCAAGUCCCAGCUUUUCAUCUUCCUGCUUGCCAGCUUAAUCCAUCGACUCGACUUCCUUUCGCUGAUUCAGAUGGAAUGAUCCAAUAAGGUCCCUUGUUGAACUGAGACGAGGCAGAGAGACGGGCACGCGGGAGUGAUCGACAAGAAGGAGGCGGAAAUGCGUGAAGACGAUUUGGUGGAUGUAAAGUUCAGAUUGUUCGAUGGAUCGGACAUGGGUCCCUUCCAGUACUCAUCGGCACCCACCAUCGAGAUGUUGAAGCAGAGAGUUGUCUCCGAUUGGCCCAAAGGUUUCCCUCACACCUCCUUCCCAUGUUCGUUUAAGUAUACGUUUUGUGCUGAAUAACCAUAUAAUCCGGUAUCUUCAUCUUGUUCAGAUAUGGUUUAUAAGAUUGGUAAGAUAGUUUAAACCAGCUUAGCAGGGUCAUACGCGCAGACUAUAUGAACUUUUUCUUGUUUUAAGCCGACUACAGGAGCUGCUUUCUUGUGGAAUGUAGGAACUGUCUAGGAACUGAGAUCAUGUCUACUACUGGGCCUUUUCUUAAGUUAGUGAUGACCCUGCUUUAAAUUUAUCUGAAAUUAUAUCAGUGCCAGUGAGUCAGUGACCACAAGUUUAUGACUCAUGGUGCUAUCAUGAAGAGCUGUGAUCGUCUGUUUGCGUACACGCUUCCAAGGCCAAGUUCUUUCCCAUCUUCAAAAAAUUUUCACCCUUAUUAAAAGAUCAUUUUCAUAAAUCCGUACAGCGAGUUCGCAUUAAUAAUGCCUAUGAAUUUUUCAAUCACAAAUAUUCUUCACUGUUUAUUACAAAUGGUAUCCUUCUUGAGAGCACCUGCGCAUAUUCCCUCCAACCAAAUAGUGUUGUCAGAAGAAAACAUUGUUAUCUCUAGAAGCUGCUCGCUCCCUUAAAUGUCAAGCUUUUAUUCCAAAAAUGUUCCAAGAAGAAUGUGUGGUCAUGGAAACAUACUUAAUCAAUUUGAUUAUCUCGAGUCCUUAAUGGACGAACCCCCUUCGAAUUGAUUUUUGGGAAAAGUCCAGAUAUUCGCCAUUUGUGUCUUUGGUUAUUUACAUUAUGUGUCUAUCAUGGGCCCUCAGAACAAAUUGUAUCUUCAUGCUGUUAAAUGUAUAUUCAUGGGAUAUCAUACUCUUCAAAAGGGAUAUUUAGUUUAUGACCCAUCCACUAAGCGUUUAUUUAUCAGUAGAGAUAUUAUCUUCCAUGAAUAUGUUUUCUUGUUCCAAGACUAGUUAUCUUUUCAUAAACAAAUUAAUAUGGCUACUAAUCACUGCCCAUUUUUUUACUAAAGCAGUUUUUGUUGCCCUUUCGACCGAUGAUGAUUCCCUAUAUGUCCUCUCCCAUGGCAUCCUCAGCUCCUCAAUAUGAUGCAACCUCAUUAUCAGGUACAUAUAAUACAGCUCUCAAUAUUCCACAGGAAGUCACAUCAAAGCUCCGUACAACUUCUCAAUCACAUACUUCUUUGGGUGAUAUCUAUCUUGAAUCACAUGGGAUUAUUCCAUCCGCUGCACUAAUUCCUCCUUGACGUUCCGAUCAUACUACAUGACCACCCACAUGGACAACAGAUUAUAUUUGUCCUACCUUUGAGUCAUCUAGUAGACAAUAUCCCAUCUCAUCACAUGUUAUACUCACCUUUCACCUGACAUAUGUGCUGCCUUAGCAGAAUAUUUGAAGGACAAGAACCAUCUUCAUAUGAUGAAUCUACAAAAGAUCCUUGUUGGCAACAAGCAAUGGUGGAUGAAUUACAAGCCCUAAUAGAAAAUAAAACUUGGGAUAUCAUUCCUAUACCCCUCAUCGGAAAAUCUGUGAGCUGGUACACAAAAUCAAAUACAAGAUAGAUGGUUCCAUUGAACCUUAUGAGACAGGAUUAGUAGCCAAAAGGUUCACUCGGCAAGAAGGUUUUGAUUAUAUUGAAACGCCCUCUCCAGUAGUGAAGGAAGUCAGCGUCCAUUCCUUCUUUUCCGCUUUUCGUGAUUGGCCCAUUCGUCAAAUGGAUAUUCGUAAUGCAUUUUUCAUGGGGAUCUUAAAGAUGAAAUCCACAUGGACCUUUCACUGGAUUUACGCGGACAAUGAGAGAAUAAUGUAUGUUAUUUCUGUAAAUUCCUAUAUGGACUUAAACAAGUUUCUUAUCAAUGUUAUGCCGACAUUGAUUAUGCUUUAUUCUCAGCAAUUUACUUGCUUAUAUACAUUGAUGAUAUGCUUAUUAUAGGAAAUAAUGAAAAUACCCAACAUAUGUGUCUCAUAUUAAGGAUUUAGGACAUUCCAAAUACUUUCUUGGGAUAGAGAUUGCACGAUCAGAUAAGGAAAGUUGCCUCAAUUAACAAAAAAUUGUCCUAGAAAUCAUAGUAGAAGCAAAACUAUUGGGAUCUAAACCAAUUGUUAUUCCAAUUAAACAGAAUGUUAAGUUAACAAUUGCUGAGUAUUAUAAAGGACUAUCACACCCGAAUGACAACCUUUUGCUCAAAUACCCUUCUUCUUAUCAGAGACUUGUCGAGAAACUCACAUAUUUAACCAUGACUAAACCCAACAUAUGCUAUUCUGUGCAAAUUUUCAACUAGUUCAUACAUAACCUGAAGCAAUCCCACAUGAAUGAUUCACUAAAGGUUGUAAAGUACUUAAAGGAAUUUCCAAGUUUGGGAAUACUACCCUCUCGGGAAAGCAACAUGGAGAUGACAACGUAUAAUGACAUAUUAUGCUACUUGCCCUAUGAGUAAAAAAUAUUUCAGUAAAUUCUGCUUCAAAUUAGGCAACUCAUUAGCCUCUUAGAAACAAAGAAAUAGUCAACUACUUUUUCAUCAUCUGUUGAAGCAAAAUAUCAAGCAAUUGGCAAGACUAGCUUGGAGAUAGUUUGGAUUAGAGGAUUACUUCAAGAUAUUAGCCUAUCGGUAAAAGAACCGACCAUCAUAUUCUGUGAUAAUGAUGUUACACUUAAACUUGUAGUAAAUCUAGUUUUCCAUGAAAGACACAACAUAUAGAAAUUGAUUGUCAUUUGAUUAGAGACAAAAUUCAAGAUGGAGUAAUCAAAACAAGAGAAAUGAGAAUGACGGAACAGCCCGUAGACAUCUUUAGUAAACCCCUACAUGAGAGGCAACAUGCGUAUAUAUUAAGCAAGCUGGCAUCCUUGAUGUGUAUAAACCAUCAGCUUGAGGGGGAGUGUUGAAGAUAUUUUUGCCUAGACUGAUUGAUCUUGAUCCAGAUACUGAUUGUAAUUGUUGCCUAAUUAUUUCCUUUACUUUGCAUGUCUCUUUUUCCUUAAAUAGUUUGAUCGUAUGUGCUGUAAAAAGGACUAUAAUUGUACAACAUUGAUAUGAGAAAGCGAUAUACAUUUUUCUAAUUUUCUGACAAUUUCAUGAAAUAAAAUUAUUAGGCGCCAUUGUUAAUUAUCUAUCUUGUACUUAAAAGUCCAUUAAUACAUCUAAAGAUGAUAAAAGAUGCUAUCUCUAAAAUUUGGUGUUGUAAGGUCAUAAGUUAAAUGGCUACUAAGCUAUCAAUUUUAGUUCCUAAGCCAUUGGAUCUCAAUUUGACAUGUCUUUCAUAUGGGAAAGGACUUACUAAAGUCUUUUUUUUUUUUUUUUCAUCUAGUUAGAUAGAUAUUUUGACAAUAGAAAUAUAAGUUUGAACGGGAAAUUUUCUAUACUUAAAAAUGAUCCUAUCUAAGACCAUAUGCAUCCAUGCUCAUUAUCUCAUGACAUGUGGUACGUCUAAAAAAAUAGAUUUAGCAAUACCCAUUAUUUCCUAACAUGGUAUAUAUAAACAGCUGGUCUUUUCUAUACAUGAAGAAUUGUUAGGUGUGCUCGUAUUAUCUAUUAAAAUCAAUGUGGACCGUCACAUGUGUGAAAUCCAUAUGGUCAUAAGAAACCAACUUUCUGAAAAUGCCCAAAAUUCUUUAGUAUAUAUAGAGCACUCACCUAAUAAUUUUUACUAUGGGAAGAACUGGUUUCGCAUGUUACUAUUUCAAAAAUGAAGUAUCUUUUAAAAAGUUUUCUUGACAUGUAUAUAUAUAUAUGUAUGUAUGUUGUAGAAAUACUUAAAUGAUUCAAAGAAUGCUCUAGAUAAUUGAAAAUUCAGAGACGAUCACAUGAUGCGCAACAUCAUUUUCAAAUUCAUAAACUUGUAAUGUCAAAAAACAUGACAUGCGUCCGAAAUUGUUAGAAUAAGAAUGAUGAUUAAGACAGGGUAUAAAUCUAACUUAACACGAGGCAAAAUUUUUCCAUAAUUUAAAUCCAAAGCGAUUAUUUAAGCAGUCCACAACACGGAACAUGAGCGCGAAACUUGGUCACGCUAUAACUUUCUCCAUUGAACCCCAUUUCAAGCGUACUUAUAGUCAAUGGAAAGCCCUUCCAACAUUAUUACAAGAACCCCAAUUUAGCCAACCCCAAAUCUAGCCGAAAACCAACAAAAUAUGGCCCCAAAAUACUGGUCGCGCACUGUUCAUCACGAGCGAGAAACUUCAAAAUUUUGUUUUGGGCAAACCGUAAACUCAAAUCAAGAUCUGUAAAAUCCUAUAGCACCCUAAACUAUCAUUUCUAUAUAUACAGCUCAACGACUCAAAAAUUGGAUUUUGACGCACGAAUUUCACAUAUUCCCAAAUUUAAACCCCAACUUUGAAAACCAUUUUGAUUAGAAAGACGAAGGGCAUGAGCAUUUAUCGAGCGUUGUAAAUCAAAAUUGAAUCGGCUUGGCAAGGCGUCCACAGCAAGAGUCCCCUCUCUUUCCUCCUCUUUCUUCUUCUUCUUUACGUUCCUUUCUCUCCUCUUUCUUCUUUUCCUUCUGCCCGAACGUGCCUCCUCCUUUUCCUCUCUUUUUUUUCUCCCUCUCUCCCGAAAACUCUCGGUCUCUCUCCUUCUUCUUUCUCUUUUUUAUUUUUUUGACUGGAUCAAAACCCAUAUUUUACCGUUAGAGACUCUUAUCAGCUCUUAUCCCAUCAAGUGGCCAUCUCAUAUUAUAAUUCCACACUCAACCUCGAACCGAGUGAUUACAUUGUCCUCUGGAAGCAAUCAAUAUAUGCUCUUCCAAAAUCCUCUUGUUAUGUAGAGCUUUCCUCUACCGAAAUGGUAGGUGUAACCCUAAUACCCUCUCGUCACCAUUUCCGUAUCUUGGCCAUGGAAUCUCAAAUUCCAGGAAGUCUCAUCUACAUUUUCCCUUGCAGUUAGCUUCGUCACCCUUCAAAAUUGCUUCGUACAACUGAACGAGCCUCGCUUUCUUCCUUCCUUCCCCAUCGACGCUUUCACCACCACUUCUUUGCUUCUGUUUCAAUUCUGUUCGUUUUUCAUCUCCGGACCUUCCAAGUGUUGUUUUCAUGUUCCCUUUUGGCCAUGUUCGAGAUUACCCAGGAACAUUCACACGCCAGUCUCGCUCACCUUUGCUUUAACAGGUUCAACCUGACCUAGAUUUCCCUUUCUUUUUUCUCGAUUCUGUCUAGCAAACUCAUGGACCAUGAAGAAGAUGAGACUUCUUCCCGACUUGCCGCACUUUGUCAACGUCUGGGAAGAUUAUGCUCAGCACAUGAAAUAGAGGUCUAGAACGACGAGCCAUCCCCUGCAAAAUUGGAGGAAUGUAGAUUAACUCUCAUAGGUAAAAUAUUUUCUAAUCCCUCUAUCAAUUUCCAGGCUUUUCAGAGCACGUUAAAGAGAGUAUGGAGAACAUAACAGGUUGACAUCUCACAGAGAGAGGAUGGUGUCUAUGUGGCAAAAUUUAAAUCGGAGACACAUAAGCAGAGGAUUCUAGAGGACGGACCUUGGCUAUUUUCCAGACAUCUCGUAGCUUUUAAAUCUUGGAUUCCAAAUACCCCAUUGCAUUGCUACGACUUCUCCACCUGCGCCUUUUGGGUGCAAGUUUUUGGCUUGCCAUUGGAGUGGUGCACUAAACAAAUGAUUUCCAAGGCAGUCAAAAAUAUUGGCACAGUGUUAGAAGUAAAAGCAGAUAAAGAAGGUUUUAACAUGAGAUCGGGUCGCGCAAGAGUAGAAAUUAAUCUACAGGAACCUUUGCAGACAAGCCGACUUAUUAGAAUCAAUAACAAGACAUUAUGGUUGGAUUUUCGUUAUGAGCGGCUUUCACACUUUUGUUAUUCAUGUGGGAAGUUGAGGCAUUAUGCCAUGUCUUGUAAGGACAUUCCAUUUGACGAAGUGAGACUUGAUGGAAAGGAGAAGAUGGCUUAUGGACAAUGACUCCGUGCAGAAGUUAAGGAGCAUAGCCCUUACUGGAGAAUCUAUUAUGAACCGAAGGAUAAGGAAGAAACUUUGGAAGAGAUAGUACCUGAAACACCUCCUACAACCACCCACCCUCUCCCUUUACUACCGCCGACAAUUACCACAGAAGCAACUCCCCUCCUGCAGCCUAUGGUAGCAACUACCACUUUUUCAACAGCUCUAAAGGAUCACCAAGGACAUGCGGGUACUCUGUCCAGUAGCAUUAUUCAUACAAUGAUGAUACCUGCAACAGAAAAGCUGAAGGGUGUUUAGGUUCAGCCAAGCAUUUUAUAACAUGUGAAGAAAAUAAAGAACUUUCGCCAUACACCGAAGAUUGGUCCUGCCAAGAAGCUCAAAUGCUACAACCCCUAUGACAUGCAAAUUUCAGCUCCAGACGACUUAGACGAAUCGUUACUUAUGGACACACCCAUCAUGGAAGCAACUGAAGACGGAAGUUGGGCAAAGGUGGCUGGCCCUAAACAACCACCUCCUCACAAAUGAAAAUCCUAAGUUGGAACUGUCAGGGUUUGGGCAAUCCCCUGACAGUUCAAGCACUAAAAGCCCUUGUGGCAACGGAAAAGCCCGAUCUCUUUUUUUUUUUUGGAAACUAAGAACAAAGAAGUUGUUCUUCAUACCUUACCAAAAAAAAAAAAAAAAAAACAAAGAAGUUGUUCUUCAUAGAAUGAAAUGCCGUUUACAUUUUUUGCAUCUUCAUGUGUACAACCCGGUUGGCUCAGCAGGAGGCUUGGCUGUGUUAUGGAAUGCCAGCAUUACUUUAACUUUUAUCAGCUCUACUUCGGACUAUUUUCACAUGACAUGUAAGGAUGAAGAGGACGGCAAAACCUGACGUCUUACUUGUCUCCAUGCUCUUGCUGUCAAUCACUUAAGAUAUCAGGUAUGGCAGGAUCUUAUUCAAAUCAUCAAUGGCAAUCAUCUACCAAAGGUUUGCAUAGGAGAUUUUAAUUAAAUUCUUUACCACUGGGAAAAGGAAGGGAAAAGACCAGCAGAUUUCAAUCAAUUAGCAUCUUUUCAAGCGGUUGUGAAUGAUUGUUCUUUAAUGCAUAUCAAAGCAAAGGGGUGUGCGUUUACAUGGAUGAAUAAUCGAGAAGGGGAUGAGUUCAUCAAGGAAUGUCUUGAUAGAGUCCUAUGCUCUAUGGAAUGGCGCCUAUUAUUUCCUAGGGCUGAAGUUCAUGCACUCCCUGCUAUGGGAUCUGACCAUAGCCCUCUCUUAUUAAAUACCACAACUGCUAUUGGGAAAAAACAGCGGUACUUUAUGUUUGAAGCUUAUUGGAACCAGGAUAGUGAUUGUCGCGAAAUUAUUAAUACUUCAUGGAAUUCUGAAAAGGUGAAGAAUGCAGCAUUUAUGCGUAAAAUUUAGGCAGUUUCGGGUGCACUAGCAAAGUGGAGUCGCAACAAAUUCUCACAUAAUCGACUCAAAGUGGCAAAUUUGCAACAACAACUGCAGCAGCUCACAAACCAACCACAUAGAUUUUAUGACAACUUGGCAGCGUCAGCUUUGAAGGAGGAGAUACAAAAAGUGUGGCAUCGAGAAGAACAGUAUUGGGCAAUGAGAUCCAGGAUCAAUUAGCUUAAAUGGGGUGAUAAGAAUACCAAAUUCUUUCACGCCACUACUAUCCAACGACGUCAACGGAAUAGAAUUACUAUGUUGAAGGAUGAUAACCACACUUGGGUGCGGGAUUCUACACAAUUAAAGGCAAUGGCGACAGCAUUCUUUUCACGCUUAUAUACCAUAGUGGGAAGUCGCAACUAUGGACCUAUAUUAGAUCAGUGUCCUUCUGUGGUUACGCAAGAGAUGAACGAUGUCUUAAUAGCAAUGGUAACCCUCGAAGAGGUGCAUCCGACUACUUUUCAAUUAGGAGCCACCAAAGCUCCGGGUCUAGAUGGUUUAAAUGGUUUAUUUUAUCAAAAGCACUGGGACAUCAUUAAAGAUGACCUCUUUACAGUGGUAUGCAAUUUUUUUUUUAUAUAAGGAAUUAUGCCCUUUGAUCUAAAUAGAACUAUUAUCUCACUGAUUCCUAAAACUCCCCAUCCCAAAAGUUUAGAUCAAUAUCGCCCUAUCAGCUUGUGCAAUUAUGCUUACAAGAUUAUUUCCAAAGUCAUUGCCAAUAGAUUGAAACCUCUCCUACUAGAUCUGAUCUCAAAAGAACAGUGCGCUUUUGUGGGUUGUAGGCAGAUACAGGACAAUAUUUUACUAGUCCAGGAAGUUCUCCACCAGCUCAAGAUAAAAAAUAAAAAAAGAAGGAAGCGUCAUUUUCAAGCUGUUCUUAAAAUGGACAUGAAGAAGGCGUAUGACAGGGUGGAAUGGGAUUUUCUACAAGCUUAUCUUCUCAAAUUAGGAUUCCACUCCAUGUGGGUCCAGUGGGCUAUACAGUGCAUAACAACCCAAUCAUCCUGCGUCAAAUUCAAUGGAGAACAUCUACAGUAUUUCCAUCCUACCAGGGGUCUUCGACAGGGUGAUCCUCUAUCCCCAUAUCUUUUCAUCCUGAUGGCUAAUCUCUUAUCUUUUCUUAUCAAGCCAUCAACAUGGAAAACCUCAAGGGUAUUAAACUUAACAGGUGGUGUCCUACUUUAUCACAUUUGUUUUUCGCAGACAAUGCCAUUUUCUUUCUAGAUGGUACUGUUAUUGAAUGUCAAAACUUAGCGAAUAUAUUACACCAGUACUACUUAGCAACAGGGCAAGAAGUUAAUAAAACUAAAUCCGACAUCUUUUUCGGUACAGCUUGCCCUGCUAGAUUACAGGAGAAUAUGGCCACGGAGUUGAGAGUACCUAUUUUGCAAAAGUCUGGAAAAUAUCUAGGGAUACCAUCUGAUUGGGGGCAUUCAAAAAUGGACAUGUUUUCAUGGAUAAUGGGGAGAGUUCAUUCCAAAUUGGAAGGUUGGAAAGAAAAUCUCAUUUCGAAAGGUGGGAAGGAGAUUCUUCUUAAAAUUGUAGUACAAGCUAUUCCACAAUACGCCAUGUCUAUUUUCAAGUUACCUUUGUCUAUCUGCAAAGCUAUUGAGAAAAGAAUUGCAAGGUUUUGGUGGCAGAAUGAAUGACAUGUGUAAAUCAGGUAUUCAUUGGCGAAGUGGGGAAGUUCUGAAAAGAAGAAAAGAGGAUGGUGGUUUGGGAUUUCAAGAUCUGAUGAAUUAAUAGAGCCAUGCUAGGCAAGCAAGCAUAGCGUUUACUUCAUCAACCAUUAUCUUUAUGGAGUAAAGUCUUUAAAGGACUUUAAUUCCAUUCAACGAGCUUCUAUAAUGCAGAAAAAGGCUCUCGCCCAUCUUGGGGCUGGCAGAGUCUUAUUAUCGGAAGAUACACUAUCCUACCCAACAUUCACCGAUCUGUUGGAGACGGGCGAUCAAUCAAAAUUCGAGGAGAUAGGUGGCUACCUAUCGGCAUAUUAGGCGGACCUACAAUCCACGAAGAACCUCAACUGGUGGUUGACCUUAUAGACUAAACCAAUAGCACCUGGAAUGUCAAUCUGCUGAACAGACUCUUCGACACGCAGGUAAUAGAUCAGAUCACUACCAUCCCAAUAAGACCCAAUUUUGUUAAGGAUCAGAUUAUAUGGACUGCUACCAAAGAUGGAUAUUUCACUGUCAAAACUACUUAUCAUACACUCACAGAUUCAGCAACAACUCAGACAGAAAAUACAGCUUCCACAUCUUACCAGAAUCCAAGCUGGUUAUGGAAGAAAAUCUGGAAAAUGAAUACCCCCAAAAGUUCGAACAUUCCUAUGGUUGCUAUGUCACAAUGCUUUAGCCACAAGAACAAAUUUAUACCAGAGACAUAUCAUUGCAAAUCCGAGUUGUCUUCUCUGUAAUCAGCAAGCACCAAAAACCCUAGAACACUUGUUCUUACUAUGUCCAUGGACUAAACAUGUUUGGUCUCAUCCCUAAAUUGAUAUUCCGAUCUCACCUCUCGAUAUUAAUAGAAUCGACGGAUGGAUUACAGAGAAAGCUCGAAAGCAAAAUUCAUUACCUGGCUUGGAGACACUAGCUACUGUGCUUUGACAGAUUUGGCGAGCUCGAAAUGGAUUCAUCUUCAGAAAUGAAGGGCUUCAACCAUUUCACGUGGCUGAAGCAGCGCUCGCUGGAACCCAUGUUGCUCGGCUAGCGGCUCAUUCUCUAACCAGCAAAGGAAGGUCACUCCAGAACAAGGGAGCCCUGUGGAAGCCGCCAGAUCUAGGUACCCUGAAGGUCAAUAUAGACGGAUCACAUCAACUAGGCACCAGGGAAGGUUCUAUGGCUUGUGUUUGUAGAGAUCAUCACGGAAGACUUACCAAUGGUUUCUCAAGACACUUUGCUGCAAACUCGGCCCUAUAGGCGGAGAUCCAGGCUUUUACUCUCACCCUACAGUACCUGCUACGCCAAGGCUUAAACCAAGCGUAGAUUCUGGUUGAAUCGGACAGCUCAGUCCUCGUCGAGACGUUGAAUCGACGACGGAAGUUGCCAUGGGAGGAUCGCCCUCUGUUCUUCGAAGCCGCCUAUCUGUAUUCCAGUUUCCCUAAUCUUUUACUCUCCCACUGCAGAAAAGAGGCUAAUGUGGCUGCCGACUGGGCAGCAAAGGCCCACGAUCAUGCCUAUCCCUUUCAAAACUGGGCUGUUUUUUCACCGUUUUACUUGAUUGACAUUAUAUGUGCUGAUGCAAUAGCUGCCGGUUGUAAUGGGUUUUUAUCUUAGUAUAGUUUCCUUUUUCUGACCAAAAAAAAAACCUCGAACCGAGCCUACCCACAUCGAGAGCUCUCCAGCAAUUUGGCGCACGAAACUUCAAUCGCAAAUACCAUCGAACGAAUCUGGGAGGAGAGUUUAUAUGUCAAGGGUACCCUACUCCAUGUUCUCGCAUAAGACGCAUGAUACGAACGGAUGCAAUUCGCGAUAAGAUUAAUGCUGAUGUCGCGCUCAAAAAAGGGCUAGGGGAUAAAGCGCAACGAUACCAUUAAAUUAAAGUCUUGAUUAGCCAAAAGAAACGAUAGAAAGACCCGAAAUGAUUCGGCAUUCAUAGCGAAAAAGGGAGACGCGGAUCGAUCCGAAACGACCUGUCUCCCAUUUUUGGUGGAGGGGUGUGUGAAAAGAUGGGGUGGGGAUGGCAAGACGUCACUCCAUGAAUGGAUGGAUCGAAGGUUAUCCCCUCGACGUCUGUGCGAUUGCCCAAAUUGGCCAAGUGGAGAUCUAGCUGUGAACCCUGACUCAUCUCAAUCCUUCGACAUUUAGCGUAUGCAUCGAUCCACCUGAGAUCUUCAUAGAAUGUACCGGGCUCUUUAAUUUAACAUAAGCUAAUACAUUCGACAUAUCCUGAUGACCAACAGACAGUCAUGCAAUUGCUCCUGAAACAUAGCUUCUUGGUAUAGGUAAGGGUCAGAAGAAAUUUUCUGUGCUAUAUGUCUAUGCUUUUAUCUAAUGUCUAGAGUCAAAUUUUCUUUGCAUCGAAUUUGGCGUUACUUACUUAAAUACUAAGUUCAGUACGCUAGUAUCGCAAAUUUUGUUUUUUUCCUCACUUUAUCUUGAUUAAUAAUCGGGAUAAGUGCACUGGAAGUUCUAAAACUUACUAUAAAAGUAUAAUCAAAUUCUAUAAUUUUUAUAAAGUGCAAUUAACAAAAAGAAUUAAUUGGAUCAAUUUGACAAAUUUUAUGACUCAAUUGUACUUUUUGAAAGUUUUAGAACUCUAUUAUACUUUCGUGACAAAUUUUGGUGCACUCAAUACACUUACCCCGCAAUUAUUUUGACUAAAUCAUUCUUUUCUAAAUGGCCAGAUGAUUGUAUAAGGUGUUGUAAAUAUAUUAUUUUCUUUAACUUUUCGCUCAAGUGGAAACGUAGGCUACACCCUACUUAGUUUAACUUUUUCUAAGUAUCUAAGAUUGCUAUGUCAAUGAAGACAUAUUUAUAUAUAACAUCAAUAUAAAAUUAAUGUGGAUUAAGACAUGUCUACGUAGAAAAUCAAUAUAUAAUCAAUCUUUGGCGCAACGAUAAUAAGAAGGAAAGUCAAUAUUAUGCCUGGGCGAGGGUCAACCUCCCCAACGCGAGAACCUUGCCAUGGCCAAGGAGAGGCUAGUCGGGGCUCACCAAACCUCACCAUCGCUCUCACCCAAGCGAGGCCUAAUGAAGCACGGCAAGGCUACUUUGGCCUAGGCGAUGGUCAACCUCACCAGAUCUGGCGAGAGGGGCCUUGCUUGGCCAUGCCUGGACGGCCAACGCUUAGCCUCGACUUGGCGAGGCUAACCCUUGGCCGUGGCCCACAAUUGCGACUUUGCUAGCCAUGGUUGUGGUCAGUGGUUGGUGAUGGCCACCAGAAAAAGAAAAAGGGAGAGAAAGGGGGAAGGGAAAAAAAUUCAAUAAUUAUUUUAAAAUUUCAAAAAAUUCAAGAAAAUUAUUAAAAUAUUAUUUAAAAUGUCCAUGUCAAUGUCGAUCGCACCAUGUCGAUAGGCCAACGUGCGCAUCAGUAAUUUUCUACCUAAAUUGGCCAGAUGAAUUGAAUUGAUACCAAUAUAAAAAGAUUUAAAACUAAAUUGAUCCAAUUAAAAGGUUUAGGACUAAAUUGAUACCGAUAUAAUAAAUUUAGAACUUUUUCAGUACUUUUCCAUUAAAGGCAUGGACAACAAGGUAAGUUAUUUUACUCAAUAAUUGAAAAUACAAAUGUCACUUACUUUACAACAAGGUUGUGUGUGAUUAAAUUACUCUUAGGAGAGUGUUUGACAUGCACUUUGCCAAUUUGUGGCCCUCAUGUACCAAAACAUAUGUUGAUUAGUGACUUAUGUUUUCCCCUAAUUACUUGCUUUCACGUUGAUUAAAUAUAUCGUCAUAGGUUUAUCGAAUUGAUAUUUGUACAACUAAGCUAUAUGAGAAUGUGAUGUGCAGAAUUGAUAUACCAAAUGACAUAGUAAAUUGUAAGUAUGCAUUUAAAUAAGUGAGACAAGGUGGGUAAAUAUAGUAUUACAUCACUAGAUGUAUCAAUUACGUCAAUCAAUUUUAGUAUACUUAGCACAUAAAAAUCCUUUUAUCUAAAUUCCAUUUACGCAAUGUUAACUUUAAGUUCAACGGGAGUGGUUACGUGAUCAAAAGUGACUUUUGAGUCCUAGAAAGGGUCGAAUCUUUAUACCAUGAUAAGGUGCUGGCGUCACGUACGGGCGCACAUUCACCUACUACGGCAAGCCACCUGCAAUUAUUAGGGGAGUUCAUCAUCUCCAUUUGCAAUAUUAAAAGAUAUUAUGGUGAUAAUCGAUACUUUAAAUGAUGCGAUAAAUUCAUAUCUAUUGCACCACUUAAUCAACGUCAAAAUUAUCUAAAGAGUCAUAAAUUUAUCGUGUGGCAAUGAAUUCAUUUUUAAACUUGCCAAUUUUAACUAAUGUAGUCCUAAACCUUUUGACAUUUUUACUAGUUUUGGUUAGAAAUUGUUGACAUAAUGAUUCCAUUAAUGCACGGCCGAUUGCUGACAUGGACAAUCUUAUAUGAAACGAUGUUAUUUUGCAUUGAACCAAGAAUAUCUGAAGUUUUUUCUCUCUUUUCUUUUCUUUCCAAUAUUUUUUUGCUUUUUAUUUUUCCUAUUAUAUGUUCAUCUUUAUUACCUACCAGUCACAAGUGAGGGUCAUAACCCUUGCUAGAUUUGGGCAAAGCGGCCAACCAUAGGCUAAGGUAAUCCUCGCCAGAUUUGGCAAGGCCAUAAUGCCCUUGCAAGGGAUGGCCAACAUUAGGGUUGCCCUCGCCUUUGGCCGAUGAUCUUCACAAACCACUGCCCAGGCUCUAAUGAUCGACUAACAAAAAAGAUGAAUAGUACAUUAAAAAAAGAAAAGAAUCAAAGAAUUCAUAUAAAGAACAAUUCCAAAGUAGCAAUGUGUCAUUUAAGAUCUUCCACAUCAAUCGCCGACUGUUGUCAUGUCAACAAUUUCCUAUUUAAAUUGACGUGAUAAAUUACAUUUAAAAAUCAUCAAAAGUUUUAGGACUACAUUCGGUAAAUUGAAAAUUUUAUGACUUAAUUAACCGUCAUAUAAUAGAUUUAAAAUUUUUUGGACAACUCUCUCUUCAAUCAACCACCAUCAUAAAACAUUCUCUACUCCAGCAUAACUUUUGCCUUCCAUCUCCUCUAUAAAUUGCAAGGCCAACGUGAGCACGAUUUCCACUACAUAGCCUUAUUUGUUUUCAGCUUCGAAAUCUUCCAUUUGAAUAUCUUCAGUUUCUGAGAGGAAGAGAGUGGGAAAAUGACCAUCUUCACGACUGACAAUCCCUGGGUGCUUAUUUUUGGAGUUAUAGGUACUUUACACACGGUAUCCAACUGUUUUAUAGUUACUAUUGAACAACAACCGAUGACGUUGUUUUGACGCGUUUGUCAACCUUUGGAUGAUUGUUGUCGUAGGUAAUAUCAUAUCAAUCGUGGUCUUUCUGGUCCCAGUGUAAGUUUUUAACUCUUUCUCACUCCAUGCACACUGACAAAUAUGAGGUUUAGAACUUAUUUGAUCUUCUUUGGCAGGCCAACGUUCUAUAGGACAUGCAGGAGGAAGUCAACUGAAGGGUUAAAAUCGGUUCCAUACGUGGUUUCUCUGUUCAGGGCCAUGCUUUGGCUGUAGCAUCAGCGCUGUGACAUGGCCCCUAUAUGGCCUAUUCCUCAAGGACUUUUAUGUCGAGGUAUGCAUUGUUCAUCGACUUGUUAAAAAUCAAGAUCGCAAGGUGCGGCAAUAUUAUCUUCAUUCCCCUGAAUGAACGAUAUUAACAUGUGUACGUGUUUGUACAGGGUCCAAAUGUAUUAGUAGUCACCUUUGGAGUGCUUCAGACGGCACUGCAUGCCAUAUACAGGAAGGGGAAUACUAUGUGAUGGAGGAAGAGAAGAAUGAUACAAGUGUUGGGAAGCUGAGCUCUGAUAUACAAAGUUGCAAUGGGCAUGCCAUUGCCUCCCACAUCGAUACCAACAUCUUUGACGAGGAAAGAGAAGUGCGAGAGAAGCUUCAUCAUCUUCAUUGAAAUUCCUAAUAAAGGACCAGUGGCCACUCCAUCUGAAGUUUGACAGGCGUCUGAGUUACUCAUAUGCCUGAUCAGACUUUUUUUGUCAGCAGCCCCUAGCUAGCUUGCUCGUUGCUUCUGCUAUGUAAAUAAUAUGCAAAUGGAAGGGUCUGUGGGCGUGUGGGUGCUUGGGGGGGGGUCGGGCGGCGGGGAACUCUGUAAUCACCGUAAGGGGGGCCACCGGAAAUUAAUUUUCUCGUUCCUUCCGCGGUGUACUGUUGUUUGUGAAUGUUCAAUUUGUUUUUCCUCAUAGCACAGUUAUCAGACGCAUUACUCUUUGAGAAAGAGAUUCAGCUACUCUCCGUUCUUUGCUGAUUGAUUGAUAUCAUCUACUUACCAGGUCAUGUGGUCUGUCCGCUCAUGAAAUAUUUUUUUCCUUCGAAAUCCAGCUAGUUAGGAUCAUGAACUAAGAUCCCAGACACUCUGGGAGACCCUUUUUUUACAUUCAUUUGAGUAAAUUUGCCUCUUCAUCAGAAUAUAACUGUGGUCACGUAAUGCGUGCCCUGAGAUGACAUUAUAAGUUCUUACUCUGUGAUUCCAAUUAGAGAGAAGUUUGCUCAGGUGGGUAAAAAACUCACCAAGUAUAGCACGUAACAUUAGGCCCAGACUCAACCGGACCGUCAACCCAGUUACUACACAAAAUCAAUAGUUAAAAAGUACUCCCAACACACCAUAGAUAUCCCUGAUACAAAACUGAGAGAUCAGAGGAACUUCCCCCUGAAAAAAAAAAGUAAAAAGUAGUUCCCCAAUCAGACUGACAAAAAAAGAAUUGAGUCACAGCAAAUUGUUUCUUCACACAAGCGGGAUCAACAGUUAGUUCUCAUCCUACAAACAUGGACUUCGAUGCUAGCAAUUUCACUGAUGAGGAAGCUCUCUUUUCUACAACCAAUGGGCAUGCACUCGGCAUUGGAAUACACACUAUUGCGGUAGUUGAAACAAUUUUCACAGGUUUGCAAUUGCCUCGCACUGUAUCAGAUUCUUUCAAGGCUCUUUGGAAAAGUAAAUAGCUGCAUUAUGUGAAAUUGCUACAUUUUUCAAGCAAAUUUAGAAAACAGCCUCAAGAAGAAAAUUUGGAAUGUUCUCAGGCUAGCCAAGUGAUGCCCAAUCUGGAUUUGGGCACUCAUAGACCCAUCCAGGUCCAGAAUAUCGUAUGCAGUGCAGCCACAAUCCCUCCUCACUCCCAUCAUAUCUGCAUUUUGCAGACACUCAAAUCAAAUCUUAGGUCCUCUACCGUACACACGCAGGCAAGGGUGCGCAACCAGAAUAUGAGUAAAGACAAGUACCCAAGAUGGGAAAAAGGAGGAACACUCACCCUUUUGGAGCUAAAUUGGGACAAUUUGUGCACAUAGGGUCCAUACUAAAUUCAAUGCAAGGCUCUUCUUCCUUAUCAUUCUGCCUAAUAUCAGAAACACUGGAUUCUGAUGACAAACCAGCAGCUUUAUCAGCAACCAUUCCUUCAGCUGAAUGAUUGGUCCUUUGUUUAGAAAGGUAAAGCAUGUCAUUGGCAAUUGGAUGGCCACUAAACUGCAAAUGGACUCGUAUCUGCACAUAAAGAGCAGGGUUGAGAGAAGAAAGUGCUGCAAAUACUAGCAUAGAUCAAAUAAACCUUACAAAUUAAAAGGUAUAAUGACUUAACCAAAUGCAGAGAGGUAUAUAAUAAGCAGGAACUGAAAGUAUCUUACAAAAUGAGCACGGCAGGGUUUAUGGAGAGACAAAGUGCAGAAAAGAAAGCGCACAACUCAAGAAGUUAACAGUAAAUGCAAUGUCCUUCCUGUAUGUGUGGGUACAUCUAUGCAUGCAAUUGACUUGGCUACAUUAAGGAAAAACAACCGAGGAAGGUUCACUGCUUAUGGAAUAGAAAAUAGGAGGCAUCAGACUCUCAACAUGGUAUUUGCAUCCUUUAGCAUCAUAUUGCCUUACCUGAUGAGUUCAUCCAGUGACCGGUUCACAGAGAACAAUGCUAUGGGUUCCAGUGGUGCUGAUCCUUGUGAACUUUGUACAAGCGGUCUUUCCUUUCAAGAGCACGGUAUCACAAGUAGGGUCACCUGCCUGCAAAAAGAGAUAAUAUUGACCAGACUAAUGGCAUUAAGUACAUUAUUACAUUCAUUGCCAAUGCUCUAAUUUACUGGUCGAAAUGAAGACACAACUAUGAAACAGUCAGGGCAGAUUGUCACGCCCCAAUCCUCCGAGCACGCGAACAUCCCACUCUGGUCGAUACAAAUGCGACUUCCCAGGACACGUCGCCGACCCAUUCAUUUUUAUUGCACAUGCGUAAGCGAAACAAAUCCCCUGACAACAUCUAACUUGGGAUAGAAAAGCAGGCAAUCAAUCACAACCAAACAAGCUUUCUUAUAAACACAUAGGUUUAUAUACAACACUGGAUUGUCUACAAAAUAGACAGGCUCAACAACUAGAGAACUGUCCUAUGACCAACUUGUCAGACACGUUCCCCGAUUCUUCAGCCUCCACCUUCCGAACUCCAGGACGUCCGGUCCUCCACGACCGUCAUCUAGGGACCUGAAAUAUUAUCCCACAACCGGGAUGAGAUUACGUCUCAGCGAGUCCUACCAUCUAAAACUCAAUUAGGAAGAAAAUACGCCUCAGGGCGCUCUAGCCACACAAAUAGGAUAGUGGGCUUACCUCGCCUCAGUCCCUUUCCUGCACGUCAGUACAAUUCAUAUUCAACAAUACUCGCACAAGCUGAAACUACCGACAUACCCAUCAGUCUAUCAAUUCAGUCAAUCCAAUUGAUAUCAUACGAUCCACACAUCUAUCAAUUCAUAUCAUCUAUUAAACCAUACCAUCUAUUCAUCCAUCAAUACAAUUACGGCUCGCACAAGCUGAAAUGGAUGCAAUGCUCUCACAAGCUGAUAUAGAUGGUAGCUCGCACAAGCUGAUAUAUACAUAGAUGAUAGCUCACACAAGCUGAUAGAUAGAUCGUGCUCGCACAAGCUGAUAAAACGAUCUUAGCUCACCAGAAGCUGCCACAAUAUUCAAUAUAAUAUACUAUAGCUCACCAGAAGCUGCCACAAUAUUCAAUAUAGUAUACUAUAGCUCACCAAAAGCUGCCACAAUAUAUGUAUAUUAUAAUUGCUCGCCCAAGCUGAUACAUAUAUAUAUAAACAAAUGCUCGUCAAAGCUUAUCAUUCAAUAAUAAACCAACUCAUAUCUCAAUUCAAUCAAUCAAUCAAUCGAAUCGAUUUAAACUGGUCAUACAAACCAAUUACGGUGCUAAAAGCCAACACCGGGUAUUUUCAAGUUAAAUACCACAACUUCAUCAAUUUCACACAAUUCCACACUUUUGGAAUUAUUAACCAUAAUCAUCAAUCACUCAAUUUCUCAAUUUAAACAUGCAAUUAACACAAAUCGAUCGCACUGCUGCGAUCAGCGCGAAAUUCUAACAACCGGCCAUCCCGGCAUAAUUUUCGAAAUUAUUAAAUAAUUAAAUUUAAUUCCGAAAAUUAAAUAAUUAAAUAUUAUAUUAUAAUAAUAUAAUUUAAUAAAAUAAUAUUUAUAAAUUCGAAAUAAUUAAUUAAUUAAAAAAUAAUCAAUUAGGGCUUAAACAAGAUUACACUAAUUUAAUCAUACAAUUAGCCCUAAUUAAACACCAAUUAAACUAAUCAUACAACUAAUCUAAUUUACAUUAAAAUAAUCUAAUUUAAUCACAUAAACCUAAUUAUACUAAUCUAAACACCCCUUAAGCGUCAUUAACUCACUAAGCAAGAAUUAGAGGAUAAACUCACCGGAUUAAUGAUCCGAACAGCUCAAAACGACAAGGACGACGCGAGGGUCGAUAGUCUCCAAGGCGGGCCUAGCUUCCGGGGUCGGGAAGCCAGCCAAAACGGGCCAAAUAGCCGCUGUCAUACCCAUUUUCCAACUCUCUGUCCGCUGUUGGUUGAGGCCGAAAAUGAGCAGAUCCGGGGCUGGUUGGGGUCGAGAAUGGGCGGAGGAGCUGCAGCGGUGCCAUGCGGCCAACGGCGGGGCCUCACGGUGGUCGAAGGUGGCUGAUCCGAGGCUGGUGCUAUCCGAACAGCCUCCUGGACGCACGAGCAGAGAUCGACAAAGACGGUCGGGCGUGCAACAGGCGAACGGCGACCAGCGGACUUGGCGGGCUGUUUCGGAAGCUGGACAAUGGCAGCAACUACUCAGGCGACUUCAACAACAUUCAGGGGAGCUCGGGAAAUGGCGAAGAGGCCAGGGCGACUGGCGCGAACGGCUAGGACGCGCGAACAGCGCGCGAGCUGGACGGCGGGCGCGGGAGCUCGCGGAUGGACGGACGGCGGGCAAGCGGUGCGCGACGGCGGUUCGACUGGACUGCUGGCUGCUCCGGCGUCUUCCCAGAUCUGCUAGGACACGAGCAGCAACUGGAGAUGGAGAAGAGAGGGCUUCGACUACGGUUGAAGAGGGAGAGGGAGACGGUUGCGCGCGGUUGGACGAGCGACGGUCUCCGGUGGCUUGCGGUGGCGUUCUGGCGUGAGGCGUGCGACGAUGGGGCUGCUCGGCGGUUCUUCUGGUCUGCUGAAGUCUCGCACAGCAGGGAGAGAUGGAGAGAAGCGACGGAAGAGAGAAGGGGAGGAAGAAGAAGACCGGUUCUCUCUCUCUUUUUCUCUUUCUCUUUCUCUCUCUCUUUGGCCCCACCAUGACCUCAUGGAUGAUGUCACAAUCCACUCACCCAAUCCUCCACAACCUCUUCCAAUGGUUGCAAUUUCAUUUUCCGCCGGGGUCCAAUUCUUGUACACUUAAUUUAAUCAAUUCUCAAUCAAUUCCAUUCAAUUGAAGCUCAAUUAAAUUAACCCAUGUGUCCUCGGCCUUCUCAUGACAUUUCCCCGUCAAAUGAUCCAACUUGCAUCCCGAAGAUUCGAUUAAAAACGGCCCUCUGACAGUCCCGAACAUAAACGGCCUUACUUUGCUUUUCUGCCAAAAAUCUCGGUUUGUAGAAAAAUCUUCUGGAGAUGAGUCGACAUUCCUAAAAUGAAUUGUGACUUGACAGAACUUCCAAUUUCUGUAAUCGGGUUCAAUUUCACGGUUAAAUUCAAUCCGGCGCGACUUUAGCGCGUCCUAAUCUACUGGGUAGCUUUUAGGAAUUUUCUGUGCAAUUGACCUGUGGUUGAUUAUUUUCAAGCCACAAAGUGCAUCUUCGACACAUUGGCGACUCUUGAUUGUCGUAGAAAUCUCGAGGUUUCAAAUACAGACACGGGGUACCAAAACGAUAGAGAAAUCGGUCUAGUGCCGAUCAACAAGAAUUGUGCAAUUAGAUGGAAUCACCCAUACUGAAUUACAUGGUUCUGUUGAAUCGACCUAUCUCCGGUCUCUAAUCGGUCUGUGCCGUAAUGACCAUUGCAGAUUAGUACGGUCGAGCAAUCGUUUCCUAGUCGAAUUCUCAAGUCUAUUGCGUUUAGAUUCCUUAACGGCUUCACCUGAUAGACUAGUUAUCUCGUGAGUGAUCAGCUCAGAGAAGAAAGCUAUAGACGCGAAGAUGAAAUGCCCAACUUAUUUAAUUGAAACUAGAAUUGGAAAAUCGGGAUGUCACAACUCUCCCCCUCUUAUAAAAAUUUCGUCCUCGAAAUUUAAACCAUUAAAAUUCUUCUUCAAAAUGGUGGGGUAUUGUCGUCUCAUCAAUUCUGCUCCUUCAUUCUGCUUCGGACUUCUGCUUCAAACUGUUAUCCAAGAUCCUCGGUGCUGCCGAAACAUUUCCAAAUUGGCCAAACCAAUUCUUGAUGCCCAAAAAGGCUAAGCACUUGUCCAUCUUUACAAAAAUGAAAGCUGCAAAAAUUUUGGUUCUUUUUUUCUUUUUUCUUUUUUUUUCCACAAAGCGGCUAACUGCCGCGUCGGGGAUUCGAACUCCCGACUUCAGACCGACAAGCUUCAUCCCGGAUACCAACUCGGCUAGAGGCGCCGACGGUGCUCCAAAUUGCUUUCUUUUUCCAUUUAAAGCCAAAUUUCUUCUUUGAACCCAAAUUUUGAUGGAUUCCGAUUUAAAUGUUGCUUCAUCUUCAUUUCCUUAACCAAACACGAUGUCCCUUUCAUAGGCGACAUUUAAGGAAAUAUAUUUCCCCUACUUGAAAUUCCAAGGCCUGCGAUACUAAUCUGCGAGGCUAAACUGGUGAUUCUGAGCGAUCUCAAAUCUGUCACUGAUAAUUGCAACUGAAUCACUGAUUUCUGAACCAACUCUGGACCUGCGAUUUUCUGAUCUCUGACCUCAACUCAACCAACUGAAGCUCUGAAUACUCUGCUCUGCAUUAACUAAAAAGAAACUAUCUGACUGAUUUGCUGAAACUGAGAACCUCUGGUCAAGAUUUGAUAUAACUUAGACACUGACACUAACACUCUAUGCAAACGAAUUAUCUGAUGCACAAACACCUCUGCAUGCCUUAUCCAAUCAAGAUCCUUCGGCACAGCCAUAGGGUGGGCUGAUUUCAUCAAUCUGUCCAUUACUACCCAAAAUGAAAUUAUUUACACACUGACUCAUCAAUAGAUCUGAAAUGCCAUCUCAGACUAGCCAUUGGUCUGAAGAUGAUAAACAUUACUAUACUGUAACUUCGUUCUCAAAGCACUCUGUAAACUUUUCUAGAAGGUAGCCACGAACCUCGGGUCUCGGUCUAAAAUAAUCGUCACCGGCACUCCAAAUAGACGAACUCUCUGACGUACGUACAACUCAGCGUACUUGUCCAAAACAAGAUCAUUUUCUAUUGCGAUGAAGUGAGCCGACUUCAUCUAUCUAUUCACUACUAUUCCAAUCGAAAUCAUUACUCAUCUGGUUCUUUGAUGAGCCUGUCACAAGAUCCAUUGUGACACGAUCCCAUUUCCGCAUGGGGAUCUCGAGAGAUUACAAAGGUCCUCUCGAAUUGCAAAACCAUGCUUUCUCUUGCUAACACAUCUGACACUCGCGACUUGUCAGUGAUAUUUGUCUUCACAACGGUCUACUAAUCCUGUUGAUGCAAAUUCUGACUCAUCUUCAUACUGUCUGGAAAAUGCUGAAGCUGCUACAACGAGUUUCCGAUAAGAUCUCUUCUUUAAUCUUGGUAUCAUCAGGUACACACAAUCGUCCUCAUAAAUCUGAAAAUUAGUUCCCCUCUUCUCGGUAUCCUCUCGCAGGAUCUUUUGCAUUUCUGAGUUUGUCCACUGAAGCAUCUGAUUCUAACCUGAAUAUCCGAUUCAAUUCUGAGGGUGGCCAUAAAAUUCGAAGGUGGCCUACCUCAGAUUUGAAAACCGAAUUUCGAACUUUCUCAAGUAAGGUCCAUACUUUAACCAGCAUAUGCACAAAUGAAGACUCUCAACUCAACGCAUCAAUGACUUCUUUCAUUCUUCCAAGGUGAUACCAGAUACCACCAUCCUAGUCCUUCAAACGAUCUAAUUCACAAUGGUAUCUCAUAUUCAAUUCAUUCUGAGAGAAUAUAUACUUUGAGACUUUUAACGGUCAGCGAAGAUCUGGAGUCUUUCUUCACACCAACAAUAUCUCUAAAUCUUCAGAACGAACAUUAUUACUGCAAGUUCUAAGUCAUGCGUCUAUAAUUCCAUUCACGAGGUCUCAACUGACGGGACGAGUAUGCAACAACCUUGCCAUGCUGUAUUAGCACGCAACCCAAUCCUCUAAACGACGCAUCACUAUAGAUCUCGUAUCCUCCAGGACCAGAUAGUAUGGUCAGCACAAGUGCGGUAGUCAGCUUCUGCUUAAGCUCUUGGAAACUACGCCCGCACUUGUCUGUCCACACGAACUUCUCUUCCUUCUUCAGUAGUCGAGUUAAUGGCAAAGCUAAUACUGAAAACCCUUAUACGAACCUUCUGUAAUACUCUGCUAAACCUGGAAAACUUUCGAUCUCUGCCACUGCAAUCAAUCUUGGCCAACUGAUCACCACUUCAAUCUUGGCGGGGUCCACGAAGAUUCUUUCUCCUGGAAUCACACGACUUAGGAAAGCAACACGAGUCAUCCAAAACUCGCAUAUGCUAAGCUUAUCGUAAAAAUUCAAGAGUCCUCAAAUGACUCUCGUGCUCCUUCGCACUCUUUGAACACAUCAGGAUAACUUCAAUGAACACGAUCAUAACUAAUCCAAGUAUCCUUUGAACACUCUGUUCAUCAGACCCAUACAAACAGUUAGAGUGUUCGUCAAACCGAACAAUAAUACUAUGAACUCACAAUUGCCGUACCAAGUACGCAAUGCUAACUUCGGUAUGCCUUUCUUCCUGAUUCUCAACUGAUGAUAUCCCGUCCUCAAGUCGAUCUUGGAGAAUAUCGAUACACAAACGCAACAAACCAUCCUUCUUUUUCACAAACAAGACUGAUGCUCCCCAAGGUUAUGCACUGGGACAUAAGAAUCCCUUAUCUAACAAUUCUUGCAUCUCCACUUUCAGUUCUUUCAACUCAGAUAAAGCCAUCCGGUAAGGAACCUUAGAGAUUGGCUCUAUCCCGGGUGCUAACUCAAUCACAAACUCGAUCUCUCUCUCUCUCUGGCGGUAGACCUGGCAACUCUUCAGGAAACACCUCAGAAAACUUCUGUACCGCGACUAAGUUCUCCUUACUUGGUCCCUCAACUGUCGCAUCCACUACAGUCACCAUACAGAUUUGGCAACCUACCCCCAAAACCAAGUCGUCUUCAGUGACGAAUAAUAGGGAUUGGAGGUCCUUUCCGACUUUCAGUAACUCAAAACUUUCGUACGCUAACUGAACCAACUGAAUUAUAUCACUGCCACGAUUCAUAACAGCAGAAAGCUUCUCGAGCCAAACCUUUUUAUAAAUGACUCCCGGGUCAUAUAUAAGCAAAUCCUUUAGGUACAACUAUAGUCAGAGAUUCAUCUUCAUUUUACUUUAUCAUAACAACGGAAACUUCACAACUUUCACUCAAAAUCUAGCUGCGCUACUCUGAUAAUACACCUCAAAACAUUCUUCCCUAGAUCGAUGCAUGGUCAAUCCAUUCCUAUUCCUUUCGCCAUCCUAGUGGCAUCAUGUCGGCGGUAGCAAUGCUCGAGUCCUCUUGGACUUACACGGACAGUUCCUAGCCUAAUGGCCAUGCUGACCACAUUCAAAGCAUGCUCCCAUUGCACUUGGUCACCAGGCUGACUCACACUUCUUUUCUCAAACUUGACACACAAUCUGUGAGUCCUCUGCCUACUGUCAGGUGACAGCAUGCGCUCUUUCUGGUACUGAAGGUCUAUUCCAAAAACCCCACUAUGCGUUCUAUGGUGCACUCCUUUCGAUCUGUUCCAUCGGCUUUCUAAGACCAUUUCUGGCUAGGUAACCCUGCUGGUUACUCACAGAACAAGCACCCAUCUUACUAGGACACAGGGCUGAUCCAUGUCGGCUUCCGUCAGCACGACACACUCCAUUCUGAUCCAUUGUUGACCUGACCAUCCCACAUUUCCAGUUGGACGGAAAUAUGAUACUUUUCUCCGAUCAUAGGCUCCUUCCCAAACUGAUUUCCAUCUCUACUAAAUCUGAACCUCAACUCGGAUGCAACGGCUUGCUCCCAUAUCACAACUCUAGCUUGGGCCUCAAUAGGCGCAGCAACAACAACAGUUACAACACCGGCGGCAUUAGUAACAACGAUAACAGUGGCGGCUCGGUCCCGAGCUUACUGACCCAACAAGCUUCCAAGGAACACUAGCGCCUGAACGAUCCCAUCGAACCUAGAAUCGCUCGAUGCUGCUACACUAGUACCGAUCUACAGCGGUACUCUCACACUCGCGCUGGUCUAAGCCAGUGCUCCACCACGACCACCUCGGGUACCGAUCCCUGUCGGCAUACCACCCCGAGUAACUGGUCUAAAGGUUCUCUCUAGGAGUCCUCUGCUCCUGAUCACUCAUCUAUAGGAUCUCUACAGAAACCUGUUUCCCAAUUCUAAUCCCAGAUUAGAAUUCGAGUGAUCCACGCCAAACAAUUUACCAAACAACUAUCAGCCACAUGCACCAGCAUGAAAUCAAAGUCAUUCCUACUAACUAUCCCAUAAACCAUCGCACCUUAUCACUCCAAUCACAGACCCGCUCUGAUACCACUUAAACGGGGAUGUCACGCCCCGAUCCUCCGAGCGCGCGAACAUCCCACUCUGGUCGAUACAAAUGCGACUUCCCAGGACACGUCGCCGACCCAUUCAUUUUUAUUGCACAUGCGAAAGCGAAACAAAUCCCUUGACAACAUCUAACUUGGGAUAAAAAAGCAGGCAAUCAAUCACAACCAAACAAGCUUUCUUAUAAACACAUAGGUUUAUAUACAACACUGGAUUGUCUACAAAAUAGACAGGCUCAACAACUAGGGAACUGUCCUAUGACCAACUUGUCAGACACAUUCCUCGAUUCUUCAGCCUCCACCUUCCGAACUCCAGGACUUCCGGUCCUCCACGACCGUCAUCUAGGGACCUGAAAUAUUAUCCCACAACCGGGAUGAGACUACGUCUCAGCGAGUCCUACCAUCUAAAACUCAAUUAGGAAGAAAAUACGCCUCAGGGCGCUCUAGCCACACAAAUAGGAUAGUGGGCUUACCUCGCCUCAGUCCAUUUCCUGCACGUCAGUACAAUUCAUAUUCAACAAUACUCGCACAAGCUGAAACUACCGACAUACCCAUCGGUCUAUCAAUUCAGUCAAUCCAAUUGAUAUCAUACGAUCCACACAUCUAUCAAUUCAUAUCAUCUAUUAAACCAUACCAUCUAUUCAUCCAUCAAUACAAUUACGGCUCGCACAAGCUGAAAUGGAUGCAAUGCUCUCACAAUCUGAUAUAGAUGGUAGCUCGCACAAGCUGAUAUAUACAUAGAUGAUAGCUCACACAAGCUGAUAGAUAGAUCGUGCUCGCACAAGCUGAUAAAACGAUCUUAGCUCACUAGAAGCUGCCACAAUAUUCAAUAUAGUAUACUAUAGCUCACCAGAAGCUGCCACAAUAUUCAAUAUAGUAUAAUAUAGCUCACCAAAAGCUGCCACAAUAUAUGUAUAUUAUAAUUGCUCGCCCAAGCUGAUACAUAUAUAUAUAAACAAAUGCUCGUCAAAGCUUAUCAUUCAAUAAUAAACCAACUCAUAUCUCAAUUCAAUUAAUCAAUCAAUCGAAUCGAUUUAAACUGGUCAUACAAACCAAUUACGGUGCUAAAAGCCAACACCGGGUAUUUUCAAGUUAAAUACCACAACUUCAUCAAUUUCACACAAUUCCACACUUUUGGAAUUAUUAACCAUAAUCAUCAAUCACUCAAUUUCUCAAUUUAAACAUACAAUUAACACAAACCGACUGCACUGCUGCGAUCAGCGCGAAAUUCUAACAACCGGCCAUCCCGGCAUAAUUUUCGAAAUUAUUAAAUAAUUAAAUUUAAUUCCGAAAAUUAAAUAAUUAAAUAUUAUAUUAUACUAAUAUAAUUUAAUAAAAUAAUAUUUAUAAAUUCGAAAUAAUUAAUUAAUUAAAAAAUAAUCAAUUAGGGCUUAAACAAGAUUACACUAAUUUAAUCAUACAAUUAGCCCUAAUUAAACACCAAUUAAACUAAUCAUACAACUAAUCUAAUUUACAUUAAAAUAAUCUAAUUUAAUCACAUAAACCUAAUUAUACUAAUCUAAACACCCCUUAAGCGUCAUUAACUCACUAAGCAAGAAUUAGAGGAUAAACUCACCGGAUUAACGAUCCGAACGGCUCAAAACGACAAGGACGACGCGAGGGUCGAUAGUCUCCAAGGCGGGCCUAGCUUCCGGGGUCGGGAAGCCGGCCAAAACGGGCCAAAUAGCCGCUGUCAUACCCAUUUUCCAACUCUCUGUCCGCUGCUGGUUGAGGCCGAAAAUGAGCAGAUCCGGGGCUGGUUGGGGUCGAGAAUGGGCGGAGGAGCUGCAGCGGUGCCGUGCGGCCAACGGCGGGGCCUCACGGUGGUCGGAGGUGGCUAAUCCGAGGCUGGUGCUAUCCGAACAGCCUCCUGGACGCACGAGCAGAGAUCGACAAAGACGGUCGGGCGUGCAACAGGCGAACGGCGACCAGCGGACUUGGCAGGCUGUUCCGGAAGCUGGACGACGGCAGCAACUACUCAGGCGACUUCAACAACAUUCAGGGGAGCUCGGGAAAUGGCGAAGAGGCCAGGGCGACUGGCGCGAACGGCUAGGACGCGUGAACAGCGCGCGAGCUGGACGGCGGGCGCGGGAGCUCGCGGAUGGACGGACGGCGGGCAAGCGGUGCGCGACGGCGGUUCGACUGGACUGCUGGCUGCUCCGGCGUCUUCCCAGAUCUGCUGGGACACGAGCAGCAACUGGAGAUGGAGAAGAGAGGGCUUCGACUACGGCUGAAGAGGGAGAGGGAGACGGUUGCGCGCGGUUGGACGAGCGACGGUCUCCGGUGGCUUGCGGUGGCGUUCUGGCGUGAGGCGUGCGACGAUGGGGCUGCUCGGCGGUUCUUCUGGUCUGCUGAAGUCUCGCACAGCAGGGAGAGAUGGAGAGAAGCGACGGAAGAGAGAAGGGGAGGAAGAAGAAGACCGGUUCUCUCUCUCUUUUUCUCUUUCUCUUUCUCUCUCUCUUUGGCCCCACCAUGACCUCAUGGAUGAUGUCACAAUCCACUCACCCAAUCCUCCACAACCUCUUCCAAUGGUUGCAAUUUCAUUUUCCGCCGGGGUCCAAUUCUUGUACACUUAAUUUAAUCAAUUCUCAAUCAAUUCCAUUCAAUUGAAGCUCAAUUAAAUUAACCCAUGUGUCCUCGGCCUUCUCAUGACAUUUCCCCGUCAAAUGAUCCAACUUGCAUCCCGAAGAUUCGAUUAAAAACGGCCCUCUGACAGUCCCGAACAUAAACGGCCUUACUUUGCUUUUCUGCCAAAAAUCUCGGUUUGUAGAAAAAUCUUCUGGAGAUGAGUCGACAUUCCUAAAAUGAAUUGUGACUUGACAGAACUUCCAAUUUCUGUAAUCGGGUUCAAUUUCACGGUUAAAUUCAAUCCGGCGCGACUUUAGCGCGUCCUAAUCUACUGGGUAGCUUUUAGGAAUUUUCUGUGCAAUUGACCUGUGGUUGAUUAUUUUCAAGCCACAAAGUGCAUCUUCGACACAUUGGCGACUCUUGAUUGUCGUAGAAAUCUCGAGGUUUCAAAUACAGACACGGGGUACCAAAACGAUAGAGAAAUCGGUCUAGUGCCGAUCAACAAGAAUUGUGCAAUUAGAUGGAAUCACCCAUACUGAAUUACAUGGUUCUGUUGAAUCGACCUAUCUCCGGUCUCUAAUCGGUCUGUGCCGUAAUGACCAUUGCAGAUUAGUACGGUCGAGCAGUCGUUUCCUGGUCGAAUUCUCAAGUCUAUUGCGUUUAGAUUCCUUAACGGCUUCACCUGAUAGACUAGUUAUCUCGUGAGUGAUCAGCUCAGAGAAGAAAGCUAUAGACGCGAAGAUGAAAUGCCCGACUUAUUUAAUUGAAACCAGAAUUGGAAAAUCGGGAUGUCACACAAAUGUAUUAUAAAUGUAGAAGGAAAAGAAAGCUCUAAGAGCGGUCAUACAUUGCCAUACACCAUGCCACGUGGACCAGGAGAAGGGUGGCAGAUGACAUCCUAUCACCAUUUUCAAUUUCCUUAGAGAUUAAAAAGCCUUUAUAUGACGACUCAUCCAUAUAAAAUCCAAAUCACAUACUAUUGCUCGAAAGGAUCUGGUAAAGUGAGAGAGCAUAUAUGCUAAUGAAUAGGGAAACUGUGACUUCUUGCUUUUGGCUGGCAGUAGUUAGAUCUGCUGAUUCAUAUACCAAGGCUCACAGAUUUUGCAUCAGCCAGCACAAUGUCAUGAGCUCGGAGCUCUUAACUUCUGAUGAAUUUAGUUCGGAUUACCAUCACACAUUACUUUUCAAUUCCAUUUCAAACAGUGUGUUGUGCAUCCCCAAGAAAACAGUCCACAGUGGCUCAUAAGUAUAUGAAUGCUCCUAAAAAGUAUUGAUAGGCCAUCAUAAAUGGAUAUCUACAAAAACUAUAUAGUUAUUUUUACAUGCCUCUGUAAGAAUGUUAAGAAAGGGCAUUAGCUUCCAUUUAUAGCACUCUGAUAACAUUCAAAAUUGCACCCUAUAAUGAAUUCAUGUUGGUAAGCCACAAAAACCUCAAAGGAAAGAGAGCAAAAAGAAAGAAAGGAGAAGAAAUCAGUACACAAGGAAGGCAUGACAUAAUUUUCAUUUAAAAGCAUUAUCAGAAAGCCAUAAUUUCAAGACCCUUCUCCAACACCCAGAUGCUCAGUUUCAUUUCCUUGACAUCACGUAAUACAGUGAUUGACAUAAAUUUAAACUCAAAAAAAGGUUGAUAUAACAAGCUUUUGAGCAGACACUCACCUCCGCUGUGCUCCUGCCUUCUCGAGCAUCGUAAUUGAUGUUGACAUUGACCUCCAGCUAACAAGAAACCCCAGAACACAUAAAUCAGAUGAGAACUAAUAAGAAUGCAUUUCUGACACCACAUUCUCUGGAACUUUCUCACACGAUCUAACUAGCCUCCAGGAUCUUCUGAAGAGAGGACCUAAACGAAAAAGCACUAGUUGAUUGUGUUCAUAAUGAGUGGAUCUUCCUUGGGUUUGAUAAAAUGAUACGGGAAACCACAGCUGGAUCUUUCAUCAAUAAUAACUGAAGAUGUCACACAAGAUGUGCAGUUGAUUUUUAACAACUAACCCUCUCCCACUCAAAAGGAGUUUUAUAAUUACUAAAAUCUACGUGGAGAAAAAGAAUAUAGGCAGACUUGUCCUUUCAGCAUUACCUCUUCUCAAGACAACUCAACAAACAAACAGAAAAUAGUCGAAUUGGAAAAAAGAAAUCACAUUGCUAGAUUGAAUACAUCUACUUCAACAUCUCAUAAUUCCAAUUCUUCAGGGUUAAACUCCCUCAUGUAGCACCGUACCGCAGGAUUUUUCAGUUCGUAAAUUAUCCACUUUAAGUGCAUAUUCAAAAAUCAACAGAUUGAAGCAAGAGAUACCUCAUUCUCAGGAAAUUCACCCACCACCAUUGCAAUAUACUGUUUCUGCACCAAACCACCUUCAAUCUGAAGAUAUUAAAUGUCAGUUGAAACUUAAAUUUUAGUCCAAGUAUCAUAUGUACCUUGCCACAUCACGAAUAUGAUGUAUAAACACUUAAAAGUAUAUAAUAGGAUAUUCUAGAUAAUUUUUACUCAAGGGAAUGAAGUCAGCAGCAGAAAUAGUACGUGAUAGCACUACUGGUAUUAGGAAAAACAGUCACCACACACGGAUUAGAACUCUACAGGCUUAAGAUAUAUACAAAGGAAAUGCACAUCACAGAAAGAAAAUAUAUGACCUCUUUAAGUCACUCCAUAAGGUAGACGUACAAGACACGGUAUGACGAUAUUACAAAUGAUGAACAAGAUGUCGCAACACAGCAGCAUGCUCAGAGAACUACCACUACCCUUGUCAUAAAUGUAAGAGAGCCCCACUUCAUUUAGGCAAUUGACCACCCACAUAGUAUUGAAGCUAAUAGGAAUUUACAUUAGUAAAGGUUCCAAAAGCACGCUUUUCAAUACAACACUCACCUGUUGCCUGAAAAGAUCUGCUUUUGACGCGUUUCUGGCAAAUAUAAGGAGUCCAGAGACAAGGCAAUCUAGUCGGUGAACAGCUUGUAUUAUAACAUCAAGAGGACGUACGAAAUCCAUAAUGUGGAUGUGACACCAGAUAUAGGUCACAGGAUGGAAAAAGAGUUAAUGAUAGACAUCAAGAGUCACAAGGAAACAGAAUAUGCCCAAUCUGAUUUCGAUAGAGCCAAGAAUGCAUAUGCAUUUGAAAGAGCUACUUAGGAUACGAAAUAGGGGUGCCAGCCCAUGCUCUGCCUGAAGGAUGCCAACCACAGUGUUUUUAUGAUACUGACCACACGGAUGCACCUAUAAACAAGUCGAAAUUUCUAUAAACAUAGAUCCUAUAAGGCCAAAAGAGCUAGCUAGGCCAAGCAAGGCUGCUGUAACCAUAUUACUCUCUGAAUCUCAUCAGUGAUUUUACAGCACUCAUGCAAAAUCCACACGAAAUCACUCUUUUGUUGUACAUUUGAAAUGAGGGAAAACAUAAUUGUGUUGUUCCUUACUGGAAUAGAUGCCGGCUUACAAACAGUCACCACAUCUGGUUCUUUCUGUAGGAUGGAGACACCAUGGCUCGUCACAGGAGGCUCAUGCCUACAACCUUAUCAAGAUUAAUGCAUAUUCAAAGAAUACCCUAAAACUUCUAACAAAAACUGUAAAUUAAGAUUAGAAUUCUCAACUCGUGGGUGAAGAAAGAAUAAAGAAGCCUGAAGAAACAAAAAAGGUAAAGAAAGGGAACCUAAGCAAAAGAAACUGAUGCAGCCAAAGGUCUAUAUUAUCGCUAGAUCACAAUCUUGAAAAGCAACAUUUGAUAAGGAGAUCAUAGCAAGUGUGAAGCUCAAACCAACCUGUGUACAAAGUGGCUUAUUUUUUCAGACGAUUUUACAAUGUAAGAGACAGGAACUACCCUCCCCCCUACUUGUAUCCGUCCACAUUCGACAGCACUGACCUACAGGUUAUAACUAGGCAUGGUUAAAAGUCAUGGUCACAUGCAGAACUAAACAUUCGUUAUGCAACGAAGAAAAUGCUUACAUAAUACUCAUAAGGUCUGCCUUUGAACUCGCGGGCAAACAAAUCCACGAUGGUUUUGCCAGCCCAGCGGCUCUUGACCUAUAAUACAUCAUAAUUCAUAACAAGAAAACUAGCCAAAUUGAGAGCUCCAGGUUGAAGCGCAGAAGGGCUUCACGUCGGUCUAGACAAAAUAAAAGUUUGAUCACAAGUAUGCAGACCACUCCACUCCAGAAGAAGAAAGACGAGAUAGCGGACGACUCACAUGAGAGAUGAACUCGAAGUGGUAGGGUGCAACGUAACGCCUCCCUGCAUUCUCUUAAUAAAUCAGUCUUCUUUUUGCUCCCUCUACUAGCAAGAAUCCCUACAACAUUGGAGAGCUAUUACUAGAAUUUUUGGUUAUCUUAAGAGAACUAAAAAUUUAGGAUUGUUCUACAAUAAUUAUCCGACUGUAUUAGAAGGAUACACCGAUGCUAGUUGGAUUACAAGUGUGGGAGAUGAGCGUUCCACUUCUGGAUGGAUCUUCACACUAGCUAGAGGUGCUGUAUCUUGGGCGAGCAAGAAACAGACAUGUAUAACUCACUCAACAAUGGAAUUUGAAUUUAUUGCUUUGGCGGCAGCUGGGAAAGAGGCUGAAUGGAUUAGAAAUUUGUUGUUGGAUAUCAAAUUAUGGCCUAAUCCUAUGCCUCCUAUUUCUAUCCACUGUGAUAGUCAGGCCACUUUGGCAAGAGCCUAUAGUAGCACCUAUAAUGGUAAGUCUAGACACAUUAGUCUAAGACAUGAAUAUGUGAGACAAUUGAUUAAAGAUGGUACCAUAACAAUUGUCUAAGUGAGGUCAAGUAAAAAUCUUGCCGAUCCUUUGACGAAGGCUUUACCGAGACAUAUGAUAAUAACGACCUCACAAGAAAUGGGGCUGAAACCCUUUAAUUCAAAAUCACCAAUAAUGGUAACCCGACCUUUUUCUAGAACAUCACUAUUUACAAGGUUUAAUGGGUAAGAACAAGUUAUUGAAUGUGAUUGUUGAUACUGACAUAGCCCUGAUAUGAGAAGUCAGUAUUGUCUGUUACGUUUUGUAGGUUAAAUUGAAUUCUUAAUGAAGUAUGAUACAAAUUUGUAGUGUGUUGAUAGUAACAGAAACACAUGGUAGAUAUUUCACCUAUAUGAGCUUAGAAGUGGUGCCGCUUCUUACGAAAGUGAGAGUUGCUUUCUAGAGAGCUCAUGAAACAGGAUCAAGCACAAGGCCAUAAUAGUGUGGAGUAAUAUAGAAAUUCUCGCUGAAACAAGAGAUUAGUGUAUGUGUGGUAUGUCCGGUUCUAUUACAUAAAAGUACAAGUUUAAAGCCGAGCUACUUGUCACUUUGAUAGAGCUUUGAUAUACUUGCACUAAGUAAAGGUUUAACUCAAAAGAGACCUUUAUGUAUGUAUAUUAAUCUUACUGAAACUUUGGCUGUAUAGUUUUUAAAAUUUUAUUUUUAAAUCUUUGUUUUACAAACAAAGUGGGGGAUUGUUGGAAUUUUGUUUGUUAAAACAAAAUGAGUGCGUUUUACUUUGUCCCACAUAGAAAAAGUGGGAGCAGAAUGAUCAGUUUAAAAAUGUGGGAUUUCCCUUUUGUAGUUAAAGGAGUAAUUAGGUGGGGCUAGACCCCACCAUACCUGCGUGCGGGUGCGCGAAUAAUUGCACGCCUGCGCGCCCGCGGUUUAAUUAGCAUUAAUCCCUUGCUAUUUAUCUAUUUAUUUUUAUUUUAUUUUAUAUUUUUAGUUCAAAGGUUGCCUUUUAAUUUGAGAAUUUCGGAAAUGAAAUAUAAAUGAAAAUUCGAAAUUCUAUUUAAAAAUAAAAAAAAUUAUUCCGAAUUUUAUUUGUGUCUUUUCAAGACAACCUUUGGAAAAUUACUUAUUCGGUUUUAAUUUUUCCGAAGGAUUGCAAUUGUUCGUUUUUCGACUUCUUCCGAAGAGUCGCAUUUGUUUAUCCGAACAAUUUUCUAAAGACGUGUUUGUUCGCAAUUCUCACGAAGAGUUGCAAGACUGUUUUAUAUAUAUACUUGUCAUUUUCGGAAAGAAAAGUGUGGUCAAUUUUCGAGUCUUCUUUCUAAAAAACUGCAGCCAAUUUUUCGAUUGUUUUCCUAGAGAGACCCUGGAGAAAUACUAGAAUUGCUAUUUAGUAUUCUCAUUCGAGACUUUGUUGUAUCCUGGAGGAUUUUUGCCGGUGACCAUUAACAACGUUGUGGGGCAAAUAAAUCCUUAAAGAAAGUAAUAUCACGCCUCAAAGUCCGAGUUGUUUUACUCGAUCCGAUUUCAUUGUACUACCCAAUUUCGAAGCAUAUUUUACCAACAAGUUUGACACGGGUUAAGUCGCGCAUAUGCAUCCACUAUUGUCUUUCGAGUAGCUAGUUAAGCUAAUUUAGUUCUUUCUUGUUUGUUGUUAAUGCACGUGUCGAAACUUGUAUAUGCAAGUGGUGAUUAAGAGCGCGCGCUUAAGUGCUCUGGAAAUGCAAUGUUUCAUCUAGCAAUAAAAAUCAUUCGUGUCUCAUUCCUCUUGUGAAUGAACUCAUUCUACUGUUUCUUUGAUCCGUAUUUCGAAAAACAAAAUAUUUCUAGAUCGCUCUGUCAAUGGUAAGUUUGCCUCAAUUCACCUAUGAGAUCAUGACUCACGACUUGAAUAGAAAUCGCCUGUCAAAGAUGCGAGAAAUGAUUGCACGAUAAUCUUUAAUUUACUGUUAGAAUAACAGUCUAUUAUAAAUCUUAAAAAAUCAAAUAACAAAUAAUUAUAAAUUAUUAUGUAGAGCAUUUUUUCAAGAAUUUGUGACUCAUAAAAUACUGUUAUUCUCACAAUAGUUCAAAGACUGUUAUACUAACAAAACCCGAAAGAUGUUAAUGAUCUACCUCCCUUAGAAGCAGAGAAGUCCACUCUUUGGAAGACUAAUAAUAAUACAUAUCAUCGUUGAAGUUAUUUAGUGAGCAAAGUUUCAACAAAAGCGAUUUAAGGACUUGAUUGAUGGCAUUAAUAAACGUCUAGAUGGCCUUAAAUAACAUAUCUAGCGCCAUUCAGUGCACAGAAGUCGCCAAAAGUAAUUCCGGCACCACUGUUGACAAUACUAUGGGCGGCAUUUCUAUGUUGGCUAAAGAUCUUGGAGAUGUGUAAUUUAUUGAAGGGAGUGCUCGAAACUUGACUUGAGCUCGAUUGGGUAGUAGAGUUUUACCAAGCUCGACUUGAGCUUAAAGAAACUCAAUUUUGUGGAGCUUCAUAAAGCUCGAAUAUCUUCCUUGGAUUUUCAUAUAUGUUUGGAUAUUCCGUGUAACCUCAAUGAACUCCAUAUUUGAUUUUAUCGCAAUUAUAAUUGCAAGCUUGAGCUUGACUCAUUAUGAGAUUCGAGUAGCUCGAGCUCGACUCUAGAUCAAACAAGUUGAUUUGAUCAAGUAAUAUAUCAUUGAACCGAGGCCCAAGGUACAUACUCACGAGUACUUGACUCGGUUUAUAGUGACGAACACAAUAGGCUCAGGGAUGAUUACUCUCUUGCUUGGGCAAUAUUUUCUUCCACACUCGGCGGAGAAAACUUUCCUCAAUCAAGCUUUGCAUUGGUCGUUCACAAAGAUGGACAUUCUGACGAAGUUCGCACUUAGGAAACCCAUUUUGUAGUGAAGUCUUUUCUCAUAGAGCUAAUUCGGAGAUUUGCUUCGGAUAUGAUCCAAUUAGCGCGCAACAAGAAAGCAACGCAUUAUCGGCAACUAAAAGGGAAAGGAAAAGACCCAAGCCUAAGCACAAUGGUGGGUUGGUCGGUGUCUCGCCGCAUAAAUCUUAUACAAUAAGGUUGGACACGAGAAUUCACGUACGGAGACGGCUGUUCCGCGCAAAGGUAGGCACGAGUCAUGAAAUGACAUGAAUUCUUGCAAAUAUUAUCGAGCAAGAUGUGCAGAGUCCCAGUCCGAUUGGGAUCCCCUGCCUAACUACAUAAUCGUUUGGAUGUCGGGAAAAGUACCAAAAAAGUCUUAAAUUUAUAGUAUUGAUACUAAUUCAAUCAUAAAUAUUUUCACAUUGAUGUCAAUUUAAUUCAUCCAGUCAAUUUUAGCCGACUAAUGCUGACGUGAACACCAGCCGUGGGUGGCAAUUUUUAAUAAUUUUUUUUUCGAAUUUUUUAUUAACUUUUUUUUUCUUUUUCUUUCCUUUUUCCUCUUCUUUUUUCUCUUCUUCCUCCUUGGAUUCCUUUCGGUGGCCAACGAGCCGCCAAAGGUUUGGUGACCACUGCCAGAGAAGAAUGCCAAGAGGAAGAAGAGGAAAAAGAAAGAAGAGAAGGAAAAAAUUAAUAAAAAAAUUAAAAAAAAAAAAUGGCACUGGUCGCUGCCAAGUUAAAAGAAACUUUCACUGCAUCGUAUUUCAGCGGCGAUCGAUCGAUUGAAAAGAAGAGAGAAGGGACAUCUUCGCGAAGGAAAGUACUAACGUAUAGUUCAAAGUGCUAAUCAGAUCAAUUAUGGCUGCUUCCUUUGACUUUAUCAAGCUUCCUUUCCUAGAAGUUGCUUUCGAAAAGCAUAGACUUUUUGAUGGAUUUGCCCCCUCCGAUCCUUCUUUCGAAUUUCAACGGGGACCUCAUUAACAAGAGAGCCCUAUAGAGCAGUCGUCAUUUCGAUUACUUGCUUAGUGCUAACCAAGAGAAGUGCGGUAUUAUAAGCUUGUUUAUGUUCAUAUGUUCACCAAACAAAGCGAUCAAUGCCGUGUAAAGUUCCCGAAGUGGCGUGAAAAGGGCCCCAUCUUCUCCAACGCAUGUGAAGAAGAUCGGAGCGUCCUGUGGCGCAAAAGGAUGAGUCAAAAGGCUUACCCAUUGAAAUAUUAUUACAUAAUCAAAAGGUUCAGGAUUAAAUUGGUCCAAUUAAAAGGUUUAAGACUGAAUUGGUACCAAUGUCAUAGAUUUAUGACUUUUUUGAUAAUUUUCCCUUUGGAGGUCUCUAUUCUCUACUUAAUUAUUCUCGCGUGCCCUUGGGCCCUUCAUCAUGACUCAGUGAAUUAUAUCUUUGCUUUUGAAACUCGCAUGAUUAAUACACUUUUAGGAAAAACGUAUUUGUAACGCCCCAUCAGAGUUGCACAAAAGCUUUUAGCUUUUAUUUGAAUUUUCUAAUACCCCUCAUGUAUAGGGUGGAAAUAAGUAAUUGGGAAACAAAUAGAGGCCCAGAAAAAUUUGAAAUGAAGACCUCAUAAUCUGAUACGAUAUGAGCUUUUUUGGGAUUUUUUUUCAAUUGUUUAAAAAUUUAAACUGUUAGACAAAAACGUGAUUUAACAUAUAAAUAUUCUAAAGCAUAGAACUUGAUUUUAGGCUACAUGAUUCAUCAAAUGAAGACACAUUCAUGGUAUGUCGCAACUCAGCCUUAUGGCCCGUUGGUUCAGCUUUGGGGAAAUGCCCUUGGGAGAAUGCAAAUACCUUUGGGGUAAAGGAAUUUUUCGAAAUGCUAAACUGUUUGGUAAACUAUAACUAAAAGGUGCUUUAGGGAAAUGCAAGACUGUUUAGUAAACAUAUAUUUGAAAAGUCAUUUAGUGUGACCAAAUUGAUUUUUUAGUUUUAGUAUUUUUAAAAUUGCAAAAAAGAAACAAUAACUUUAUAACAUUUUACAUUUUCAUGUUGAGAGUAAUGUAAAAGAUAUAUAUUAGUAAGUUUAUUUAAAAAUUAUAUUAAAAGAAUUUGAUUAUAGAUUAGAUGCAAAGCUCAAUUUUUGGCCUAGGGUUCUUUUAGGUUUGUUUUCAACUUUGAAUAAUUUUUUUUUAAUUAUUGUAGUAUUAAUCAUCUUUGUUAAUUAAUGAUCAUUCUAGUGUAUUGAUAAAAAGUUGGGCUAUUGAUUGUCAAAAGAUACAAAUGACAAAAAAAAAAAAAAAAAAGCUGAACCCAACAUUUGCAAAGGGUUUUUAUUUAUAAAAAAUAAAAAAUAAAAUCUGAUGAAACUCCGUCGUCGAUCAACGGCAGUUGGGGGUGUGGGGAAGAUGAUCGGUUUAUAAAAAAAAAAAAAGUCAACGGAUGAAUAAUAGAGGUGGACUUGCAUUUCAAAGGCCAGCAUUUGGACGCAUUUGGCCAAGGACACCUCCAAAUGCUGAACCAAACACCUAAUUUUUUUCCCAAUGGGCUUUCGGGGCUGAAAGCCCCUUGGGAAUGCUGAACCAAACAGGGCCUUACCACUUAGACCAAUGACCCACUAAUUAACCACAUAUGAUCGUACAAAUUCCAAGGUUGAUAGGGGCACCCAUUCGAUGUCAGUCACCUAACAAUAUACUAUUAAUUAUCCAGACAGUUAGCAGAUGAUAAUGGUGGCCCAUUUACGCACUCCAUGUCCCAACGUCCAAGCACUUAUUUCCAGACUGCAAAUCCCUUUUGCUAAAGAAGAUGUUUCAUGUCAGAUGAACUUAAACUUUCGAUUCUCAUACCGUUCCCCUAUCACAAUCGAAUAUGAAUGUCAAGACUCAGUUAGUUUCCCUCUCUUAUAAUUUUCCCUUCAUUUCGAAGAAGUGCUUUGUUAGGGGCCUAUUGCUUUCAACUCUGGCAGAGUACAUGAUUCCAAAUUAUAAAUGGAUGGUCCUAACCCGAACUUCAUUCGAUGUCCAAUUGCAAUAUUUGACCAGCGUUGACUGAUAGAUAACAUCAGGGUGGUGUUGUUCUGGAAAAGAUGUCCUCGUAAUGGAUUUGUGGCAAAGUGUGUUACUUCAAUAAUCGAUGUACUUCGCCCACACUGUUGCUUCAAAAGUUAAACCUUUUUUCCGCAAUCGACGACACUUCCAUUAAUUUGGACAAUGAUACUCCUCCCAAACAGAACAUUGACACAGGCACGUGCAAUACCAUUAUAGAGAAGAAAAUUCUUUAUAAAAACCUAAAAACCUAUUAGACUUGAACCAAUUCAAUCUUAAACAUUUCAAUAAUUUACCAAUAUUUUUUUAGUUGGACAAUUUUGUCAAUUGAAUUAUAAAUCUUUUGACAAUAUGCCAAUUGACUCCAUUCAACCAAUUUUAACUAGGUUAUCACUGAUGUAUAUAUCAAUCAUCCUACAUGAUGCCAACAUAAACAACUUUUGUCAUUUUUAAAAAAUAUUUUUUAUUUUAUUUUUUUUUCUUUGCUUGUCGGCGAGAGUCACGAGCAACCCUUGCCCACCACGAAGGCUUCACUUAAGGCAUUGCCUUGUCAACUGCAAGUGAGGGCUCGAAGGCCCUCACCAAAUCUAGGUGAGGCUUCCCCCAGCUAACGAGACCACCAAGUCAAAAUGGGCUCAACUGGCAAAUUGACAAAAAGUUACAAAAGUUAUCCACUUUAAAAAAUAGCAAAAGAAAAAAGGAAAAGAAAAAUAAAAAAAUUACAAAAGUUAUCCACUUUCAUGCUACCGGUGCCACGUACAAAAAUUGGUCAAAUGGAUUCAACUAGCAAAUUGUCAAAAAAUUAUAGGACUCAAUUGGUAAAAUUAAAAAAUUCAGAAUUGAAUUGGUCAAAGUGUAAUAGAUUCAAAACUUUAUGAACAAUAUUCCCCCACUAUAGAAAAAUUCAUUAAUCAAUCUCAUUAAUUCACAUGCCAAUAGCCCAUUCCAUUGAUUAAUCUCAUACCAUGUGACAUCCAGAUUUUCGGAUCCUAAUUUCGAUUAAAUAAAAUUGGGCAUUUCAUCGACGCGACUACAGUGUUUUUCUCUGAGUUGGCCACUCACGAGAUAACUAGACUAGCUGGGUAAGCUAUCAAGGACUUUAAGGCAGAUAGACUUGAGAAUUCGACCAAUGACCGAGCUCUUGACCAUGACUAUUUUUAGAGGCCAUUGCGACACAAUAUAAAAUCGAAUUAAGAUCAGAGAUAGGUCGGUUUGACUGAGAUGAGUGACCGAUCGUGGAUGACUCCACUAAAUUGGAAAACUCUCGUCGACCGGCACUAGUUUGAUUUUACUGUCGUUUUGGUACCCUGUGUUCGUAUUUGAAUCCUCGAAAUUUUCACGACAAUCAAGAGUCACCAUUGUGACGAGUGGGUUCAUUGUGGCUCGAAGAAAAUCGACCAUGAGUUAUUUGUCCUAAAAAGUUCUGAAAACUACCUGGUCGCCUAGGUCACGCUAAAAACGUGUCGGAGUGAAAUUAACCAUGAAAUCGAACCUGAAUUCAGAAAUUGAGAGUUCUGUCAAGUCACAAUUCAUUUUAAGAACGUCGACUCAUCCUCAUAAGAUUUUUCUACAACCGAGAUUUUUGGCGGAAAAGCAAAGUAAGGCCGUUUAUGUUGAGGAUUUUCAGAGGACCGCUUUUAAUUGAAUCUUGGAGAUGCAAGUUGGAUCCUUUGAUGGGGAAAAGUCAUAAGAAGGUUGAGGACACAUGGGUUAAUUUAAUUGAACUUCAAUUAGAUGGAAUUGAUUGAGAAUUGAUUGAAUUAAGUGUACAAGAUUUUAUGCCACGGCAGAAAAAGAAAUUGGACCCAUUGGACUAAGGUCAUGGGAGAUUGGAGAUAGUGGAACAUGACAUCACUUGAUGAUGUCAUGGUGGGCCAUUUUUGGGGAUUAAAUAAAGAGAAAAAGAAAAGGAAUGGCCUCCCCCUCCCUUCUCUCUCCUCCCUCUCUCCUUCCCGUGCGACCACUUCCUCCAUCUUCUUCAUCUUCUUCUUCGAAACCCAGCAAGCCGAAGAACCAGCAAAGCCGGAGCCAAGGCCGUCGUCACCGCCUCACGCCGCACGCCGUCGCAGCUCCGCGACCGCCUGCACGCCCUCCGCCUUCCUCUCCCCCUUCUGCUGGUGUCGGCUUCUUCUCCUUCUUCCUUGUGUUGUUCGAAACCCAGCAGAUCUGGGAAGACAACAGAGCAGCCAGCAAGCUGCUAGACCACCCGCGACGCCUUCACCGUCCGCCGCUCGCGACACCCCGCCGUCCACGCACGCCAAGCCCGCCAUUCCAGCCGUCGUUCCUGUCUGGUGUGCGUCCAGAGCCGCUGUCCAGCACCGUGAGCCACCGCCGGAGCUUCCUCCGGCCACCGUACACCCCCGCCUCAGCCCGCCGGAGCUCCGCCUAGCCCUCUCGGCCCUUGCAUGCCCCAACCCAACUCGGAUCUACCCCUUUCUCGGCCUCAACCCACAGCGGACAGCAGCUGGAAAAAUGGGUAUGGCAGCGGCUUCGUGGCCCGUUUUGGCCGGCUUCCCGACCCCGGAAGCUAGGCCUGCCUUGGAGUGAAUCGAUCCCCUCGGCGUCCCCGUCGAUUUGAGCCGCUCGGAUCGUUAAUCGGGUGAGUUUAACUCACUAAUCCCCGCUUAGUAGGUUAAUCACGUUUAAGGGGUGUUUAGAUUAAACUAAGUAGGUUUAGGUGGUUAGAUUAGUUUAUUUAAAUGUUAAGUGGAUUAAGGGAUGUGAUUAGUUUAGUGGACAAUUAAUUAAAGUUAAGAAAAUGUUUGGAUUAAAGUAAUCUUGUUUAAGCCUUAAUUAAUUAUUUUAAAUUAAAUAAUUAAUUCGAAAUUGUACCAUUAUAAUAAUAAUAUAAUAUAAUAUUAUUAUAUUUAAUUUUCGGAAUAAAUUUAAUUAUUUAUUAUUUUCCGGAAAUUUUGACCGGGAUAGUCGGUGUCUGGAAUUUCAUGCUGAUGAUCGUGGUGAAGUCCGUUUGUUUAAUUGAGCUCCGAUUUGAGCUAAAUUGAAUUUAUUGUAAUUAAUUAUUAAUUUUCGAAAUUAAUUAAUUAAUUAAUUAAAAUUUGGAAAUUAAGAUUUAGAAGGUCGACGACCGAAAUUCCGUGCUGAUUAUCGUAGUGCAGUCCGUUUAUUUAUUUGAGCGUUAAUUUGUGCUGAAUCGAAUUAAUUGUGAAUUUAUGAUUUAUUCCUAAAUUAUCUGAUUUUGGUUUAUUGAUGGAGAAAUAACCGGGCGUCGGUUUACAGCGCCAAAAAUAUGUAAUGGGCUGAUGAAAUUGGUGGGAUAUUUUAAAGUAAAAUUAUUAUAUUUUGGCUAAGGCCAACCGUGUACCCACACACGGCUAUUUAUCGUGAAUGAUAAAAAUGAUGAAUUUACUAUAUGUUUGGAGUGGUAUACUAUAUCGGCCUUCGGGCGAUAUGUCAGCUUUGGGUGAGCAGUAUACCAGUAUACUAUAUUGACCUACGGGCGAUAUAUCAGCUUUGGGUGAGCAGUAUACCUUAUUAUUAGCUUUGGGCGAGCGAUAUAUUUAUCAGCUUUGGGCGAGCAUAUAUAGUAUACUGAAUUGGCCUGAGGGCCCUAAUCUAUCAGCUUUGGGCGAGCAUAUAUAGUAUACUAAAUUGGCCUGAGGGCCCUAAUCUAUCAGCUUUGAGCGAGCAUAUACAUAGUAUACUAUAUCUAUCAGCUUUGGGCGAGCUAUGCUAUCUAUUAUAAGCUUUGGGUGAGCAGUCCUAGACUAUGGUCGGACUUUAUAGAUAGUAUUGAAUGUACCGACCAAGGAAAGGUCGUGGUGACAUGUAAUCGAUUAAGUCGAUUGAUCGCUGAGUCGAUCUGAUUGGUGGAAUGUGAUUGUUUGCGUAGUUAUAAAUAUUAUUAAUUGAACUGAUGUGCAGGAAGGAACUGAUGCCAAGGUAAGCCCUUUGACCUGUGUUGUGCUUAAGCAGCCCUUAUGGCGUAUUGGCUUCCUAAUUGGGUCUUAGUGGGGUAGAACUUGCUGAGACAUUGUCUCAUCCCGGUUUGGGGAAACAACAUUUCAGGACCCUGAUGAAGAGCCUGAGGAGAAAGAACUCGAAGAGGAGUAUCUGAAGGAGAACCCCGAGGAUGAUCCGGAGUAGGAUCCUGAUGACUGUUGCUAUAGAAUCUAAUUGAGUAGAUACCAACCUUUUUAGCAUGGUUUGUAUAUGUACAUGUAUGACUGAGUCAUUAUAGAUGUACAUAAGGGUGUUGGUUUUCAGGUUCAAUUUUCUAGUCCUACUUAUAUAUCCCAUUGCUUGACUGUCUGGGGAUUUUAUUAAGCUUCCGCAUGCGUAUAUAAAUGAAUGGGUUGGCGACCUUCCUAGGAUAUCGCAAAUAAAUCGACCAAGUAAGGGAUGGGCGCGUGCCCGAGGAUCGGGGGGUGACAUACCACAUAUCAAUGGUCUAAUAAAAUUACACGUCGAUGGUCCAUUCCAAUGACUAAUUUUAAAUCACACGUUGAUGGUCAAUUCCAUCGACUAAACUCAAAUUACACGUCAAUGGUUCAUUCCAUUGACCAAACUUAUAUCACAUGACAAUGGUCCACUCCAUUGACCAAUCUGUUGCUCAAUAUCAAACCAUGGUAAUGAUACAACGCCUGGUGACAAGGCGACCAAGAUUCCCUCAUUGGCAAUGUCUCUAGCUAUUAGGCUAUUAGUAGCUGGUGACUCGACCCACAAGGAUAUUCUAGACUAGUAUACACACACCCACAAGCCCCUCACUGAGCUCACGGCGAUAUUAAGCAUCAAUACCAAUCCAGAACAAUACCAUCCACAAUCCACAAAGCCAAUUCGUAAAUCAUUUCAUAUAUCACCAAAAGAUUUCGCAACUCAACUUAUCCACCAAAAAUAUUUUUCAUAAAACAUUCUCAAAUAAUUUCAAGACUCUUCUCAUAACCAGAUUUUAUAAACCAAAUCAAAUCAAAAGCAUGUCAUAAGACAUUUCACAACAUAAUAUUCCAUCAUCCAUGCUCAAAAAGAUUUUCAUAAAAAGGUUUCGUAAACCCAAAUUAUAUAAUAUUUCUUUACUUCGUUCCUAAAAUAGAAUUUAUAUUUUCAUUAACCAUUUCUUACACCAUUCACAAAUACCAAAACGUAGCAAAUGCCCGAUCCAAAUUUUAUGCAACAAAUAUGCUUAUUCAUAUCUCAUAAAAUAUCAAAUAUUUGUCAUUUUGAAGACAUGAGCUUAUAAAUUCUUAUAAGAGAUAAUACUACUCACCUGGGAAAGCCGAUAAACAAAUUAUGUGGUUACUCAAGCCAACACACUCAUAUUCUUAUUAAUUAAUCGAAAAUUAUAUCAAAACCAAGUAAUAUGCUACUUUCCAACUAAUGACUCGACUGAUUUUUGCUUAUCCAUCGAUAAAACAACACCUACGCACUAAUAAACCAUACAUCAAAAGAAAUUAUUUAAGAAGUCUGCAACGUGGAACAUGAGCGCGAAACUUGGUCACGCCAUAACUUUUUCCACCAAACCCCGUUUCAAGCAUACUUAUAGUCAAUGGAAAGCCCUUCCAACAUAUUACAAGAACCCCAAUUUAGCCAACCCGAAAUCAAGCCAAAAACCAACAAAAUAUGGCCCCGAAAUACUGGUCGAGCACUGUUCAUCACGCACGAGAAACUUCAAAAUUUUGUUUUGGGCAAACCGUAAACUUAAAUCGAGUUCCGUAAAAUCCUAUAGUUCCAUAACACCCUAAACUAUCAUUUCUAUAUAUGCAGCUCAAUGACUCAGAAAUCGGAUUUCGCCGCUUGAAUUUCACAUAUUCCCAAAUUUAAAUCCUAACUUUGAAAACCAAUCCGAUUAGAAAAACCAAGGGCGUGAGCGUUUACCGAGCGUUGUAAAUCGGAAUUGGAUCGGCUCGGCAAGGCGUCCGUAGCAAGAGUCCCCUCUUUUUCCUCCUCCUCUUUCUUCUUCCUCUUUACGUUCGUUUCUCUCCUCUUUCUUCUUUUCCUUCUGCCCGAACGUGCCUCCUCCUUUUCCUUUUAUCUCUUCUUUUUCUUUUUUCUUUUUUCCUUUCCUUUCCUCUCUUCUUUUUCUUCCUCUCUCCCAAAGACUCUCAGUCCCUCUCCUUCUUCUUUCUCUUUUUUUAUUUUUUUGACUGGAUCAAAACCCAUAUUUUACAGUUAAGAGACUCUUAUCAGCUCUUAUCCCAUCAAGUGGCCAUCUCAUAUUAUAAUUCCACACUCAACCUCGAACCGAGCCUACCCACAUCGAGAGCUCUCCAGCAAUUUGGUGAACGAAAUUCAAUCGCAAAUACCAUCGAACGAAUCUGGGAGGAGAGUUUACAUGUCAAGGGUAUACUACUGCAUGAUCUCGUAUAAGACGCAUGUUACGAACGCAUGCAAUCCGCGAUAAGGUUAAUGCCGAUAUCACGGUCAAAAAAGGGCUACUCGAUAAAGCGCAACGAUAUCAUUAAAUUAAAGCCUUGAUUAGCCAUAGGAAACGAUAUAAAGACCCGAAAUGAUUCGGCAUUUAUAGCGAAAAAGGGAUACGCGGAUCGAUCUGAAGCCACCUGUCUCCCAUUUUUGGCGGAGGGGUGUGUGAAAAAGAUGGGGGUGGGGAUGGCAAGACGUCACUCCAUGAAUGGAUGGAUCGAUGGUUAUCCCCUUGACAUCUGUAGGAUUGCCCAAAUUGGCCAAGUGGAGAUCUAGCUGUGAACCGACUCAUCCCAAUCCUUCGACAUUUAGAGUAUGCAACGCUCCACCUGAGAUCUUCAUAGAAUGUACCAGGCUCUUUAAUUUAACAUAAGCAAAUACAUUCGACAUAACCUAAUGACCAACAUAAAGUUAUGUAUGAUUGCUCCUAGAGCAUAGCUUCUUGGUUUAGGUAAAAGUCAGAAGAAAUUUUCUGUGCUAUAUGUCUAUGCUUCUAUCUAAUGUCUAGAGUCAAAUUUUCUUUGCAGCGAUUUUAGCAUUACUUACUUAAAACUAAGUUCAGUAUGCUAGUAUUGCAAGUUCUUUUUUUCUUACUUCAUCUUGAUUAAUAAUCGGGAUAAGUGCACCAGAAGUCCUAAAAUUUAGUACACAAGUAUAAUCAAGUCCUAAAAAUUUAAAAAAGUGCAAUUAACAAACGGAUUUUAUUAGACCAAUUUGAUAAAUUUUAGGACUCAAUUGUACUUUUUGAAAGUUUUAGAACUCAAUUAUGUUUUCUUGACAAGUUUUAGUGCUUUCGAUACACUUACCCCUCUAUUAUUUUGACUAAAUCAUUCUUUUCUAGAUGGCCAGAUGAUUGUAUAAAGUGUUGUAAAAUAAUUUUUUUUAACUGUUCACUCAAGUAGAAACGUAGGCUGCACCCCAUUUAGUUCAACUUUUUUUAAGUAUCUAAGAUUGCUAUGUCAAUGAAGACAUAUUUAUAUGUAACAUCAACAUAUAACUAAUUUGGAUGAAGACAUGUCUAUAUAGAAAAUCAUUAUAGAAUCAAUCUCUUGCAAUAAAACAAUGAUAAUAAGAAGGAAAAUCAAUAUUAUGCCUAGGCAAGGGUUGGCCUCCUCGAUGCGAGACCGACCUUGCCAUGGCCAAGGCGAGGCUCGUUAACACUCGCCUGACUCGCCAGACCUCGCCCUCACCCAGGCAAGGCACGAUGAGGCCACUCCCACCUGGGCAAGGGUUGGCCUCACCAGAUCUAGCAAGAGGGCCUUGCUUGUCCACCCAUGGAUGGUCAACGCUAGGCCUCGGCCUGGCGAAGCCAUGCAUCGACCGACCCUCGCUUGUGGCCGGCAAGUGCGACCUUGCUAGCUAUGGCUAUGGCCGGUGGCUGAUGAUGGCCACGGAAAAAGAAAAGGAAGAGAAUGGAGGAAGGGAAAAAAAAUCAAUAAAUUAUUUUAAAAAUUCAAAAAAUUUUAUUAAAAAUGUCCAAGUUAGCGCCGGUCGCACCACAUCAGCUGGCCACCAUCCAUAAUAGUAAUUUCCAACCUAAAUUGGCCAAACAAAUUAAAUUAGUAUCAAUGUAAAAAUAUUUAGAAUUAAAUCGGUACCAAUGCAAUAAAUUUAGGACUUUUUUAGUAUUUUUCUCAUUAAAAGCAUGGACAACAAGGUAUACUAUCGUACUCAAUAAUUGAAAAAUAGAAAAAUCACUUACUUUACAGCGAGGUUGUGUGUGAUUAGGUUACUCUUAGGAGAGUAUUUUACACGCACUUUGCCAAGUUGUGGCCCUCAUAUACCAAAACAUAUGUUGAUUAGUGACUUAUGUUGUCCCCUAAUUACUUCCUUUCACAUUGAUUAAAUAUAUCAUCAUAGGUGUAUCUAAUUGAUAUUUGUACAGCUAAGCUAUAUGAGAAUGUGAUAUGCGAAAUUAAUAUACCAAAUGACAUAGCAAAUUGUAAGUAUGUAUUUAAAUAAGUGAAACACGGUGGAUAAAUAUUAUAUUACAUCAUUUGAUAUAUCAAUUACGUCAAUCAAUUUUAGUAUAAUCAGCGCAUAAAAAUCCUUUUAUCUAAAUUCCAUAUAGGCAAUGUUAACUUAAGUUCAAGGGGAGUGGUUACGUGAUCAAAAGUGACUUUCGAGUCCUAGAGAGUGUCAAAUCUUUAAACCAUGAUAAGGUGCUGGCGUCACGUACGGCGUACAUUCACCGACUACAUCAAGCCACUGGCAAUUACUAGGGGAGAUCAUCAUCUCCAUUUGCAAUAUUAAAAGAUAUUUUGGCCAUCAUCAUAAAUUUAUCUUGUAGCAGUGAAUUUAUUCCUAAACUUGUCAAUUUUAACUAAUGUAGUCUUAGAUCUUUUGACAUUUUUAUCAGUUUAGGUUAAAAUUGCUGACAUAACGCUUCUAUUAAUGCCCGGCUGAUUGCUGACAUGGACAAUAUUAUAUGAAAUGACUUUGAGUCUUAGAAAGUGUCAAACAUAGAAUUAUGUUACCUUAUGUAUUAAGUAAACACGAGGCGCUGGCGUCACGUACGAGCGCACAAUCACCUACUGCCUUAUGCCACCUGCAAUUGUUAGGCGAGAUCAUUAUCUCCAUUUGCACUAUUAAAAGAUAUUAUGGCCAUCCACGUAGUCGAUUCUUUAAAUGAUGUGAAGAUUCAUAUCUAUUACCCCACUUAAUCAACAUGAAAAUUAUCUAAAGAGUCAUAAAUUUAUUGUACGGCAAUGAAUUCAUUCCUAAACUUGUCAAUUUUAACUAAUGUAGUCUUAAACCUUUUGACAUUUUUGCUAAUUUAGAUUAGGCAUCGCUGACAUAACGAUUCUAUUAAUGCCCGGCCGAUAGCUGACAUGGACGAUCUUAUAUAAAACAACAUCAUUUUGCAUUGAACCAAGAUUAUCUGAAUUUUCUCUUUUUCUUUUCUUUUUAAUAUUUCUUGCUUUUUAUUUUUCCUAUUCUAUUGUUCAUCUUUAUCCUCUACCAGUCACAAGUGAGGGUCAUAGCCUUUGCCAAAUCUAGGCAAAGCCACCGGCCACUAUCUAAGGUAAUCCACGCUAGAUUUGGCGAGGCCGUGAUGCCCUUGCAAGGGGUGGCCAAUGCCAAGGUUGCCAUCGCCUAUGGCUGACGACUUUCGCAAACCAUCGCCAAGGCUCUAAUGACCGACGAGCAAAAAAGAUGAAUAGUGCAUUAAAAAGAAAAAAAGAAUCAAAGAAUUCAUAAAAAGAAAAAUUGCAAAAUGACAUCUUGUCAUUUAAGAUCGUCCAUGUCAAUAGCUAGCUGUUCUCCAUAGGACAUUUGGUGCUGACUAAACUAUCACAUCAACAAUUUCUAAUUUAAAUUAACCUAAUAAAUUAUAUUUAAAAAUUGUCAAGGUUUAGGACUAUAUUCGGCAAAUUGAUAAAUUUAGGACUUGAUUGGCCGCCAUACAAUAUGUUUAAGAUAUUUAGGACUACUCUCUCUUCAAUCGGCCGCCAUCAUAAAUCAUUCUAUAUUCUAGCAUAACUUUUGCCUUCCAUCUCCUCUAUAAAUUGCAAGGCCAACGUGAGCACAAUUUCCACGACAUAGCCUUAUUUGUUUUCAGCUUCGAAAUCUUCCAUUUGAAUAUCUUCAGUUUCUGAGAGGAAGAGAGUGGGAAAAUGGCCAUCUUCACGACUGACAAUCCCUGGGCGCUCACCUUUGGAGUUCUAGGUACUUUACACACGGUAUCCAACUGUUUUAUAGUUACUGUCAAACAACAGCCGAUGACUUUGUUUUGACGUGUUUGUCAACCUUUGGAUGAUCCUUGUUGUAGUUAAUACCAUAUCCAUCGUAAUCUUUCUGGCCCCAGUGUAAGUUUUUAACUCUUUCUCACUCCGUGCACACUGACAAAUAUAAGGUUUAGGACUUAUUGGAUCUUCUUUGGCAGGCCAACGUUCUGUAGGACAUGCAGGAGGAAGUCAACUGAAGGGUUAGAAUCGGUUCCAUACGUGGUUUCUCUGUUCAGGGCCAUACUUUGGCUGCACCAUCAGCGCUGUGACAUGGCCCCUAUAUGGCCUAUUCCUCAAGGACUUUUAUGUCGAGGUAUGCAUUGUUCAUCCACUUGUUAAAAAUCAAGAUGGCAAGGUGCGGCAAUAUUAUCUUCGUUCCCCUGAAUGAACGAUAUUAACAUGUGUACGUGUUUGUACAGGGUCCAAAUGUAUUAGUGGUCACCUUUGGAGUGCUUCAGACGGCACUGCAUGCCAUAUACGGGAAGGGGAAUACUAUGUGAUGGAGGAGGAGAAGAAUGAUACAAGUGUUGGGAAGCUGAGCUCUGAUAUACAAAGUUGCAAUGGGCAUGCCAUUGCCUCCCACAUCGAUACCAACAUCUUUGACGAGGAAAGAGAAGUGCGAGAGAAGCUUCAUCAUCUUUAUUGAAACUCCUAAUAAAGGACCAGUGGCCACUCCAUCUGACGUGUGACAGGCGUCUGAGUUACUCAUAUGCCUGAUUGGACUUUUUUUUUUCAGCAGCCCCUAGCUAGCUUGCUCGUUGCUUAUGCUAUGUAAUANNNNNNNNNNNNNNNNNNNNNNNNNNNNNNNNNNNNNNNNNNNNNNNNNNNNNNNNNNNNNNNNNNNNNNNNNNNNNNNNNNNNNNNNNNNNNNNNNNNNUCAACCUUCAGAUGGAGUGGCCCAUGGUCCUUUAUUAGGAGUUUCAAUAAAGAUGAUGAAGCUUCUCUCGCACUUCUCUUUCCUCGUCAAAGAUGUUGGUAUCGAUGUGGGAGGCAAUGGCAUGCCCAUUGCAACUUUGUAUAUCAGAGCUCAGCUUCCCAACACUUGUAUCAUUCUUCUUCUCCUCCAUCAUAUAGUUUUACCAAGCUUGGCUUGAGCUUAAAGAAACUCGAUCUUCUAGAGCUUCAUAAAGCCCAAAUAUCUUCCUUGGAUUUUCAUAUAUGUGUGGAUACACCGUGUAACUUUAAGGAUCUCUAUGUUUGAUUUUAUCACAAUUAUAAUUGCAAGCUUGAGGUUGACUCAAUAUGAAAUUCGAGUAGCUUGAGCUCGACUCUAGAUCAAACAAGUUGAUUUGAACGAGUAAUAUAUCAUCGAACCAAGGCCCGGGCUAUGUACUCACGGGUAACUUCGACUCAGUUUACAAUGAUGAACACAAGGGGCUUGGGGAUAAUUACUAUCUUGCUUGGGCAAUAUUUUCUUCCACCCUUGGCAGAGAAAACUUUCUUCAGUCAAGCUUCAUAUUGGUGGUUUACAAAGAUGGACAUUUUGACGAAUUUCGUACAUAGGAAAGCCCAGUUUCUACUGAAGUCUUUUCUCAUAGAACUAAUUCGGAGAUUUGCUUCGGAUAUGAUCCAAUUAGCGCGCAACCAGAAAGCAACGCAUCAUCGGCAACUAAAAGGAAAAGGAAAAGACCCGAACCUAAGCACAUUGGUGGGCUGCUCGUUGUCUUGCCGCAUAAAUCUUCUUAUACAACAAGGUUGGACACGAGAAGGCACGUACGGAGACGGCCGUUCGGUACAAAGGUAGGCACGAAUCAUGAAGAUGUGGAGAGUCCCAGUCCGAUUGGGAUCCUGCCUAACUACAUCCUCGUUUGGAGGUCCCUGUCCUCUACUUAGUUAUUCUCGCGUGCCCUUGGGCUCUUCGUCGUGACUCAUUGAAUUAUAUUUUUACUUUUGAAACCCGCAUGAUUAGGACACUUUAGGAAAAACGUAUUUGUAAAGCCCCGUUAGAGUUGCACAAAAGCUUUUAGCUUUUAUUUGAAUAUUCUAAUACCCCUCAUGUGUAGGGUGGAAAUAAGCAACUGGGAAGACAAACAGAGGUCCGGAAAGAUUUGAAAUCAAGACCUCCUAAUCUGAUACGAUAUGAGAGUUUGUGAGACUUGUCAAUUUUUUUUAAAAAUUUAAACUGUUAAAUAAAAAUAUAGUUUAACAUCUAAAUAUUCUAAAACAUAGAACUUGACGGUAGGCUACAUGAUUCAUCAAAUAAAACCACGUGCAUGGUAUGUUGCAACUCAGCCUUACCAUCAAGACCAAAGACCCACUAAUUAACCACAUGUGAUCGUACAAAUUCUAAGAUUAGUAGGGGCACCUAUUCAACGUCAAUCACCUAACAAUAUAUUAUUAAUUAUCCAAACAUUUAGCAAACGAUUAUGGUGGCCCAUUUACGCACUCCGUGUCCCGACGUCCAAGCACUUAUUUUCAGACCGCAAAUCUCUUUUGCUAAAGGAGAUGUUUCAGGCAGAGUACAUGAUUCCGAUUUACAAAUGGAUGGUCCUAACCCGAACUUCAUUCAAUGUCGAAUUGCAAUGUUUGACCAGCGUUGACUGAUAGAUAACAUUAGGGUGGUGUUGUUCUGGAAAAGAUGUCCUCGUAAUGGAUUUGUGGCAAAGUGUGUUACUUCAAUAAUCGAUGAACCUCGCCCUCACUGUUGCUUCAAAAGUUAAAACCUUUUUUCCGCAAUGGACGACGCCUCUAUUAAUUUGGACAAUGAUACUCCUCCCAAUCAGAACAUUCACACAGGCACGUCCAAAACCGUUAUAGAGGGGAAAUUUCUUUAAAAAAAUCUAAACCUAUUACACUUGAACCAAUUCAAUCUUAAACAUUUCAAUUUUAUUAAUAUUAUUUGGGUCUAGACAACUUUGCAAAUUGAAUUAUAAACUUUUUAAUAAUUUGACAAUUAAGUCCAUUCAGCCAACUAGGUUAUCGCUGACAUAGAUAACAGUCAUCCAACGUGACGCCAACGUAAACAAUUUUUGUAAUUCUUAGAAAAACAGUAAUUUUUUUUCUUUGCUUUUUUUUUUUCUGGGCUAGCGAGGGUCACCAACAACCCUUGCUCACUACGAAGGCUUCACUCAAGGCCAUCGCCUUGUCGACUGCGGGUGAGGGCGCGAAGGCCCUCGCCGAAUCUAGGUGGGUGACCACAUUGCCAAAAUAGACUCAACUAGCAAAUUGUCAAAAAGUUACAAAAGUUGUCUACUUUAAAAUAAAAUAAAAACAAAUGAAAAAAUAAAAAUAAAAAUAAAAAAAAUUACAAAAGUUGUCCACUUUCGUGCUAGCGGUGCCAUAUACGAAAAUUUGGCCAAAUGGACUCAACAAGCAAAUUGUCAAAAAAAUUAUACUACUCAAUUGGCAAAAUUAAAAGAUUUAGAAUUGAAUUAGCCAAAGUGUAAUAGAUUUAAGAUUUUAUGAACAAUUUUCUCCCACUAUAAAAAGAGAUCACAUAAAUAACUAAAGCCAAAAGCAAAGCAUAUAGCAAUUGCUAAUAAAAUAUAUAACAACACCAAUGAUUCCACAGUUGCCGGGUAAUCGUUAGAGACUCUUAUCAGCUCUUAUCCCAUCAAGUGGCCAUCUCAUAUUAUAAUUCCACACUCAACCUCGAACUGAGCCUACCCACAUCGAGAGCUCUCCAGCAAUUUGGCGAACGAAAUUCAAUCGCAAAUACCAUCGAACGAAUCUGGGAGGAGAGUUUACAUGUCAAGGGUAUACUACUGCAUGAUCUCGUAUAAGACGCAUGUUACGAACGCAUGCAAUCCGCGAUAAGGUUAAUGCUGAUAUCACGGUCAAAAAAGGGCUACUCGAUAAAGCGCAACGAUAUCAUUAAAUUAAAGCCUUGAUUAGCCAUAGGAAACGAUAUAAAGACCCAAAAUGAUUCGGCAUUUAUAGCGAAAAAGUGAUACACGGAUCGAUCCGAAGCCACCUGUCUCCCAUUUUUGGCGGAGGGGUGUGUGAAAAGGAUGGGGUGGGGAUGGCAAGACAUCACUCCAUGAAUGGAUAGAUCGAUGGUUAUCCCCUUGACAUCUGUACGAUUGCCCAAAUUGGCCAAGUGGAGAUCUAGCUAUGAACCGAUUCAUCCCAAUCCUUCGACAUUUAGAGUAUGCAUCGAUCCACCUGAGAUCUUCAUAGAAUGUACCAGGCUCUUUAAUUUAACAUAAGCUAAUACAUUCGACAUAUCCUGAUGACCAACAGACAGUCGUGUAAUUGCUCCUAGAACAUAGCUUCUUGGUAUAAGUAAGGGUCAGAAGAAAUUUUCUCUGUUAUAUGUCUUUGCUUUUAUCUAUUGUCUAAAGUCAAAUUUUCUUCGCAGCAAAUUUAGCUUUACUUACUUAAAUACCAAGUUCAGUAUGCUAGUAUUGCAAAUUCUGUUUUUAAUCUCACUUCAUAUUGAUUAAUAAUCAGGAUGAAUUCACGAAAAGUUCUAAAACUUAUUAUAAGAGUAUAAUCAAGUUCUAAGAUUUUUAAAAAGUGCAAUUAGCAAAAUGAUUUAAUUAGACCAAUUUGAUCAAAUUUAAAAACUCGAUUGUACUUUUUGAAAGUUUUAAAAUUUCAUUACACUUUCGUGAUAAGUUUUGGUGCUUUCAAUACACUUACCCCUCUAUUAUUUUGACUAAAUCAUUCUUUUCUAGAUGGCCAGAUGAUUGUAUAAAGUGUUGUAAAUUAAUUUUUUUCCUUUAACUUAUCAUUCAAGUAGAAACGUAGGCUACACCUCGUUUAGUUUAACUUUUUCUAAGUAUCUAAGAUUGCCAUGUCAAUGAAGACAUAUUAAUAUAUAACAUCAAUAUAUAAUUAAUGUGGAUGAAGACAUGUCUAUAUAAAAAAUUAAUAUAUAAUCAAUCUCUUGCAAUAAAACAACGAUAAUAAGAAGGAAAAUCAAUAUUAUGCCUCGGCAAGGGUCAAUCUCCUCGUCGCUAGACUGACCUGGCCAAGGCGAGGCUUGUCGGGGCUCGUCGAACCUCGCCCUCGCCCAGGCGAGGCCUAGCAAGGCACGGCAAGGCUGCUCUAACCUGGGCGAGGGUCAAUCUUGCUAGAUCUAACAAAGGGGGCCUUGCCUGGCCAUGCCUGGACGGCCGACGCUUGGCCUCGACUUGGCGAGGCCGACCGUUGCCUAUGGCAAGCAAGUGUGACCUCGCCAGCCAUGGCUGUGGCUGGUGGCCGGUGAUGGCCACACGAAAAAGAAAAGGAAGAGAAAGGAGAAAGGGAAAAAAAGAAAAAAAAAUCAAUAAACUAGUUUAAAAUUUCAAUAAAUGCAAAAAAAUUAUUAUAAUAUUAUUAAAAAUGUCUAUGUCAACGCCGUUCACACCAUGUUUGCCAGCCGACAUCCAUAUCAAUAAUUUUCAGCGUAAAUUAGUCAAAUGGAUUGAAUUGGUACUAAUGUGAAAAUGUUUAUGACUAAAUUAAUCCAAUAAAAAGGUUUAUAACUGAAUUGGUACCAAUGCAAUAGAUUUAGAACUUUUUUAGUACUUUUCCAUUAAAGGCAUGGACAACAAGGUAUGCUAUCAUACUCAAUAAUUGAAAAUACAAAAGUCACUUACUUUACGACGAGGUUGUGUGUGAUUAUAUUACUCUUACGAAUGUUUGACACGCACUUAGCCAAGUUGUGGCCCUCAUAUAAAGAAACAUAUGUUGAUUAGUGACUUGUCCCCUAAUUACUUCCUUUUACACUGAAUAAAUAUAUCAUCAUAGGUGUAUCGAAUUGUUAUUUGUACGACUAGGCUAUAUGAGAAUGUGAUCUACGGAACUGGCAUACUAAAUGACAUAGCAAACUAUAAGUAUGCAUUUAAAUAAGUGGGACACGGUGGAUAAAUAUAAUAUUACAUCACUUAAUAUAUCAAUUACGUCAAUCAAUUUUAGUAUAAUUAGCACAUGAAAAUCCUUUCAUCCAAAUUCCAUUUAGGCAUUAUUACUUUAGUUCAACGAAUGUGGUCGCGUGAUCAAAAGUGACUUUGGGUCCUAAAAACCGUUGAAUCUUUAUACCGUGAUAAGGUGCUGCCGUCACGUACGGGCGCACAAUCAGCUGCUGCGUCACGCCACCUGCAAUUAUUGGCCGAGAUCGUUAUCUCCAUUUGCAAUAUUAAAAGAUACUAUCGCCAUCAACGUAAUCGAUACUUUAAAUGAUGUGAUAAGUUGAUGCCUAUUACAUCACUUAAUCAACACCAAAAUUAUCUCAAAAUCAUAAAUUUAUUAUGCGGCAAUGAAUUAAUUCCUAAGUUUGCCAGCUUUAACUAAUGUAGUCCUAAACCUUAGGUUAGAAAUCAUUGACAUAACGGUUCUACUAAUACCCAAUCGAUAGCUGACAUGGACAAUCUUAUAUGAAACGACGUCGCUUUGCAUUCAACCAAGAAUAUCUUAUUUUUCUUUCUUUCUUUUCUUUUCCUUUCAAUAUUUUUUGCCUUUUAUUUUUCCUAUUCUAUUGUUCAUCUUUAUCGUCUACUGGUCAAAAGUGAGGGUCAUAACCCUUGCCAGAUCUAGGCAAAGCUGCCGACCACAAGCUAAUGUAAUCCUCGCUAGAUUCGGCAAGGCCAUGAUGCCCUUGCCAAGGGUGGCCAACUCUAGGGUUGCCCUUGCCUGUAGCCAACGACCUUCACAAACCAUCGCCAAGUCUCUGAUGACCGACGAAUAGAAACGAUGAAUAUUACAUUUAAAAAAAAAAAACAGAGAGAGAGAAUCAAAGAUUUCAUAAAAAGAAAAAUUGCAAAACAACAUUGUGUCAUUUAAGAUCGUCCACGUCAACCGCCAACUGUUCUACAUAAGACAUUUGGUGCUAACUGAAUUGCCACGUCAAUUGACAUGAUAAAUUACAUUUAAAAAUCAUCAAAAGGUUUAGGACUAUAUUCAGUAAAUUGAAAAGUUUAUAACUUAAUUGGCCUCUAUGUGAUAGGUUUAAAUUUUUUUUGACAACUCUCUCUUCAAUCAACCACCGUCAUAAAUCAUUCUAUCUUCUAGCAUAACUUUUGCCUUCCAUCUCCUCUAUAAAUUGCAAGGCCAACGUGAGCUCAAUUUCCACAACAUAGCCUUAUUUGUUUUCAGCUUCGAAAUCUUCCAUUUGAAUAUCUUCAGUUUCAGAGAGGAAGAGAGUGGGAAAAUGGCCAUCUUCACGACUGACAAUCCCUGGGUGCUUAUUUUUGGCGUUCUAGGUAUUUACACACGGUAUCCAACUGUUUUAUAGUUACUAUCGAACAACAACCGAUGACUUUGUUUUGACGUGUUUAUCAACCUUUGGAUGAUUGUUGUCGUAGGUAAUAUCAUAUCCAUCGUGGUCUUUUUGGCCCCAGUGUAAGUUUUUAACUCUUUCUCACUCCAUGCACACUGACCAAUAUAAGGUUUAGGACUUAUUUAAUCUCCUUUGGCAGGCCUACGUUCUGUAGGAUAUGCAGGAAGAAGUCAACUGAAGGGUUUGAAUCAGUUCCGUACGUGGUUUCUUUGUUCAGCGCCAUGCUUUGGCUGUACUAUGCAUCCCUCAAGUCCGAGCCCAGCGCUUUCCUGCUCCUCACGGUCAACUCGGUCGGAUGCGCUAUUGAGACUAUCUAUAUCGCUCUCUACCUUGCUUAUGCUCCUAAACAAGCCAAGGUACGUAGCUACAGCGUUGUUCGCAAAGAACACACCUAAUGUAUUCUAAUUGUUGGAGAGUGGAUGAGCAGAUGAUGACGCUGACGCUGCUGUUGCUGAAUUUCGGAGGGUAUUGUUCCAUUCUUCUUCUGUCCCACUUCUUGGCAAAGGGAUCGGUGAGGGUCCAACUUGUUGGGUGGAUUUGCGUUGCACUCUCUGUUGCAGUCUUUGCUGCUCCUCUGAGCGUCAUUGUAAUUUACUUCUAUGUGACUCCUUUCUUUUUUCUGCACAAGAACGCCUGUCUUGCAUGUCAAUGUAGGACACAAGUUGUGCAUGACAUGCAUUUUGGUUCCGACUUACAUGUGAGUUUACAUACGUGUGUACAGAGAAUGGUGAUACGCACCAAGAGUGUGGAGUUCUUGCCCUUUUCUUUAUCGUUCUUCCUCAUGCUCAGUGCUGUGACAUGGCUCCUAUACGGCCUAUUCCUCAAGGACUUGUAUGUCGCGGUAUGCAUGGUUCAUCUACAUGUUAAAAUCAAGAUGGCGAGGUGUGGCAAUAUAAUCUCCGUUCCCCUGAAUGAACAGUAUUAACAUGUGUACGUGCAUAUAUAGGGUCCAAACGUGUUAGGAGUCAUCUUUGGAGUGCUUCAGAUGGCGCUGCAUGCCAUAUACAGGAAGGGAAAUACAGUUGCGACGGAGGAGGAAAAGAAUGAUACCAGUGUUGGAAAGCUGAGCUCUGAUAUACAAAGUUGCAAUGGGAAUGCCUUCUUCAUCUUUAUUGAAGCUUCUGAUAAAGAACCAGUGGCCAUUCUAUCUGAAGUUUAACAGGCGUCUAAGUUACUCAUAUGCCCGAUCAGACUGUUUUCCAGCAGCUCCUAGCUGGCUUACUCGUUGCUUCUGCUAUGUAAAGUGCAAAGGCAUGAGCGCACGUGGGUGCUUGGAGGGGUAGAGUGUUGUUUGUGAAUGUUCAACUUGUUUUUCCUAAUAAUACAGUUAUCAGGGAGGGGUAGAGUGUUGUUUGUGAAUGUUCAACUUGUUUUUCCUAAUAAUACAGUUAUCAGACGCAUUACUUUUUCAGAAACAGAUUCAGCUACUCUCCAUUCUUUGCUGAUUGAUUGAUAUCAUCUACUUACCAGGCCAUGAGAUCUGUCCGCUCACUAAACAUUUUUUUUUCCUUUGAAAUCCAGCUAGUUAGGAUCAUGAGCUAAGAUCCGAGACACUUUGGGAGACCUGAAUCUGCCUCUUCAUCAGAAAAUAACUGGGGUCACGUAAUGCGUGCCCUGAGACGACGUAAUGCGUGCCCUGAGACGACAUUCUUACUCUCUGAUUCCAAUUUGGGAGAAGUUUGCUCAAGUGGGUAAUAAACUCACUAAGGACAGCACGUACCAUUAGGCACAGAUUCAACUGGACCGUCAACCCAGUUACUACACAAAAUCAUAGUUAAAAAGUGCUCCCAACACACCGUAGAUAUCCCUGAUACUCAACUGAGAGAUCAGAGGAACUUCCCCCUAAAGGAAAGUAAACAGUAAGUACUUCCUCAAUCAGACUGACGAUAAAAGAACUUUAGUCACAGCAAAAUGUUUCUUUUGUCAAGCAGGAUCAACAAUUGAUUCCAUCCUGUUGACACCUAAAUUUUGGUGACCCGGUCAUUCAUUUAUCUCAUACAAAAUUAGGGAUUAAUUUUUAACCCCUAAACAAAAAUAUUAGAAUUAAAUUGUAUAACAUAUAGAUUUAGGAGCAUUUUUUUUAUUGCAUUUACAUUGGACUUUCAACGGAUGAGUUGGUUCUGAGCUUUAGUGUAAUGAGUUGGACUAAUCCCAUGGAGAGGGGAAAUUAGCCCAAGCCCAGUAUUCUCUGAUCACCGAAAAUUCACUCAAAAGGAAUCACGAUUUGAUAUUUUUGGAAAAUAUUCAUAUAUUCGGUAAAUCUUCCGUAUAUUCAUGCGAUAUAUAUACUGAAUGAUAUAUUUCGUGGGGGAUCAGAAGAUUUAGGGUGAAAUAUCAAGAGGAAGACAUCUCGUUGAAUAGGGGAUAUGGGUCGAAUGAAUAUAUGUUUUUGGCAAGUAAAAAGGAAAGUGGAAUAAUCUUAUCAAUACGCAGCCAAGGAACAGAAUAUACUCAAGCAAAAAAAUAUUGAGGGAAUAUCGUUUAUUUCAUCCCAUCACCUGCCUAUAUAAAAGGGACAGGACACAGAAUUGAAUGCACAGCCAUUACACGAGAGAGAGUCUUCACAUUCAGAGGUCAAUGGUCAACAAAGAUGAAAGAAGUCGAAGGGGAGGACAAACACGAGAAGAAGAAAGAGGGAAAUUCUCUGUAUUUCUCUGUAUUUACUCAAUGUACAGAAUUGAUAUUAUAUUACAAAGUAUAUGUAAAAGAAAAGGAAAUGAAAUAAUCUACAGAUUGGAUCCGAUCUUGAUUGAUUCAAUAAUAUCCUCAUGAUUUGAUCCUUGCAUAUCUUUCCAAUAUUUCUGCGUAUCUUCCAACACUCCCCCUCAAGCUGGUGGCUUGUAGAUGUCCAAGACGCCAAACUUGCUCAAGAGAUACGCAUGCUGUCUUUGACAUAAAGGUUUAGUGAAGACAUCCGCUGGUUGUUCUUCUGUUCCAAUCCCCUGUGUCUCGAUCAUCCCUUGCUGGAUUUUCUCUCAGAUGGAAUGACAGUCUACUUCUAUAUGCUUCGUUCUUUCAUGCACGAUAGGGUUAGAUGCAAGUUUGAGGGCCGCAUCAUUGUCGCAGAAUAACUUUGUUGGUCCUCUAACCUGUACUCCAAGAUCCCGAAGUAACCCUCUCAACCACACUAUUUUACAUGUGGUUUUGGCCAUGGCUCGAUAUUCUGCCUCUGCUGAAGAUAAUGAAACAAUUGGUUGUUUCUUCAUUUUCCACGAAAGUAAAGAAUCCCCCAAUUUAAUACAAAAACCGGUUAUGGUCUUCUACUCAUUGGACAGGUUGCAUAGUCUGCGUCACAGUAUGCGGUCAUCUUCAUGUCACAUUUCCUAGAAAGAAGAAUUCCAAGUCCAGGACAUUUCUUCAAGUACUUCACAACUUUUAGUGCGGCAUUCAUAUGAGACUGCUUUGGUUUGUGCAUAAACUGAUUGAGUGUCUGCAUGGCAUAACUUAUGUCUGGCCUGGUCAUAGUUAAAUAUAUGAGCUUCCCAACAAGUUUCUGAUAGCCCAAAGGAUCUCUAAGUACGGGAUCAGCUUCCUGAGAUAGUCCAGCAUCAUAAUCGGCUGUAGUCAGUUUGAUAUUUUGCUCAAUUGAUAUUACAGCUGGCUUACAUCCCGACAAUCCCGCUUCUGAAAUAAUUUCCAAUGCAAAUUUCCUCUGGCUCAGAGAGAUUCCUUGGUCUGAUCAAGCAAUUUCGAUUCCAAGGAAAUACUUUGGCGAGCCUAUAAUGUGGAAAGUAGAAUGCAAGUAUUCCUUAAGACCCUUGAUAGCUAUUUCAUCAUUGCCCAUAAUGAGUAUAUCAUCUACAUAUAUCAGCAAGUAGAUAGAUGACAUACCUUUAGUCCAUGUAAAAAUAGCAUAAUCAAAUCUGGACUGUUGAAAACUGGCAACUAUUAGUGACUCAGCAAAUUUUGCAUACCACACUGUCUGGAGGCUUGCUUGAGUCCGUAUAAGGAUUUGCGGAGACGACAUACUUUAUUCUCCCCCUGUCUCCAUAAACCUUGUGGUACUUCCAUAUAGAUCUCCUCGUUUAAAUCUCCAUGAAGGAAAGCAUCGUGAACAUCUAUCUGAUGUAAUGACUAGUCUUGAAAAGCCGCGAUUGAAAGAAAUGAGCGAACUGUGACGUCUUUGGCGACUGGGGAGAAAGUUUCGUGAUAGUUGAAACCUUCUCUCUAUGUGAAACCUUUAGCCACUAACCGGGCUUUGUAUCUUUCAAUCAAUCCAUCUGCUCGAUAUUUGAUCUUGUAUACCCAUUUAAAUCCGAUUGCCUUGCGAUGUGAGGGUAGGGUAACAAGAUCCCAUGUUUGAUUAUCCAUUAAGGCCUUCAAUUCUGCCUCCAUGGCUUUCCGCCAUCGUGGAUCAGUGCUUGCUUCAUCAAAGCUGGAUGGUUCUCACUCUUCAGAAAUGUGAGUGAUGCAACAUCUAUGCUCCAGGGAUAAUUGAUCAAAGGAAACAUAAGAAGAAAUGGGGAAAAGAAUACCUAGUGAUUCCUAACUCCACAUAUGUAGUCUUUAGUCCAGGUAGGUGGCUGCGUGGCGCGACCGGAACGUCUAGGAGGAUCAUUCUCUAAAGAUAAAUGAUUAUCUGAAAUUUCCACAAGAGGCAAAUCUGAAGGAGGCGAAUCUGAAAGUACCUCAUCAUCCUGCCCUGGACCUUGGACUUCCAUUAAAGGUGUUAUGUUGGUAGUUGAUGUAGAAAAUUCCCUUGUAUCUGGCAAUGAAGGAAGAAAUAUAUAUCCAAAAUCUUCAAUCUUGUCCUCUAUAGAAGAAGUAGGAGAAUGUCAUGUCUUAGUGCUGCCUUUUUCUUGAGUGGCAAAUGGAAAAACAGUUUCCUGGAAUAAAACGUCCCUGCUGACGGAAAAUUCCCCCGUAGAUGGAUCAAAGACCCGGUAUCCCUUCUGUAAAGUGGGAUAUCCCAUAAAAAUGCAAUGGUGAGCACGGGGACCCAUCUUAUCCUUAGGUCCUACGAUUGUGGCAUAGCAUAGACAACCGAAGAUUUUCAGAUGGUCCAGGUCUGGCUUCUUCCCAAAAAGCACCUCGAAAAGGAGAUUGUCCGUCAAGAAUCUUGGUCGGCAUACGAUUUAUUAAAUAAGCUGCAGUCAAUACACAAUCCCCCAAAAAAUUGUCUGGAAUAAAGGCUUGAAUCUUUAAAGCCCUUGCAACUUCCAACAGGUGAUGGUGUUUCUGCUCCACCACUCCAUUUUGUUGUGGUGUAUAAGUACAUGAGCUCUCAUGUAAUAUCCCUUGUGAGGAAAGAAGGGCAGCACAUUCAUGAUUGAAAAAUUAUUUGCCAUUAUCUGUCCUUAUUCUUUGGACAGUAUUCCCAAACUGGGUUUUUGACAGAGAAAGAAAUGUCCUUAAAUUGGCCACAACUUGACCCUUAGACUGCAUGAGAAAAAUCCACGUGGCUCUGGAGUGAUCAUCCAUAAUGGUAAGAAAGAAUCGAGACCCAUCAUCGUUCGCUGUAUGAUAUGGUCCCCAGACAUCAAUAUGAGUAAGGAAAAAAUAUUUUUUGAACGACUUUGGCUCAAAGGAAAGGGACUACGCGAUUGCUUUGCAAGUCGACAAAUUUGACAUUGAGGAUAGGGAAAAAAAGAACUAUGGCCCAAUCUAGAGUGCAAAAGGAAAUUUCUAUCAUUGGUAGUCAAAUUACACAAUGAUUUCUUAUUACAAGGAAAAUGAUCAAGAUUUUUGGGCAAGCUUUUCCAGAAAAAUAAUCCUUUAGAGAGACUACCCUAGCCCAUCAGCUUCCCAGUCGAAAGAGCCUGAAAUAGACAGGUAUCAGCAUCGAAAAAAACUCGACAUGAAUUUUCCUUACAGGCUCUAGACACUGAGAUAAGAUUAAAUUGGAAGUCCGGAAUAUAAAGGACAUUGGUGAGAACAAUAUGGGAGUUAAGGGUGAAUGUCCCUGUUGUAGUAACAUAAGCAAUAUUCCCAUUUGGCAAUUGCACGGUAAUAGGAUCAUCUAAUUCUUCAUGAAUAACAGAGAAUAAUCCUUUAUCACAUGCUAUAUGGUCACUAGCUCCCAAAUCAAUAAUCCAGGUAUUUCGAGAUAUAGUAUUUGUUAGGCAAUAAGAAAUACCUAUAAAGCUGCUUCCCUUUUUUUGGACAUCUGAUUUUUGUAAAGCUUGCAUUAGUUGCUAAUAUUCCCCAUGUGUGAUAGGCUGACUUGCUAAAUUUGCUGAUCCUGUAAGUUGAUAGGCUGCUGCAGAUAUCUCUUUUCCCUUCUUUUCCUUUUCUCCAAGUCUGCCAUGUAAUUUCCAACAAUUUUCAAUUGUGUGGUGGGGGCCGCUUGCAAAAAUCACAAAAUAAUUUCCCUCUAUUUUUAAAAUUUUUCCCAUAUCCUUUGGAAAAUUUAGCACCGUUGGAUCCCUUCGAUCCGAAUCCAUCUCCACCGUCCUGAUCAUACGGAAGCCACGCGCCCUUAGGACCGUCAGAUCACUGCGUUCAAUCUUGGCCAUCCAUUCCAGCCCCUUUAAGCGUUCGCUGAUCCGCAAACCCUAGCGACGGAUCGUAGCCCCUCUUCUUCUCUAGGGUUUUUUCUCUCUUGAUCCUUACCGCCAGCGCUAGAGCUUCGGUGGCCUUGCUAUCCGACGAGGCAAGCCGCCAGUUCUCCUCUUGCACCGCAAGCUGGAAGAUCCGGCCAAGAGUGGGUGCUGGUUCCAUGGCCAGUAUCUGCGACCUGAAUGUGAGGUAAGUGUCGUUGAGUAUAAGCAGGAACCGAGUCGCCUUCUCUUUAUCUUUCAUCGCUUUGUACUGCUGAAGGGUCGUUUCAGGCCCUUCCAGCUUUUCUUCAACAGCUUUUAGUUCAUUCCAAAGGGCUGAAAGCUUGUUGAAGCAUGUCGUCACGGACAUGUUUCCCAACUUCAAUUCGCUGAGUGCUUGAUGCAGUGAGAAAAUUUUCACCCGAUCCAAUUUUCGGUACAUUUCUCGGAUGCUAUCCCAAAUAAUUUUUUAAUCUUCUGUGGGUGGUAGACUGUCGGCAAUUUCUGGGCUGAUGCAGUUCCCUAUCCAUGUUCUAACCAAUUGGUUGCAUUUUUUCCAUUGACGUCCCAUUUUUUCGUCGAUCGAGAUCAGGACGGUCCCGUCAAUAAAACCCUCUUUGUCUUUCGUGAUUAGGGAUCGCCGAAACUCCCAUGCCCAACUCGAAUAAUUUUUUGGUCCUGUGAGAGGAUGGCUGAUGAGCCGCAACUCCGGUCCGUCGGCGGUGGAAACGUAGAGCGCGUCGCCGGGUUCUGGGCGACCCAUGGCGGCCAUGAAGGGAAACGGCAAAAACCCGGGUGGGACUCCCGGGUAGUGAUUUGCAGCUUGACACAGAUUGAAUCCGCCCGGAAAUCCCGCACUUGAAUUACUUGAUCCGCCCGUCUGCUCCAAGCCGAUGGUUGAGCCUGCCCCACUGUUGGUUGGUAGGCCUCCAUCAGUUUGCACGCUGCUCUGGUAGCCCAACUGUGAUGUAACUGGGUUUGUCCCAUGGAUCCAUGGAUAUGGCAUCCACUGGUAAGGAUAGCCCGAGAAAGGCUGCCCCAGAUUAAACUAAGCCAGAAAAGUUUGUCAUUGCGCGUGUUGGGUUUGGAUCUAGCUUUGACUGAGCUGCUGUUCAGCCAUGGAAGUCACGGUGGAUGAAUAUGGGCUGUUCGAAGUCUGUGGCGUCGUGUCUCUUGCUGGCUGCUCGUCUGGGUUUGAGGUGAGAAUUUCUGGUUUGUUCAUACUGGAAAAAAAAAUCCUUCCCCUUCAAAGAAUAGUGAUUCCUUCGAUAACUCUCUUUGCAGGUUAGAAUUCCUCUAGGCAAUCAAAAUAGGAGCGGAAGCUAUGUCAGAACCUUCGGCAGCUCUAAUACCAUGAAAGAAGUCGAAGGGGAGGACAAACACGAGAAGAAGAAAGAGGGAAAUUCUCUGUAUUUCUCUGUAUUUACUCAAUGUACAGAAUUGAUAUUAUAUUACAAAGUAUAUGUAAAAGAAAAGGAAAUGAAAUAAUCUACAGAUUGGAUCCGAUCUUGAUUGAUUCAAUAAUAUCCUUAUGAUUUGAUCCUUGCAUAUCUUUCCAAUAUUUCUGCGUAUCUUCCAACAAAAGAGAGGGCGACACAUUGAAACACACUGCCACGAGAAGCCCUACAUAGCUACGACGUCUUCAUACAAAUAAAGCUUGGGCCCAACUAACGCGAUGGUUGACGCUGCUCCUUGUCCGGGACCCUGACAUUGGAACCCCGCCGCUCUGCUAUCCGAGCCCUGCCAAUGAGCGGACACUCCUAUUGAUCCCGACAUCGCCUGCUUGAAGCUGCUGCCAUUGCUGCUUACGUCCACAAACCGAGAUUCAGCAAAUUCCCGACAACGUUGUUGCUCUCCCAACGUUGCAGUUUCCUCGUGACGCUGAUCAUACGAUGCUGUCACCCAAAACCCCGUCGUGAAUAGCAAAGCCGCCGUUGUUGCCCUCUCGCUGGACCGUCAACAACCCUCCGGUCUCCAUCAACCCUAACGAGACAUCCGAGAGCCGUGAGUUCCAGAACUUGCUCAGGGAGACAAGUCAAAAGAAAUAACACAGAAAGAGGCGCUGACUGGUGAAGAACAACUGAACAAGAUGAAGCAUAAGACGUAUCCAAGAAGUAUGAGUCAAGAAGUCUUAAAGAGUUCUUCUCGGCCACUGUGAAGAUCCACGUUCAUCAUCACCUCAUCUUCACGUCCUCCACAAGGAGGAAAACGUGGAGAAAGAGGAGAGCUGUACCGCACCCACUGAGACAAUUUCCACAAGCAGAAAACGCCAAAAGGGAAGACGGUCACGACGACUCCUUCGCCCAACGCUAGUAGCAAACUUCCAUACUUCCUUGGCGAGGUUCCCUACCGUGACAGCAAAUUGCCGACACCCCUGGCGAGCAGCUGUACCGCGAGCCUUGCCGAGCACCACCACGUCGAGACGCGAGGAUCCGAAUUUGGAAGCUAAUAUUCGAAUUAGGUAAAAAAUUUGUCUAAUUUGCUUUCCGAAUAUUCCAGUUCCUUAUUUAAAAAAUACCGUUGAUGCACAUGAUCGAAGUUCAUGAUAUACGGUUCUAUCCAUAAUCUUGAGUAGCCUUCUAAAUGGGGAAAUCUUCCCAAUUUCACAACGUGCAUAUGAUUGACAAUCUGAUUUCACGCCCGAAAUAUGACUUGCAAUCGCACGGAAAAAUCGCCAAUCCGAUCCCAUGCUCGAGAUACGAUUCGCGAUUUUGUUAAAAAUUGACCAAUCCGAUCUCAUGCGCGAAAUACGAUUCGUCAAUUUAUUAGACAAAUAUCAAUCAUAUCUUGCCUGAUUUGUUGUCGUGUUAUUUGAAUCGAUUUUAUUUCCGUAAAAGAAAACCCGAAAAAAUAUAUUUGAGUUAGAUUAGGUUCAUGUUAGAAUAUCGCUUACUUUAGGGUAGUUUGCAUGUUUAAGAUUAGGAAAUUUAUUUAUUUCGAAUUUUUUAAAUAAAAAUACCAAAAACAUUAAUUUAGGAUGUUAGAUUCUCUUUUCAUUAAUUUAGAUCGCACGUUUAAUUACUAGACAAUUUUAAUUUCGAAUUAUAUAAAAAAGAAAAAGAAAACCUAGAAUUAGGGCAUUCUUUGCACGUCAUCUAGUCAUUGCAUAUUAGGAUAAGAUUGCACAUUUAAUUUAAUUCUAUAUAAUCUUUCUAAUUAAUAAUAAGUUUAGAUAAUUUUUCCUAGAUAGAUUGCAUUUUAGGUUAGGGAUUACCUAGGUAAGAUAACAUUCUAGUUUAAAUUAGGAUUUGGCCUAAUCUGAUUCCUAGUAUAAGUUGGAUAAUAUCUUAAUCUAGGCAAACAAUUCUUGCUAUUUUCUAAUUUCGAAUUUUACGUAAAAUACCAACAAAAAAAAAACAUUGUCUUAGAAUAAAUUAAUUUAUUUUUCUAUGAUAGAUUGCAUGCUUAUUAUAAAAACACAAUAUAUAUAUAUAUAUAUAUAUAUAUAUAUUAUACCUAUGUCAUGUAGUUUAGGUCAUACUACUAUGUCAUGUCACUUCAUGUUAGAUUAGUAGUAUGCAUUGCAUAAAGCAUGAUUCUCAUUAAACAAGUGAAAAUAAAAAUGAAGUGAUUGUGUUAAUUAGAAAUCAUAUCUAGGACUGUUGAUGUGAAUUCUGAUCUAACAUUACAGAUGCUUUCAUUGCUAUGAGGUAAGUCUCAUAAUUUAUUUAUUACUUUAUUUGGGUGUUAAAUUGGUGGUUUACGCAUUCGCAUGAUCACCUCACAUGUUAGGAAAGUAAAUUAAAAUCAACUCAAGCUGCUUGCAAAACAUUUUUUUCGAAAUAAAAUAGAGAGGUAUCGAAAGGGCGUUAGAGAAAUUUAACGUAAUCAAGUCCCUGAACUCACAAUCUCUGGUUCGCAGAAGUAAAGUAAAUCUCCUGUUACUUUACUUGGGUUUCUAAUCGACCCACCAAAAAUAGAUUAGUGGCAACUCCUAAUUGAAAAAAUCAUUUACAUGUUAAGAACUUGAACCUAAGUCGUUAAUUGGUAUGGGCUUGGGAGAGCUCGAGCUAAGUUUAGGCUUAGUAAUCCAUUAGCCAAACCCUAGGUGGUGCACCCAAGGUUAGGUCGCGACACAUCCUACAAACAUGAAGGACUUCAACACUAGCAAUUUCACCCACAAGGAAGCUCUUUUCUCUACAACCAAUGAGCAUGCACUUGGCAUUGGAAUACACUAUUGCAGUAGUUGAAACAAUUUUUACAGGCUUGCAAUUGCCUCUCAUUGUAUCAUAUUCUUCCAAGGCAUUUUCGAAAAGUAAAUAGCUGCAUUAUGUGAAUUUGCUACAUUUUUCAAGCAAAUUUAGAGAACAGCCUUGAGAUGAAAAUUUGGAAUGUUAUCAGACUAGCUAAGUGAUGCUCAAUCUGGAUAUGGGCACUCAUAGACCCAACUGCAUCCAGAAUAUCGUAUGCAGUGCAGCCAUAAUCCCUCCUCACUCCCGUCAUAUCUGCAUUUUGCAGAAACUUAGAAAUCAAAUCUUAGGUUCUCUAUCGUACACACGCAGGCAAGGUUGUUGUGACAUCCCCCUUCUUCCCCCUCUUUUGUCUUCUUCUUCUCUCUGUCCUCCUUCUCCUCUCCGGCCCUGUUUGGUUCAGCUUUGGGAAUGUGCUUUGGGAGUCUAAAGUCCCUUGGCCAAAUGCAAACGCGUUUGGUUCGAUUUUUUGGGCAACUUUGGCAAGAUGCAAUUGCAUCUCCAAAGGACUUUAAGGGCCCUUAGUCCAAAGCAGGUCUGGAAGUCAUUUGGGAACUUGCAUUUUCGGAAUGCAAGUUCCGGUUAUUGUUCAUCUUCUCCAAAACGCACGGAGAAGCCGAUCGGAGGCGGACGAUCGUCGGCCAAGGGGUCGCGCACGCUGGCGACCGCCGCUUGAGGGUCACCCGACCCCAGCGACCGUCGCCGGACCUCAGGCGACGGUCGCCUGGGUCGCGCGACCCAGGCGAACGGUCGCCUGGGGUCAUGCGACGGUCGCCGGGGUCGCGCGACCCCAAGCAACGGUCGCCUGAGGUCACGCGACCCAGGAGGCCAGAUCUGGCCAUCCGGCCGCCAAAUCCGGCAGUCCGAUGGCCAGACUUCAAAAAAAAAUACAAUAUUUUUUUUUGUUUUUUAAAUUUAAUAAAAGUCAUUUACAAAUACAAAUUUUACCAAUCAUUUACAAAUACAAAUUUUACCAAACGGUAUUUUUGGCCAAAGUUGUUUCUUAAUGCAAAUUUUACCAAACGUUAUUUGCAUUUCGGAAAACCCCAUUAACCAAAAAGUAUUUGCAUUUUUGCAAAUGCAUUCCCCAAAAGCUGAACCAAACGGGCCCUCCCUCACAUUUCCUCCCCCCAUUCUAUCCAUCCCCCCUUUCCCCUUUCUUUCUCUCUCUCUCUCUCUCUCUCUCUCUCUCUUUCUUUCCCUCCUUCCCCAGCCACCCUUCUGCCACCCAUUUCCCUCUUAUUUUAUUUUUUAUUCUCUCUCUUCUCUCUCUCCCUCUCUCUUAUUUCCCCCUCCCCCCUCUCUCGGUCGAAGCCCCCCUUUUCUCCUUCUUCUCCUUCUUCUUCUUCUUCUUCUUCUUCUUCUUCUUCUUCUUCUUCUUGCUGGCUGCCGCUUCACCCACCACCAAACCACCGCCCACGCCCCCAACUCACCACCACGCCACCUCUGUCCGCCGCUUGGAGCCGUGCCAUUCACCGUCCUCACCGCCGAAUUGCCAUCUCCACCGCCGAGCUCCCAAAUCGCUGCCGCUCGCUCGUCGCCACAAGCUGUUGCCCGCAUCCCUCACGCCGUUUUCCGUGUCGUCACCAUCGUUCUCAUCCUGAGCCGCCGCGAGCCACCGUUUGAACCGAGCCUCCCCCCCUUUUGGCCGUGGGCUUCAAGAGCCGCCGCCGCCGCCAUCGAGCCUCCAUUUGAGCCGCGAGCAUCGCGUUCUCGAUGCCAUCGUGCUACCGUCGCCGUGGGCUCGCCGUCGCGGGAAAUCGGUGAGUUAACCUCCUAAUCGUGGAUUAGGGCGUUAAUUGCGUUUAAGGGUUGUUAGUUUAAUAUUAACGGUGAUUAGUAUUAGUUAAUUUUAGUUUAUUCUUAAUUGCGAUUAAGAAUGGUUUAGAUUAAUUUUAAUUGCGAUUAGUUUAAGUAAUUAUGAUUUGAUUAAUUAACCGUGGUUAGAUUAAUUAAUUGAGUUUAAUUUAAUUAAUUGUAAUUUAUUUAAUUAAUCGUAAUUUAUUUAUUUAAUCGUAAUUUAGUUAAUUAAUCGUAAUUAUUUUAGUUAACGAUGAUUAAUUUUAGUUAAAUAUAGUUAGGCUAAUUAAUCGUGAUUGCUUAAUUAAUCUCGAUUAGCUUAAAUUAAUGACGAAUUAGUUGUUAAGUAAAAUUCUAUGCUCGUUUUAAUGGACGAAUUUACACUUAAUUCUAAUUGUUUGAGCAUGUAAUGCCAUGAUGUUGAUUGCCCAUAUAAUGUAUUUUAAAUGCUAGUUUUCAAAGAUGGCUUAUUGGUGAGAAAAUAGCAAAUUUUGAAGGGUCGUGUUUGGACGCCAUAUUUUACGUGAUAAAAGGGGCAAUGAUGUUUUAAAAUGAAAGUGUGCAAAGUUUGAUGGGUUGAUUUUAAAUAAGCGACCACAUGCGAUUAUUUUACCGGAAUUUUAAAUGUAAAAAUUUUCCGAGGUUUGUUAUUUAAGCACAAACUUUUUUACACUGGGCUAAUUGACGGAAGAUAAAAAAAUUGGCUUGAGUGUUGGCGUAUUUGUGUGGUCAUUUAAUUGAACUCGUCACCCAACGGGAGUUUGGAGGCGAUGCCCGAUGUUCAUCUGAUGCUCGACAGGGGUCCAGAUGCCGAGUCGCAGUUGAGGCCGGAUCGAUGCUCCUUUAUGGAAUGCCGUCUAGGCGGGGGUUUUAGACAAUGCCGUGCCCGAUUGAACGGGACAAUGUCCGGUCAUGUCGGAAGACUACCAACUCAUGUGUUGGCCGUGGCCUGAGGGAUCGUAAUAAUCGGAACACGUGCGAAUGAUUGUGAAGCAUUGCGCUUGAUUAUGGGGUAAAACUAUUAGGCAUGGUAUGGGACGUGCCAAAACAGGUUUUACCUUAUAAUCAGGACCUGUGUGGAUGCUUGGUGCAUGAGAGUUAUGUGUUCUGAUUAUUAAUUAUGAUUAUUGCAUUUAUAAUGGCAUAUGUGACGUACUAAUAUGCAAAGAUGUGCCAAGGCGAGGUAAGUUGUUUGUGGUGCAUGUUUAGACUGCCUUCGAGACGAAUUUGCGUCCUAAUCGAGGUUUAGUAAGUUUGACUCGCUGAGAUUUUAUCUCACCCCAGUGCUGUUAACCAUUUUCAGGGCCGUAGCGUGGAGAUCUGCUAAGUGCGGUUAUGGUGGGCGCGAGAUACGAUGCUUUUUGGCUGGCCUUACCGUUAGUGAAGCUAGAGUUAACCCUGACCUUUCUGACCCCUUUUUGCUCAUAGGUCGUGUAUGAAUUGUAUUUUAUUGUAGAUAUGUAAAUGUUAAACUCCUUGGAUUAACAAGUGGAUAAAUGAAUGUGCGAUUUUUGAAAAUCAUUUGUUAUGUUUUACUAUCCCUGUUUUGUUGAUGAUUGGGUGUUUAUUUAAUUCGCUUCCGCAUGCGUUUAAUCGUAAGAUAAAAAGAAUGGGUCGGCGACACGUCCUGGGACGUCGCAUUUUUAAUCGACCAUCGAGGGAUGUUCGCCCGCUCGGAAUUCGGGGCGUGACAGGUGUGCAAGCAGAAUAUGAGUAAAGACAAGCGCCCAAGAUGGGAAAAAGGAGGAACACACCCUUUCGGAGCUAAAUUCGGACAAUUCGUGCACACAGGGUCAGUACUAAAUUCAAUGCAAGGCUCUUCUUCCUUGUCGUUCUGCCCAAUAUCAGAAACACUGGAUUCUGAUGACAAACCAGCAGCUUUAUCGGCAACCAUUCCUUCAUCUGAACGAUUGGUCCUUUGUUCAAGAAGGUAAAACAUGUCAUUGGCAAUUGGAUGACCACUAAACUGCAAAUGUACUCGUGUCUGCACAUAAAGAGCAGGGUUAAGAGAAGAGAGUACUGCAAGUACAAGCAUAUAUCAAAUAAACCUCACAAAUUAAAAGAUAUAAAAAACAGGCUGACUUAACCAAAUGCAGAGAGGUAUAUAAUAAGCAGGACCCGAAAGUAUCUUCCAAAAUGAGUAGGACAGUUUAUGGAGAGACAAAAGUGAAGAAAAGAAAGCGCACAUGACUCAAAAAGUUAACAGUAAAUGCAAUGUCCUUCCUAUAUGUGUGGGUACAUCUGUGCAUGCAAUUGACCUUGGCUACAUUAAGGAAAAACAACCAAGGAAGGUUCACUGCUUAUGAAAUAGAAAAUAGGAGGUAUCAGACUCUCAACAUGGUAUUUGCAUCCUUUAGCAUCAUAUUGCCUUACCUGAUGAGUUCUUCCGGUGACUGGUUCACAGAGAACAAUGCUAUGAGUUCCAUCAGUGCUGAUCCUUGUGAACUUUGUACAAGCGGCCUUUCCUUUCAAGAGGGCAGUAUCACAAGUAGGGUCACCCGCCUGUACAAAGAGAUGAUAUUGACCAGACUAAUGGUAUUAAGCACGCUCUUCCAUUCACUGCCAACGCUCUAAUGUACUGAUUGAAAUUAAGACACGACCAUGAAACAGUCAGGGCAGAUGUAUUCUAAAUGUAGAAUGAAAAGAAAGCUCUAAGAGCAGUCAUACAUUGCGAGACACCAUGCCACGUGGACCAGGAGAAGGGUGGCAGUUGACAUCCUACCACCAUUUUCAAUUUCCUUAGAGAUUAAAAAGCCUUUCUAUGACGACUCAUCCAUAUAAAAUCCAAAUCACAUACUAUUGGGUCGAAAGGAGCUGGUAAAGUGAGACAGCAUAUGUGCUAAUGAAUAGGGAAACUGUAGCUUCUUGCUUUUGGCUGCCAGUAUUUAGAUUUGCUGUUUCAUGUACCAAGGCUCACAGAUUUUGCAUAAGCCAGCACUAUGUCACGAGCUUGGAGCUCUUAACUUCUGACAAAUUUAGUUCGGAUUACCAUCACACGUUACUUUUCAAUUCCAUUUCAAACAGUGUGUCGUGCAUCACCAAGAUAACAGUCCACAGUGGCUCAUAAGGAUAUAAAUGUUCCUAAAAAGUAUUGAGAGGCCAUCAUAAAUGGAUAUUUACAAAAACUAUAUAGUUAUUUUUACAUGCCUCUGUAAGAAUGUUAAGAAAGGGCAUUAGCUUCCAUUUAUAGCACUCUGAUAACAUUCAAAAUUGCAUCCCAUUAUGAAUUCAUAUUGGUUAGUCACAAAAACCUUCCCUUACGAAGGAAAGAGAGAAAAAAGAAAGAAAGGAGAAAAAAUCAGUACACAAGGAAGGCAUCACAUAAUUUUCAUUGAAAAGCAUUAUCAGAAAGCCAUCAUUUCAAGACCCUUCUCCAACACCCAGAUGCUCAGUUUCAUUUCUGUAACCUCACGUAAUACAGUGAUUGAUAUAAAUUUAAACUCAGAAAAAGGUUGAAAUAACAAGGUUUUGAGCGAAUACUCGCCUCCGCUGUACUACGCCUUCUCGAGUACUGUAAUUGAUGUGGACAUUGACCUCCAGCUAACAAGAAACCCUAGAACACAUAAAUCAGAUGAGAAAUAAUAAGAAUGCAUUUCUGAUACCACAUUCUCUAUAACUUUUUCACGUGAUCUAACUAGCCUCCUGGAUCUUCUGAAGGGAGGACCCAAACGAAAAAGGACUAGUUGAUUGUGUUCAUAAAUAAGUGGAUCUUCCUUGGGUUUGAUAAAAUGAUAUGGGAAACCACAGCUGGAUCUUUCAUCAAUAAUAACUGAAGAUGUCACACAAGAUGUGCAGUUGAUUUUUAACAACUAACCCUCUCCCACUCAAAAGGAGUUUUAUAAUUACUACAAUAUUUUGAGUUUUAUAAUUACUAAAAUCUAUGUGGAUAAAUUUUACCAAAAAAAAAAUUCUAUGUGGAGAAAAAGAACACAUGCAGACUUGUCCUUUCAGCAUUACCUCUUCUCAAGACAACUCAACAAACAAAAAGAAAAUAAUCGAAUUGGAAUAAAGAAAUCCCGUUGCUAGAUUGAGUACAUCUACUUAAACAUCUCAUAAUUCCAAUUCUUAAGGGUUAAACUCCCUGAUGUAGCACUGUACUGCAGGAUUUUUCAGUUCGUAAAUUAUCCACUUUUAGUGCAUAUUCCCAAAUCAACAGAUUGAAGCAAGAGAUACCUCAUUCUCAGGAAAUUCACCCACCACCUUUGCAAUGUACUGUUUCUGCACCAAACCACCUUCAAUCUGAAGAUAUUAAAUGUCAGUUGAAACUUAAAUUUUAGGCUGAAUAUCAAGUGUACCUCGCCACAUCACAAAUAUGAUGUAUAAACACUUAAAAGUAUAUAAGAGGAUAUUCUAGAUAAUUUUUACUCAAGGGAAUGAAGUCAGCAGCAGAAAUAGUACGUGAUAGCACUACUGCUAUUAGGAGAAACAGUCACCAGACAUGGAUUAGAACUCCACAGACUGAAGAUAUAUACAAAGGAAAUGCACAUCACAGAAAGAAACUAUAUGACCUCUUUAAGUCACUCCAUAAGGUAG
rnacentral:lncRNA from 1 species